CCACAACUUUAGUCCUGGAAGGCCGCUCGUUAGGAGUCAUUUGGAGGCAUUGUAAAGCAAGCUGGGCCAUUUGGAAUGCAGAAUCUAUAUAUGUAAGGUGUAGGGAUGGUAUAAAUUUGGUUCCCAUUUCCUGCAGGAGGCAACAUCAUGAGCGACCAGUUUCUUCUAAAAUAUCCAGUGUUUCUUUUUUGGUAGUUGGAGCAUCUGCAGAAAAUGAAUAGUUAUGUAGGCAAUACAACUAUAGAUUCCAUGCCAAAGGAUUUAAGUAGCUAAAAGGAAACACACCUCGUAUUUCAUAUUGUAUUGUACUAAUGAAAUGGGAACCAAAUUUGUACCAGAUUCCUACACCUUAAAUAUAUAGAUUCUGCAUUCCAAAUGGCACAGCUUCUUCUAAAAUAACAGCGGCAGACUGUUUCUGAAUCUAGAACCAGUCCAGGACACAGCAUGUUCCGAUGUACUCCAGCUCUUCUUUGUAUUGUCAUUAUAUGUACUUAUAUACUCCAGCUCUUCUUUGUAUUGUCAUUAUAUGUACUUAUAUUGUAUAUUGUCUUGUUCAGUUAGAAUAUUUUUUAACAAGAUUCACCCUCGAAUAUUGAGUUGAAUAUAUUCAGCAAGCCUGCCACAUUGUUAAUAACAGAACGUCCGCCAUCAAAAUGGAACGUGACAAACUGUAUGUAGAAUGUGAUCCCGAGAAUACAAAACUAGUUAAUGAUGGGGCCAAUGAUGCUGCCAUAGUUCAUUGAUUCAUCAGAAUUCAAUACUAAGUAUUUAUGAGAGGGAGCGAGGGAGGGAGGCUAAGUAGUGUGACACUGAUAUGCGACACAGCACAAUACACUGAUACGUCGUUUUUCAAACAAUAGAGAAUUCUGGCAUGUUGGGACAUGUUGUAUAUUAGAUACAUAUUUUUAUAUAUACAUGAUAAAUUACCAUUUUUAUGAUUAUUUUAAUCAAAUUAAUUUAAUUCAAAUUCACAAAUAAAUAAAUAAUAAAAAGAAUAUAUAAUGGAUUUACACUAAAAAUAUUAAUCUACCAUUUGUUAACAUCAUUCAUUAUUUUAAUUUGAUAAAUUCAUUUUCAUUUCAAUAAUCCAUAAAACUUAGGGGAAAAAAAUAAUAAGUAAUCUAAAUCUAUACUCAUGUGUCAGUGCGUCGAAAGAGAAGAGGAAAAAAUAACCAAUCUUAAGGGUGAAUUGUAUGUUACAGGAAGCGAGAAUAGGAAGAGAAUAGAAUAUUAGAUUUUUUUUUCUUUCUCCAUUUACUAUUUCUUUUUUUAUUACAUAAUUACAUUUUAAUUCCUUAUUUAAUAAAACAUUUUAAAAUUGACCCCGCACGUGUUAGAAUUACUUGUCAAAAUUCUGAACUUGCAUGUUAGGAUUCUAGACUCGAGUGUUGAAGAGUGUCGAGGAAGUUGACCAACUGUUGGAUUUUCUGACAUGUGUAGUGUUGAUCAAAUGUCAAAGAGUGUCGGACAAAUGUUGGAGUAUCUGACACGACACAGAAAACUCUUAGAGAGUGUCAGUGCUUUAUGAGGAGAGAGAGAGAGAGCCAACGGGAGAGCCCAAAAUAAAUAGAGCAAUCGAGAUUUGCUGUCAUUAUUCAAUUAAAAUUGGGCACAAUGACUCUUGAAGUAAAAUGCAAGCACAUCGAAGACACGAUUUGGAAUUCCAAGAUCAACGGGCACAAAGAUAAUGCAGAAGUUCAGAAAUGUUGAGGAUAGCUUCAGAAACAGAAGGUUGCAAAGGAGUUGGGGCAUCGAUCCCAUUAUCUUCUCGGGGAACCCGUAAUCGACCCUGGUUUCGGCCAACGCUUCAAGGAAUUGCUAGUGCUUUGGAGCCGGCGUCUCUCUCCUCCUUCGCUAAGGUGUUUGUUUCUUUAUUGGUUGUUCAUGCCGUGCCUCUCUAGUUGUUUGUUUGCCUUAUUUUGGGUGCUGUCUUGUGUUUUACAUCAUGACAUACUUCCACUCAUUAUGUUUUUUUUUUUUUUUGGUAGAAGGCAAAAAUUCCACUCAUUAUUUUUGUUCAUCUUGAGUGUAAGUUUUUACUACCAUGAUCUUUUGUACUUUUGACCUUUCUUCUUUAUAUUUUUACCUUUUACCAAGAAAAAAAAAAAGGACAUCUUCCUCACCGUCUCUUCUGACAUUAAGCACCCUUCUUCUUAAGCAGCUCUUCGACCAGGUCCGCAGCAUCCUGGAUAGACGCGAUCCUUUGAGCACCGUCUUCCUCCACGGUAACAUCGAAGUUCUCCUCAAUUGCCAUCACAAUCUCCACCUAAAAUGAGGAAGAGCAGCGUUCUCAUCACAAUCCCAUUUUAUCCAACAAAGGAAAUAAGGCGGUAAGCGUCGGAACCAGAUUUUUUUUUUUAAAAAAGAAAAAAAAAAAGCAAAUCAAUUCCAAUAUUGUAGAAGUACCGUCCUGCACCACUUAAGAACGCAUGGAUCUAGCAAAAGCUCGUCAAAGUCUGCAGAAGAAGGAAAUAGACUUGUGGAUGAAGGGCUUACGGUGUCCAGAGAAUCGGCUCCCAGGUAAGCGAUUUUUGACUCUCCGUUUACAACAGCAUCUUCUGGCAAAGCUAGCUGCUUCCUCACUAUUUCGCACACUUUAUCUAGCGUCUCCUUUUUAGCCUGCUCAUAUAUCGAGUUGGUCAUUCACAAGUUUAAAACCUACGUAUGGGCUUCGCUCCGAGCAGCUACAAAAUUGGCAAGACCAAUUCAAGCAUUCCCCCAUGAGCAAGACAAUGAUAGGCUUGAACCUGGUAUGAACAAACUCCUGCUCAUCCCCUUUCCCCAGAAGCAGCAUCUUUCGAGCGACACAAUUAUAAUCACACAGCAAGAUCGUUUGAACCAGGACAAACAUAAUGACCCAGACUUCAGAAAUACGUAAGUUACUUGCAGUCACUUUGCUAUGGUUGUUGUUAUAGUUGACAUGACAUGGUGGACUACUUACCGCACAUGAAACCUGGAAACGGCGUGCUUUCAGAGAUGGGAAACUUCUGCCGCCGACAGGGAGGGAGACGGACCUGACAUUCGAUAUCUUGCAGACAGGUACCUGUUAAAAAUGUCAACAACUAGUUUUCAGAGAUGCGGUCUCAUUCAAAGUGCAGAACCUCAGCCGGGUCAGCCAAGCUCUCUGCCUAAAUUGCAGAGAGUAUUUGGUAAAAUUGCAUCUUGCACCCUAGUUUUCGGGAUAGCGGCAAAUUACCCCUGUCGUUUCGAUAUUUGCAAUUUGUUAACUGACUUUUUGAAUGGGAGGCCAUGUGCCCUCAAACGUUGACUUUGGCAAAAAAUUUCUCACAUAUCUGACAACGUGACUUGCUAUUGAAGGUAAGCUGGACAUUUAUCAUUUACGUGAAAAAAAAAAUAUAGAGACUACCCAAAAAUAUAUUUGAGAGCUAUAUAUUGAUGUACAUUUGGUAUUGAUUUUGGUCAAAAUAUUGCCGAAACUUUGGUCACAUGCUCUCACAUGUACUAUAUUUCUGAAUUUGAUAUUCUACUUUUCAUAUCCGUUUACUUAUAUGAUGAAUUUUCCCUUCGUGGUCAGUCAUGCACUGUCGCGUGGUCGGAGCUCCAAGAAAAAUUUGACCGGAGUCAACACGAGGGGACACAUUGAUACGGACUUCUAACCUUCAGGGGCUAGAUUGCAAAAAUUGGAACCCCCUUUGGCAAUUUGCAACAAACUCAGAAGUUAGAAAAUACGUAGUUUGCCCCCAGAAAAUUUACUGAGUUUCCGGACCACUAGAUCGGUAGCAGGAAGCCAAAACCGAGUAAUGCCGGCCUGAACUCAGUAUCAAUCUCACACAGUUCAUUGUAAGUAUCUGACAAGCUCAUUUGGCAGCGCUGUAUCUUUUCGAUGCAGUUUUAAAUGCACGAAAAACUCAGCAUUUACCACAACUCAAUGGACAUAAAAGCCUCCAGCACCAAAACAAAAGCAGAUUCAUCCUAGUCCGGGAAUACUUAAUGUCAAGCUGAUAACAUCCCUUGAAAAUCUAAAACUGGAGGAAGACAAAAAAGUGCCGCACCCGCAUUUAAUAUCGAUCAUAAAACUAUAUCCAGCGGCCACAGUGAUCGAGCAUCAAAACCCAUCACAAAGAAAACACAAGUCAAGCAAUCUCGAACCGACUGAUACCCAUUUUCAUACCUGCGCUGGCUUCAAAGUGAAUGAGGCGCGAGCAGGUGUUGCAGUGAAGGUGGCCAUUCUGAGCUCCGGUUCAACAGAAGGUGAAGGAAACUGUUAGAAUUUGAAUGUGCGCGGAAGCAUGGUUUUAGUUAUGGAUGAUAGUUUUUGAUUAGUGAGGUGUGCAAGUGUUGGUAUUGAUGAUAGUUUUUGGUUAGUGAGGUGUGCAAGUGUAUGGUAUAGUUUGUAGAGGAUGGACAAGGGACAAUAUAUGAUAAUUGAAGGAUAUAGAACAUGGGAAAAAUAGUUUCAUUAGUUGAACAAAAUAGUUUGAUGGAGGUACAAUAGAGAUCUUGACCUCUCAUGGUGGAGGGUUCACCUCACACACAAGGUGGAGGGUUUACCUCUCACUCUCUAAAAUGAAUGAACUACAAGCCUAUUUAUAGGCAUGAGUCACACCUUAGUAUAACAUUCUAGAUUUCUAUAGAAUGUUGUCCAUGUAGGCUUCAUCUAGGUAAUUCUAGAUUGUAGUUCUUCUAGAGACUUCUACAUUUUCUUAGACACAUAAGCUUGUAGACAAUUCUAGAAUUUUUCUUGAAUCUUCUAGCUCAAAACUAUCUUGAAGUUUCUAGAAUUGGAUCACAAACUCCAACACUCCCCCUUGAUCCAAUUUCGGGAUACUCCGGACUUGUAUCAUAAAUCCUCGAACGUACCUUGAAAUUCUCCUUGUAGUUUGUCCCAUGCCUUUUAUGUCGUCUUCAUUCCACGAUCCUUUGCAUUCUCUUGUCGAAUCACUUGCACCUACCUUGGAAUGUGCAUGUCUUUUUUCGGCGAUGUCCCAUAUGUCUCGGGCCAUCAAAAUUUUCUUAGUUGUAGUUGUUAGCUCGGGCUCUGGCUCUGGCUCUCGUAGGCUCUGGCUCUGGCUUCGGCUUUGGUUCUGGCUCUGGCUCCGGCUUUGGCUCUGUUGGCUCUCGCUCGGGCUCUGGCCUUUGAUUCUGGCUCUGGCUCCGGCUCUGGCUCUGUUGGCUCUCGCUCGGGCUCUGGCCUUUUUAGUUGAGGAUGGUGAGGACAAACGCCCAUAAUCAUCCGAUGUGCCUAUCUCUGGCUUCACGAUCCUUUACACCUGGCUCAGUUACGAACCUGGGUGCAACUGGCUCUGAUACCAUGUUAAAAUAUAUUUCGGAUGUGAGCGUUGCGUGGUUUUAGUUAUGGAUGAUAGUUUUUGAUUAGUGAGGUGUGCAAGUGUUGGUAUUGAUGAUAGUUUUUGGUUAGUGAGGUGUGCAAGUGUAUGGUAUAGUUUGUAGAGGAUGGACAAGGGACAAUAUAUGAUAAUUGAAGGAUAUAGAACAUGGGGAAAAUAGUUUCAUUAGUUGAACAAAAUAGUUUGAUGGAGGUACAAUAGAGAUCUUGACCUCUCAUGGUGGAGGGUUCACCUCACACACAAGGUGGAGGGUUUACCUCUCACUCUCUAAAAUGAAUGAACUACAAGCCUAUUUAUAGGCAUGAGUCACACCUUAGUACAACAUUCUAGAUUUCUAUAGAAUGUUGUCCAUGUAGGCUUCAUCUAGGUAAUUCUAGAUUGUAGUUCUUCUAGAGACUUCUACAUUUUCUUAGACACAUAAGCUUGUAGACAAUUCUAGAAUUUUUCUUGAAUCUUCUAGCUCAAAACUAUCUUGAAGUUUCUAGAAUUGGAUCACAAACUCCAACAGAAACGAAUGAGAGAGAGAGAGAGAUCACAGGGAGAACGCGAGAAGUUGUGAGAGGGAGGCGAUGUGUAUAUAGGGGAGAGGGAGGGAGCGGGAGCUUGUAGGACGGUGUUCGUUUCAAGUUAUCUGAAAAGCAAACAUUUUAAAUGAGCACUUUGCCAACGUUACAAAAAAGAAAUUCAAAGCGGAGCAAAAGAACAUUAGAGAAAUUGGCAAUUUGCCACUUUAGGGACGGUCAAGGAAUUUAGGUAAGUGCACUUUUAAUGGAAAGGCCUAGUUAACUUCUUCCUAAAAUUUCACCAUUUUAUCCUGCCUUUUUCUUUUGACAAUUUUACACUUUCGUCUCUCUUUAAAGAUAAAUUGUAUUACAGUAUUAACGUAACAUGGAGAUGAGUGCCAAAAUGAGAAAUUUAAAGAGCGAGAUAAAAUGGGGUUUUGGGUUUUAUGUAAAUGGAUAGAAAAGCCAGUUUCUUUUUCUUUUUUUUUCCUACGAUAAUCAAAACUAGAAGAAUAGUUUUAACAAAAAAAAAAACUAGAAGAAUAGUGUAUUUCAUACUGCCGUGGCUACACUGUGAUGUGUUGAAAUACAUGUGUACGUGUUUGGCAAUGCAUCUUUAAAAGUGGCCAUGCUAUAGACAGCUAUGAUGAUUAAUAUGUUUGAUCACUGUAGCUAUUAGAACGAAGAAAAGACCUUUUAAUAUGGUCGCAGAGUUUUUACAACAUUUAUAUUUGUGUUAUUAGAACUUUUGCAGGAUACCAUUUUCACCAUAUGAUGAUGAUGAUGAUGAUGAUGAUGAUGAUGAUGAUGAUGAUGAUGAUGAUGAUAGUUGAAUCUGGAAUAGACAUUUUGAGAGGGCUUCAUUUCCAACUGAAAUACCAAAGCAAUACAUGUUUAUACAUGAAAUUGCAGUAAGAAAAUGUACGGCAGUACAAUGCUGAACCCUAGAAAUGCACAAUCUACUACAGCCCAACGAUGCGGGCAACCAUGCGGAUCCAAUUGCAAAGGGCAACGAGAGCGACUGUACAAUCACACAGGAGAGGAAAUCCCACUUGUCUUCCUCAACAUCAUCUCCUGUUGAACACAGUAGCAUCUGUCCCUGUGAGCUUAACUAUUCAGAUGUUGAAAGGAUGUAUUAUGCACCAUGGCUUGGAGAUACAGCAAGAUUGGCAUGAUGCCAGGUGAGGGGUAAAGAUAAAAAAGUUCACAUUACUCGCCAUGCAAGUGAUGGGGGUAAAGAUAAGCGCAUCUCUGCUCUNNNNNNNNNNNNNNNNNNNNNNNNNNNNNNNNNNNNNNNNNNNNNNNNNNNNNNNNNNNNNNNNNNNNNNNNNNNNNNNNNNNNNNNNNNNNNNNNNNNNGGGGGGGGGGGGGGGCAGAGGUGGAAAGAAGAACAGCAUUGAAGAGAAACGGAAAAGCAGACUUGCAACAGAAGGCACGGAAAGCUGUUUGCUUUAAGAUACACGACAACCAUGCAGAUGGCCAAUGUUGUCUUCACCACUUAAAAAAUUCUUUCUCGUGGCCCGUAAUGGAAUUUUGUAUGAUUUGCAUUUAAAUAGGAGAAUAAUGUCGUACUUUAAGAUCAUCUACCGCCUGCAAAGUUGCUAUUAUUUUCGUUGAAAAUUCAAAAGAGGGGGGAGGUAUAGAAAGAGAAACAACGAAUGAAGAGAAAGGGAAAGCACAGGCUCUCAACAGAAGGCACAGGAAAGCAGUUUGCUUUAAGAUGCAUGAUAAACUACUAACGAACGAUUUGACGUGGUCUUUAAUAUAAUGUUAUAAGAUUCUACAUCAAUGAUAAUAGUACUUUGUGCUCCACUACUGCCUGCAAAGUUGCUAUUAUCUUUUUUGAAAACUCAAAAGAAGGGGCAACGUAGAAAGAAAAACCGCACCGAAGAGAAAUGAACGUCACCGACUGUCAACAGUGGGCACAACAAAGAUGCUUGCUUUAAGAUGCAUGAUAAUCAUUUCACGUGGUCUCUGAUGAUAUUUUAUAAGAUUUACAUCUGAGUACCAGAUCGAUAUCGUACUUUAUGCUCCACUACUGGCUGAAAAGUUGCUGUUAUCCUCUUUGAAAACUUCAAAGAAGGGGGGAGAGGCAGAAAGAAAAACAACAUUGAAGAGAAACGAGCAUCACCAACCCUCAACAGAAGGCACAAGAAAGCUGCCUGCUUUAAGAUGCAUGAUAAACUACUAAUAAACAAUCAUUUCACGUGGUCUCUGGUUAAAUUUUAUAAGAUUUACAUCCAAAUACAGAAUCAAUAUCGUACUUUAUGCUCUACUAUUCCCUUGAAAGUUGCUAUCAUCUUCUUUGAACGCUCAAAAGAAGGGGAGAGGCAGAAAGGGAAACAACAUUGAAGGGAAACGAACAUCGCAAACUCUCAACAGAAGGCACGAGAAAGCUGUUUGCUUUAAGAUGCGUGACAACCAUGCAUAUGGUCAUUGUUGAAUUCCUACUUAAAACCAAUUAUUUCUCUUAGCCUCUGAUGAGAAUUUACAACCAUUACAGCCAGAUGGAGAAUGAUAUUUUACUUUAUGCUUCAUUACUAUAAUAUAUGUACAUAUCUAUUCAACACAACCAAAAGAAUCAUGUUUCUCACACAUAAAUAGGACAAGUUUUUGGAGUGUCUGAAAUUUUUACAUUCAAAAUGUUAUUGUUUUGCAUCGAAAUAUUGUGACUUGACGCUGGAGAAUUGAAAUUCAAUUGUAAACCUAUCGUAUGAAUUCAAAUUCAAUCCCAAACAUUUUAAUUCAAACAAUGUUGUUUUAAACCUUAGAGUGAAAAUGUAAUCAACUCCUCCUAGUCAAGUCUCGCCUAAAUGGCAGUCCAAUCAUUUGUCAUUGUACGUGUCCCGACUAGUGAUUUGACAUGGACAAAUUUACUCGAAACGGUGCCAUUGUUGCUCAACUCCACAAGCUGUCAACCUUGCCUAGAACUGCCCUCUCUCAAGUUGAUUUCUAUCAACAGUCACAGCUCAGCUAGAGCUGGCACCUCCAAAUGUGGAGGCUCGGCAGUCGGUCACCAUGCCCAUCGGGCUCCUUGGCCCCUCCAUGGAAGAUGAUUGUACAAUCCUGAAAUUUUGAGCGAUGUUUGUUUUCCCUCCCUGACCCUUCCAUGCCAUGCAAGAUGAUUGUAUAACCCUUAAUUUUUUUUGUGACGUAGAAUUUUUUGUUUAAUUUUUAAAUAAUUCUUUUCUUUUCUUUUUUUCUUCCUUCUUCUUCCUCCUCUAGAUGGUCAUGGGACCUCGGUGACUAGCCAGAGACGAGUUGACAAGGCCAACCUUGCCCAACCAUCGCAAGGCUCCCUCGAGACUGGUGAGGCCACCCUUGUCGGCCCUCCUCUCUAGCCGGUCACCGGCUAUCAUCGAGGCUUGACGAGAAGAGGGAGAAUAAGAAAGGAAACAAAAAAAAAAAAUGACCUUCAUUAGAAACUGUUCCUGAGGGCAAAUAAGUAAAUUCCUUCUACUUUCUGUUUUCGUUCUAAAUCUAUUUUCUGACUAUUGAUCUAUUUCGGAAAAAAAAAUUAACUAACAUUAUCAAAUAAUUUUUUUUUUCUGUUUUGGAGAAAGAAAUAACAGAAAAAUAGAGAAAUAAAAUGAUCACCAAAUAGGACCUAACUUUAUAAGUGAAUUUGUAAUUCUUCCCACUCAACCUAUGCCUAUUAUAAGUUUUCUUUUCUUUUAAUAAUUCUUCCUCUCUUCUGUCUCCUCUCUUCAUCGGUAUAAAAUGGGUAAUCAGGGAUGGGUGGCUUGUGUAGUGGAAGAGAAACCUAUUCCCAAUGGUCGACACAGCGAAUUUGGAUCCAAAUUCAAAUACACCAGGGGAAGUCAACUGACCUCUUUCACCAUUACCUCACCACGUUGAGUGUUGAUUUUAACUCCGUAAAAUCCUCUUGUUGAUUUUAACUCCAUAAAAUCCUCUGACACGUCUGCCCCUCGGGACCUUCCAGAUUAUAAAAGCAAGAGCAAAAGUCAUGCUAUUAUUUCCAAUCUUUACCGACACAGAAACGGAUUCGUGCAUAGUUAAUAUGAAAAAACAGCUACCCUAUACAUUGGCAUUUAGUUGAUAAAAAAGGUUGAUCAAUUUAUGGAUGACAUGCAGCGACUUGAAUUCCAUCCACACAUAGAUAACGUGCAGCCAAGGCUAUGUCAAAGCCCCAAUACAUUUAUUAGAUACUAUGCCAUCUCAUUCCACCAAGAGAAGAGGUAUGCAUUUUCGACUCCAGCAGAUGAGAUAUCCUUUGGGAUGGUAGUCUCGGAAGAUGAAUCUUGCUUCUGGUCUCCAUAAUUUGGCAGCAAUGAUGGUGAUUCCACUGGACCGGUUAGGACUACUUUUAUCUUCCUCUCCUCUAUGUAUUUACCACUUUCUUUAUCAAAUUUAAAAUUUAAAAGAAAACUUCUCAGGUUACUUGACCCAAAAGAUUAUGGAACACAAAGCAGCAAAAUCUACCAUGUCAGCAGUAAUGUCCUCUUCAACUGUAUCAAAACCUUGUCUCGACGCUGCAAGACAGGUGGAGCUACCUGCUGUGCUUACAUGGUAACGGCAUCAAACAGAAGAUAGGAUGAAGGGCCUACCCUAAUUCUUUCGAAGUAUCAGGACAUAGCUUCUGAGGCCUAUUGUGGUUUUCCUCUGUCUCAAUGUAUAUUAGGCUACUAUGGUAGGCAUUCAAAAUCUUAUUCAAAGAUGAUCCUUACUGCAAUGCGACUGACAUUGCCUUAAGCAGUUCAUGUCCUAGUAAUAAUACAGUCUUACAGACAUGUCGUGGCAAAGAAAUUGCAAAAUAAUCGUUCAGCUGAUUCAAGUACUGUGGGCAUGUCCAUCCUCACAAGUAUGUCAGUGGCUUUUUAGUAAGUAUGUGAACAUGAUGUUUCACUGACUUGAGCAGAACAAUUUCGAAUCAGAUUAUCCAUUUGGUUGAUGAUGCCUACAUUUGGCCGCACACAGAAUUUCUUCUGAGACGUAGCCUUAGCCUGGAAUGUUUUGGAUAUCCAAUAUAGAUCUCAUAAUGUUUCUCCACAAUAGAGAGUUCUUAAUGCGCUGAUGUACUACUCUGAAAAUUAAAUUACAUCAAGAGAAUACAAGAUUGAAAGGAUAUUGUCCACCCGCCAUAGCCUAAAAAAUAAAACUUGAUCACGGUGAAAGAAAAGGUCCAAAGAAUAUUCACCUUGAAAGCAACAUACCGAUCAGUCUUAUUGCCUAGCGGAAUGAGCAUGAGCUUUGUUUGCUCAACUCAAUUGCAUAAACACGGAGAAGAGGCUUCAGAUGAAAGAAUUUAAAGAGAAAGGGGGCCUGACAUGAGGACAGGAUGUGAUGAAAUGGACCAUCUUACAUUUUCUUUGAUAUAAUGCAGUAAUGCAAUCUCGUCUUGUUCAUUCAUUUUCUCUACUAAUCAUUCUCUCGGUCAUUUGGUUACAACAACCAUUCACCUACUUAAUCUCCAGAAAGAAAUUUACCGCAGAAGUCAUUCUAAGAGUUUGUGGUGUGNNNNNNNNNNNNNNNNNNNNNNNNNNNNNNNNNNNNNNNNNNNNNNNNNNNNNNNNNNNNNNNNNNNNNNNNNNNNNNNNNNNNNNNNNNNNNNNNNNNNNNNNNNNNNNNNNNNNNNNNNNNNNNNNNNNNNNNNNNNNNNNNNNNNNNNNNNNNNNNNNNNNNNNNNNNNNNNNNNNNNNNNNNNNNNNNNNNNNNNNNNNNNNNNNNNNNNNNNNNNNNNNNNNNNNNNNNNNNNNNNNNNNNNNNNNNNNNNNNNNNNNNNNNNNNNNNNNNNNNNNNNNNNNNNNNNNNNNNNNNNNNNNNNNNNNNNNNNNNNNNNNNNNNNNNNNNNNNNNNNNNNNNNNNNNNNNNNNNNNNNNNNNNNNNNNNNNNNNNNNNNNNNNNNNNNNNNNNNNNNNNNNNNNNNNNNNNNNNNNNNNNNNNNNNNNNNNNNNNNNNNNNNNNNNNNNNNNNNNNNNNNNNNNNNNNNNNNNNNNNNNNNNNNNNNNNNNNNNNNNNNNNNNNNNNNNNNNNNNNNNNNNNNNNNNNNNNNNNNNNNNNNNNNNNNNNNNNNNNNNNNNNNNNNNNNNNNNNNNNNNNNNNNNNNNNNNNNNNNNNNNNNNNNNNNNNNNNNNNNNNNNNNNNNNNNNNNNNNNNNNNNNNNNNNNNNNNNNNNNNNNNNNNNNNNNNNNNNNNNNNNNNNNNNNNNNNNNNNNNNNNNNNNNNNNNNNNNNNNNNNNNNNNNNNNNNNNNNNNNNNNNNNNNNNNNNNNNNNNNNNNNNNNNNNNNNNNNNNNNNNNNNNNNNNNNNNNNNNNNNNNNNNNNNNNNNNNNNNNNNNNNNNNNNNNNNNNNNNNNNNNNNNNNNNNNNNNNNNNNNNNNNNNNNNNNNNNNNNNNNNNNNNNNNNNNNNNNNNNNNNNNNNNNNNNNNNNNNNNNNNNNNNNNNNNNNNNNNNNNNNNNNNNNNNNNNNNNNNNNNNNNNNNNNNNNNNNNNNNNNNNNNNNNNNNNNNNNNNNNNNNNNNNNNNNNNNNNNNNNNNNNNNNNNNNNNNNNNNNNNNNNNNNNNNNNNNNNNNNNNNNNNNNNNNNNNNNNNNNNNNNNNNNNNNNNNNNNNNNNNNNNNNNNNNNNNNNNNNNNNNNNNNNNNNNNNNNNNNNNNNNNNNNNNNNNNNNNNNNNNNNNNNNNNNNNNNNNNNNNNNNNNNNNNNNNNNNNNNNNNNNNNNNNNNNNNNNNNNNNNNNNNNNNNNNNNNNNNNNNNNNNNNNNNNNNNNNNNNNNNNNNNNNNNNNNNNNNNNNNNNNNNNNNNNNNNNNNNNNNNNNNNNNNNNNNNNNNNNNNNNNNNNNNNNNNNNNNNNNNNNNNNNNNNNNNNNNNNNNNNNNNNNNNNNNNNNNNNNNNNNNNNNNNNNNNNNNNNNNNNNNNNNNNNNNNNNNNNNNNNNNNNNNNNNNNNNNNNNNNNNNNNNNNNNNNNNNNNNNNNNNNNNNNNNNNNNNNNNNNNNNNNNNNNNNNNNNNNNNNNNNNNNNNNNNNNNNNNNNNNNNNNNNNNNNNNNNNNNNNNNNNNNNNNNNNNNNNNNNNNNNNNNNNNNNNNNNNNNNNNNNNNNNNNNNNNNNNNNNNNNNNNNNNNNNNNNNNNNNNNNNNNNNNNNNNNNNNNNNNNNNNNNNNNNNNNNNNNNNNNNNNNNNNNNNNNNNNNNNNNNNNNNNNNNNNNNNNNNNNNNNNNNNNNNNNNNNNNNNNNNNNNNNNNNNNNNNNNNNNNNNNNNNNNNNNNNNNNNNNNNNNNNNNNNNNNNNNNNNNNNNNNNNNNNNNNNNNNNNNNNNNNNNNNNNNNNNNNNNNNNNNNNNNNNNNNNNNNNNNNNNNNNNNNNNNNNNNNNNNNNNNNNNNNNNNNNNNNNNNNNNNNNNNNNNNNNNNNNNNNNNNNNNNNNNNNNNNNNNNNNNNNNNNNNNNNNNNNNNNNNNNNNNNNNNNNNNNNNNNNNNNNNNNNNNNNNNNNNNNNNNNNNNNNNNNNNNNNNNNNNNNNNNNNNNNNNNNNNNNNNNNNNNNNNNNNNNNNNNNNNNNNNNNNNNNNNNNNNNNNNNNNNNNNNNNNNNNNNNNNNNNNNNNNNNNNNNNNNNNNNNNNNNNNNNNNNNNNNNNNNNNNNNNNNNNNNNNNNNNNNNNNNNNNNNNNNNNNNNNNNNNNNNNNNNNNNNNNNNNNNNNNNNNNNNNNNNNNNNNNNNNNNNNNNNNNNNNNNNNNNNNNNNNNNNNNNNNNNNNNNNNNNNNNNNNNNNNNNNNNNNNNNNNNNNNNNNNNNNNNNNNNNNNNNNNNNNNNNNNNNNNNNNNNNNNNNNNNNNNNNNNNNNNNNNNNNNNNNNNNNNNNNNNNNNNNNNNNNNNNNNNNNNNNNNNNNNNNNNNNNNNNNNNNNNNNNNNNNNNNNNNNNNNNNNNNNNNNNNNNNNNNNNNNNNNNNNNNNNNNNNNNNNNNNNNNNNNNNNNNNNNNNNNNNNNNNNNNNNNNNNNNNNNNNNNNNNNNNNNNNNNNNNNNNNNNNNNNNNNNNNNNNNNNNNNNNNNNNNNNNNNNNNNNNNNNNNNNNNNNNNNNNNNNNNNNNNNNNNNNNNNNNNNNNNNNNNNNNNNNNNNNNNNNNNNNNNNNNNNNNNNNNNNNNNNNNNNNNNNNNNNNNNNNNNNNNNNNNNNNNNNNNNNNNNNNNNNNNNNNNNNNNNNNNNNNNNNNNNNNNNNNNNNNNNNNNNNNNNNNNNNNNNNNNNNNNNNNNNNNNNNNNNNNNNNNNNNNNNNNNNNNNNNNNNNNNNNNNNNNNNNNNNNNNNNNNNNNNNNNNNNNNNNNNNNNNNNNNNNNNNNNNNNNNNNNNNNNNNNNNNNNNNNNNNNNNNNNNNNNNNNNNNNNNNNNNNNNNNNNNNNNNNNNNNNNNNNNNNNNNNNNNNNNNNNNNNNNNNNNNNNNNNNNNNNNNNNNNNNNNNNNNNNNNNNNNNNNNNNNNNNNNNNNNNNNNNNNNNNNNNNNNNNNNNNNNNNNNNNNNNNNNNNNNNNNNNNNNNNNNNNNNNNNNNNNNNNNNNNNNNNNNNNNNNNNNNNNNNNNNNNNNNNNNNNNNNNNNNNNNNNNNNNNNNNNNNNNNNNNNNNNNNNNNNNNNNNNNNNNNNNNNNNNNNNNNNNNNNNNNNNNNNNNNNNNNNNNNNNNNNNNNNNNNNNNNNNNNNNNNNNNNNNNNNNNNNNNNNNNNNNNNNNNNNNNNNNNNNNAAAACCUCUGACACAUCCAGCCCUUCAGGAUGCUGGCAUCAAAAGACAAUCCUUCUGGAUUAUAAGAGUGAGAACAGAAGUCAUAUUCUAUCAUGAGUAAUAGAAAUGGAUACAUGUACAGUUAAUAUGAGAAAAAAGCUAUCCUAUACACUCGCAUUUAGUUGCUAAAGAGGUUGAUCAAUUAUAGAUGAUGUGUAGCAACUUGAUUUCCAUUUACAUAAAUAACAUGCGGCCCAGCCAAUGCUGUGGCAAAGCCCCGAUCCAUGUAUUAGAUACAAAGCCAUCUCAACCCAGAAAGACAAUAAAGUGACAUAUUGAUGUUUUCUGGCAGUCAUACCCUGAGAAAAGGUGAUGCAUUUUCGACUCCAGCAGGUGAGAUAUCCUUUGGGAUGGUAGUCUCGGAAGAUGAAUCUUGCUUCCGGUCUCUGUAAUCUGGCAGCCCUGAAGGUGAUUCCACUGGACUGGUUAGGACUGCUUUUAUCAUCCUCUCACUUAUGUAUUUACCGCUUUCUUUAUGCAAUUGAAAAUUCAAUAGAAAAUUUCUUGAGUCGCUUGACCUGAAAGAUUAUGAAACAUAUAGCAGAAAAACCUACCAUGUCAGCAAUAGUGUCCUCUUCACCUGUAUCAAAAACUUGUCUCUGCACAGCAGGACAGGUGGAGCUACCUGCCGUGCUUACAUGGUAACUGCAUCAAACAGAAGAUGGGAUGAAGGCCUACUCCAAUUCUUGUUGCCUAGCGGAAUCAGGCAUGAGCUUUGUUUACUUAACUCAACUGCAUAAACACAGAGAAGAGGCCUAAGAUAAAAGAACUUAAUGGGGCAUGACAUGAGAGCAGGAUGUGAUGAAAUGGACCAUCAUACAUUUUCUUUGAAGAUAUAAUGCAGCAAUGAAGUCUCAUUUUGUGCGUUAGUUUUCUCUACUGAACAUUCUCAGUCAUUUGGUUACAGCACUCACCUACUUUUAUCUCUAGAAAGAAAUUCACUCACAUGGCACUAUAAGAGUUUGUGGUGUGAAGAUAGAAACUAUGCAAAAAGAAAGAACCUGACCAAAUAUUCGAAAACAGCACAAGGAAAAGAACUUGAAAAACAGGGCGACCAAUGACCGAUUCAUACUCGCCAUUGAAGCUCAUGCUUUUAGAUAUUUUUUUUACCAUUAUUUAUGAUGUUGAACCACAAUUCUCAAGCAAAUUAUUGUAGAAUAGAGGANNNNNNNNNNNNNNNNNNNNNNNNNNNNNNNNNNNNNNNNNNNNNNNNNNNNNNNNNNNNNNNNNNNNNNNNNNNNNNNNNNNNNNNNNNNNNNNNNNNNNNNNNNNNNNNNNNNNNNNNNNNNNNNNNNNNNNNNNNNNNNNNNNNNNNNNNNNNNNNNNNNNNNNNNNNNNNNNNNNNNNNNNNNNNNNNNNNNNNNNNNNNNNNNNNNNNNNNNNNNNNNNNNNNNNNNNNNNNNNNNNNNNNNNNNNNNNNNNNNNNNNNNNNNNNNNNNNNNNNNNNNNNNNNNNNNNNNNNNNNNNNNNNNNNNNNNNNNNNNNNNNNNNNNNNNNNNNNNNNNNNNNNNNNNNNNNNNNNNNNNNNNNNNNNNNNNNNNNNNNNNNNNNNNNNNNNNNNNNNNNNNNNNNNNNNNNNNNNNNNNNNNNNNNNNNNNNNNNNNNNNNNNNNNNNNNNNNNNNNNNNNNNNNNNNNNNNNNNNNNNNNNNNNNNNNNNNNNNNNNNNNNNNNNNNNNNNNNNNNNNNNNNNNNNNNNNNNNNNNNNNNNNNNNNNNNNNNNNNNNNNNNNNNNNNNNNNNNNNNNNNNNNNNNNNNNNNNNNNNNNNNNNNNNNNNNNNNNNNNNNNCCAAUGGGCUAAGUUACUGAGAAUAUAAAAAUAAAAUUUAGUUGUUUCUGAUGUCAUAUGGAAAGUCUUAUCUAAAACUGGCAUAUGAUAAGAAAUAUGUCUCUUAUUCAGCUAAGACAAUUAGACAUAUCUUAGCUGCAACAUGACAGCACCAAGUCAUAUCUUGCUCUUUCUGAUAAGAAAUAUGUCUCUUAUUCAGCAAUAAGACAAUUAGACAUAUCUCAGCUGCAACAUGACAGCACCAAAAGUCAUAUCUUGCUCUUUUUGAAUGGACAAGUGAGCAACUCUUUGCCUUAAACGACUCCACCACAUGAACACAUUCGUGAUGGCAACCAAAAUGAGCUUUUGCUCAUGUUCAAAGCCUAAGCAUGCAAGAAAAUUAAAGAGCUCCGACUCUUGAAGAGCAAUGGACUUCUUCUGCAAACCUCAGAUUGCUGACAAAUCGAGGAUUAGCCUUAAAAAACUGUUCCUCUCAUAAACAUAAGUACAAUCACAACAUCUCAAUUCACAAGGCAGUGCAUGUAUUAAUAUACACAUCAUGGAUAUUCCAAAGAACUUACAAGAGAAGAUAACUCCUAGUAACUGCUGGGUACAAUGGAAAUGAACAUUCAAAGCCCAGGAUUAUUCCUGGGAAAAAUGGAAAAGUGGGGAACAACAGACUUUUACAUCACAUGAAGUAAGAACGACAUAAUGAGUGAAUUUAACCGUCCCAUAGAAUUCUAUUAGCAAUGGCAGUGUCCACUGAUUCCAGUUCUUCCACUACUUCAGUCCUGGAAGGCUGCUUGUUAGGAGUCAUUCGGAGGCAUUGUAAAGCAAGUUGUGCUAACUGGAAUCCAGAAUCCAUAUAUGUAGGGUAUAGGGACGGUAUAAAUUUGGUUCCCAAUUGCAGCAGGUUGCAAUAUCAUGAGCGACCAGUUUCCUCUAAAAUAACCAGUAUUUCUUUUUUGGUUUCUGAGGAAGGGGAACAUCUGCAGAAAAUGAAAAGUCAUGUAGGCAAUGCAACUGUGGAUUCCAUGCCAAAUGAUUUAAGUAGCUAAAAGGGAAACACACCUUGUGUUUCAUAGAGGGGAUUAUAGUGAACUCAUAUCCAGAAACUCAACCAAAGCUCUGCAUCAAUUGAAAGUAAGGUUAACAAAAGGAAAAACUUAAAAAGAAAAUGGAGUUUCAAAAGACCAGUUGCUCAUUGAACAAAAGCAAAAGUAGAUCAAUUGCAAAUGUUUACAUCUAGGUUCUAAAUCAAUCAAUAUAUUUAACCCUACCCAAGUAGCUGUUCCAAGCAAGCAAAAUAACAAAUAUUUAAUUUCAGAGACCAAAAACAAGCAAAGCAUCACAAAGGAGGGUCUAUGUGUAUAUGUAUGCAAGCAACGCUCUUUUUUCCAAGACAACCAAGGAGUAAAAUAUACCCAUUUGGAAUUUUAACAAACCAAACCCAAGAACUUCACAUUUAUCACAUUGCACCUACUGACGAUUUGAACCAACAAAACAACUAUGAAGAAGAAGACAAGCAAGCAAUACCCUCGACAGAGGGAACUUAUAAAUCCAAUUGCCAAACAAUAAUUAGGCUGCAAAUAUAAGUAUCAUCUAGGGGCUUUUUCCCUCCUUCAUGCUCUCCAACAACAACCAAAUAAGCAUUGAACAUCGGUGACUCACUGGAAUAGAUAAAUUCAUCAUUCUUCAAAAUCCUACAUUCCAACAGCUGCUCACUGCCAUCAUACGGCAUUACCUAACAUAUAUCCGACCAUCAAUCACGACAUGGACUAAUCUACUCAAAACAAGCUCAAUCACGCAGAGUAUUACAAUCAGAAGCACAGAACAGAACAAUCCGUGAUGAUGGAAAUAAUGAAAUCCCAAGCAGCAUUGAGCUGCUGUCAUUCAGUUCAAUUGAGCAAGCUAAACUUGGGAAAAAAAGGGUAAUAAAUCGAUAGCCACUGCAGUUUUCACAUAGAUUAGCUAGUCAAACCGAAUCACGUCCUACCCAAUCAAAGGCAACUAAAUUGCCGAUCGGGUUGAGCUGGACAUCAAUGGUAGAGAUUAGUAGUGAAAGCAAAGGUACCUUGCUGGUGGUGGCGCGGAGAGAGAGGAAGCUGUCGCAAUAGACCGUGCGCUUCAGCUUCUGCUUCAGGUGCUUCUUGAAGGUGACAUUCCAGCAAGCAUGGUCUCAAGCACAUAGUUCAUUUCAUCAAACACCAAAAUUGCACAUGAUCACCAAACACUAGACAGGCAAAACUUAGAUGGUUCACACUCACACAAAGCAUAAUUCAGCACACUAAUUACAAACACAAUCCAAGAGCAGUUCAGGAUUGAAAAAGAAAACCAGAGCACAUCUGUCCAUUCCUAGAACUUGCAUUACCAGCUCAAAAUGCAAGCAUUGAGUCCAUCACAAAGGAGUCAUACUGGAUUCCUGAAAGCUCUGACGUAUUCAUCUGUGGGAUUCUGCUGAGUCUGGAUGUUCUGUGGAAGGGCAACAAGGAUGUCGAUGCCAGAUUUCUGUCCCUCAAUAUUCUGUUUGAUGUGAAGUUCGUUUUCCUAAUCAAAACUCCAGAGUUAAAGCAUAAGCUGGUAGACUUGGGUGCAAUUUCUCCCUCUCUGCCCAGCCUUGAUUGAGGAUGAGGACCCCAAUACCAAUGUGUGUGCAGAAGCUCCUUCCGAUGCUCAUAGAGUUCAACUUGACUAAAAUUUCUGAGAUUCUACAACCAAAGACAGUCAGCCACUGCUUCAGAUUCUCACUUGGUGAUCUGUCCUGUGCAAAUGUGAAUGAUGGUGAGCUGCGCGUGGCUCUGGCAUCGGCUCUGGAAAUGGAUCCCAAGUUGCUUUCUCAGCUGAAAGUAGUAUGGCAUAUUGGAAACCUUUUGGAGUUUGUGCAUGAGAAAAAUAUGGAAGAUUUUCUCAAAUUGAUGCUUGGCUUGUGCAAAGCUCUUCUUUUUUGAUCACUAGGUUCUAUGAAAGGUUCCACAUACAUGGAAGAGCCAAUACUACUUGAUGAAAGUUCUUCUAAGGCAGUGAGUAACAUAUGAUACAUAACUGACUUUGGUGGCAGUGCCAGUGUUUUCCGGGAAUUUAGUGGUUCUCAUGACAGAAACAGUGCCAAUAUUGCUUCUAAAUGCACAGCUCUAUUACUGAAGGCAGCUCCAAGGGAAGGUGCUCUCUUUUUCUUACCAAUCUCCUGUAAGCCAGUGCGAUUCUCGAGUCUCAGCAAAAGGGUGCUCCUUCUCUACUGGUACCAACGAAUGCUGCAUUCUCUCAGUUACUCCUGUAGGCGAUGUUUACUGCACGGAAUGACUUUUGUCAGUGUGCCUGUCAAAGAUUGCUAUGAUUGAAGGCAUCAUUGCUGAGAUAAAAUAUUCUGGUGCUGCUGCUUUAGCCAGUGCUGCCACAUUGGUAAUCUCAGAAUUGCGGUGGCUACCUCAUUUAUGACUUCUCCAUAACAUCUGCAAGUCCCACUAAGAAGCACACCUUUCCCGAAAAAUAAACUGAACUUAAGCAUGGCAAUACAGAGUGUCUGUCUAAUUCAAAAUCGCAACAAUGAGUUGAUUGUGCUUUCAAGUCCCAGGAUGAGAACCAUAGUUGUAUGACCUUCCAACACACAUUCCAUCUAUUUGUUUACAGCAUAGCGAAUUUAUCUCCCAUGCAAAGUGAGGUUAUCAAUUUCAAAAUAUGUGUGAAGCAGCAAAUCAACAACGAUCUCUAAUAAUUUGUUACAUAUCAAGUAAAAAUGAUGCAAUUGACAUGCAUAUAUCUCUAGGAGAAACCAUCCUAAGAAAAUGUAGCUAAAAAAGCCAAACCAAACUAGGAAAAGAACACAAUACUUGUACAUAAUUAAGAGCCCUCUGGCUGUUCGAAGGCAUCAUAAUUUAAAUACCUUCAUCAGAUUUUCAGAAAAGAAUCCGCUAAAAGGUCAUUAAAAAGUGCAUGCAAAACUUCUCUGUUCAUAUCUGUGAAAGAAUUUGAUUGCCAAAAAAGGAAAACAUUGGUACUUACCUCAAUUUGUUUAAGGUUUGAACACAAGGGAACAAUUUGUGGUCGCGCAUCAAAAAGCUUCCAAGUGCAAUGUGCACUUAUUCAUCUUCUUCAUCGUCUUCUUCAUCAGAUUCGUCUUCUUCAUCGUCUUCUUCCACAGAUUCGUCUUCUUCAUCAGAUUCGUCUUCUUCAUCGUCUUCUUCCACAGAUUCGUCUUCUUCAUCGUCUUCUCCCACAAAUUUGAUUGACUGCUCCGAGCAAAGCUGAGAAAUUUCCUGCACUGCUAAUUUCCCACAACGUAAUAUUGUAACCUCUCGCACACUCUUCAAGCUUGAUAGAUCAGGCAACUUCUGUAAAGAUCCACAAUCUUUAAUCUUCAAUAUAUUCAAAGAUUGGGGUAGUUUGCCUUGAAUCUCAACCAGAUUAUGACAAUGUACUACUGAAAGAUAUGUUAUUCCGUCCAAAUUGCUAAGAUCAGGGAUCUGCAUCUGUUUAAAGCCAGAAAGCAGCAACCGAUGUCCACCACUAUAUUCAAACUCCUGAUUGCGAAAUUUUAUAAAAACAUUUGCCUUACCCACUAAGCUGAACAGAUCAGGGAACUCCAGAAACAAAUCUAAUUUAUCUAAUUUAUCGCAUCCUCUUAUUGUGAACCCCCCUUGCAGUCUCUUCAAGCUUGACAGCUCAGGCAACUUCUGUAAAGACUUACAGCAUUGAAUAUCCAAAUGUUCCAAAGAUUGGGGUAGUUCGCCUUGAAUCUCAACCAGAUUAUGACAAGAUUCUACUCUAAGAAGUGUUAUUCCAUCCAUCUUGCUUAGAUCAGGGAUCUGCAUCUGUUUAAUGCCAGAAAGCUGCAACCGAUUUCCACUUAAAUAUUCAAAAUCCUGAUUGCCAAUAUGCACAUACACAUAAACAUGUGUCUUACCCAUUAUGCUGAACGGAUCGGGGAACUCCUGUAACGAAUCGCAGGAACAAAUUUUAAGUUCAUCCAAAAACCGUGGUAGUUCGCCUUGAAUCUCAACCAGAUUACCACAAGUGAUUACUUCAAUAUGCCUCAGCUUGUUUAACUUGCUUAGAUCAGGUAGCAUCACCAGCUGUACGACGUCCCAAAGGCGGAAAUAUCGUAGGUUCUCCAAACAACCAAGGCCUUCAAUCUUUGCAACUGCAGAGCAGCAAAUGUCGAGAUCCGAUAGUUUCCUCAAAUUCGAUAGAUCCAUCGAGCCAAGUGAGUCGCAACCAGAGAGACGUAAGACGGAUAAACUUGAGGGAAGCCUCGGGGGGAGAGGCGGAUGAGGAGGGAGGCUGAGGUCUGUCGAUGAGGCGGUCCCCCCGAAAAAGCGCAAUAGCAGAGAUUCCAAUUUGCUUAAGUUCCCAAUCCACCGUGGUAUCCGUUUUUCCAGGAGCCCAUCAGAUUUCCCAUCACAGUUAGGUGGGCCAAAGCCUAGAUGCAAUACCUUUAAGUUAGCGAGAUUUGAGAGAUCCGGAAACGUGUCCACCCUCAACUCCUCCACUACUAAUUCGAUGAGACUUUCAGGAAACCUUGGUAGGGCGUGUACUCCCGGCCAUCCCAAUAUCUCCUCAAAUGGACCCCCGUAUAAGCAAUAGCCACUUAUUGCGUGGGCAUGUGUGACAUGAUUAUAACGGUCGGCGAUUUCCAUUCCCUUGACCUUCCCCAUCUUCUUCUUACAAGCAUCAUUGUUCGUUCUGUUUUCGAAACCAUUCUGCAUCUUCAUUACUUUCAAAUUCUUCAACAUUCCAAUGGAAUCGGGUACUUCUUCGAUGCUCGUGUGACUUAUGUCCAACUUAGUUAGCAAAUCCAAAUUUCCAACCGUCUCCGGAAGCCUCUGAAGAUUCCAACAAUUGCUUACAUCUAAGAAAAUUAAGCGUUUCAACUGACAAAUUGAUCCAUCAAUUUCGAUUAAUGAUUCACAGCCUGAUAGGAUCAAACGUUCUAAAUUUGAAUGAGCUGAGAAGUUGGGGAUUCUCUUCAAGUGUCGACAAUGGGCCAGAUUCAGAACUUUCAAAUUCUUCAACAUUCCAAUGGAAUUGGGUACUUCUUUGAUGCUCGUGUGACUUAUGUCCAACUCAGUUAGCAAAUCCCAAUUUCCAACCGUCUCCGGAAGCCUCUGAAGAUUCCAACAAUUGCUUACAUCUAAGAAAAUUAAGCGUUUCAACUGACAAAUUGAUCCAUCAAUUUCGAUUAAUGAUUCACAGCCUGAUAGGAUCAAACGUUCUAAAUUUGAAUGAACUGAGAAGUUGGGGGUUCUCUUCAAGCGUCGGCAAUGGGCCAGAUUCAGAACUUUCAAAUUCUUAAUCACCUGUGAAAGAAAAAUCAUGCAAAGUUUACUUUCGAAUUUAAUGAGAUGGAAGAAUAAGUGUUCUCUAGCAUAUAACAUACCUUCAUGUGGCUCCACCCCUUCCAAUCAUGUGUAAUUUCACUCUCAAAUAGAUCAAGGAUAGUCAAAUUCUCUACGGAGAAAUUUGCAAUCUCAAAUGUUGGGUGAAUAUUAUGCCAAGAAAGCCAGCGUAAUUCUGGAAGGAGAUUUGAAUCCAAAACAUCAGUUGGAAGAAGCAUCUUUUCUACACAAAAAGUUUGCUCCGAGUCAUCAACUUCAAGGAACCUUAGCCUUGAUAGGCUCUUAAAGUCCUUGUAGGUAAAACGGUUCUGAUGGUCCAAGCGGAGGCGAAGAGCUUCAACUUUUUUCUUCGUCUGCCCAAGGGAAAAUUUUUAAAAACAAGAAAGUUGAAGGGAAACACAUUUAGCCAAAUUCACUAUUUUAAAGGACUGAGUUGAGUACUACCGUUCCAUUAAUCUUAAAAAAGCAAAAAUGUCCAUAAGUAACUUGGAAAUUAAUGCACAGGGGAUUUUACCUUAGGGCUCUUCAGCAAAUCCAACGCUUUCUCACGAUCCCACACCCUACUUUGUUUAUUUAUAUUGGUUUCUUGACAAACUAUUUGUCUUCCAAGGUCUCUAAGUUGGUCGUGCAUCCACACUUUAUUAUCCUCUUUAAUCUUUACCAAAGACAUGUUCUCCAAAACAUCCAUGGCAUAUUCCGAAUGGAAUUCAGAUUCCCAAAAAUGAACUACAAUGUCUUUAUCAUAUCCAAUUAAGAGACAAGCUAUAUCAAGGAACUUUUGCUUUUCCUUUUCUUCUAAUUCAUCAUAACUUAUUUUCAAUCUACUCUGGACAUCCUUAUGAGGAUCACUUUCCCACUUACGUAAUUCGAAAUCCCACUUUUUCUUUUCAGUAGUGCAAGAUAAAAGUGAACCCAUGAGCUCAAGAGCUAGUGGAAGACCUCCAGCAAUUUUUAUCGCCCUCUCAGAUUGGUCGAUAUACUCGUCUAAAGGAUGAUCUCUUCUAAAGGCAUGUUUGCUAAAGAGUUGAAGAGAUUGAUCAUGAUCCAUGCCCGAAAGCUCAUAACAGCUGUCCACUUUAAGAACAUCAAGAACUUCUUUGUUUCUAGUAGUAAUAAUAAUUCUGCUCCCUUUACCAAACCAAUCACACUCACCAACAAGUGCAUCGCUAUGAUUCUUUUCAUGUACAUCAUCGAGAAGGAGGAGGACUCUUUUAUUAGACAACCAGGCUUUGAUGGUAUUAAUCCCAUCAUCAAUGUUUCUUAUAUAUGUGCAUUUGUCUUUGAGAAUGCUGGAGAUGAGCUGAUUCUGCAAGGAUUCAAUGCCCUCGCGUUCUGACAUUUCACGGAUGUUGGACAGAAAGCAACAAUCCUCAAAAUUUUCUAAAAGCUGAUUGUAGAUGAUUUUGGCAGUUGUCGUCUUCCCGAUGCCACCCAUCCCAUAGAUUCCUAUAAUCCGUGUUUCACUUGUGCGAGGACCUAUCAAUUCCGUGAUUGCAUCAACAUGGUUGUCGACAUUGACCAAGCAAUUUGAUACUACCAAAUAAGCCUUUUUCAACUCAUUGAAAACCUUCUGCAUGAUUGUUUUUGCAAACUGACCUUCUUGCCUAUUAUUCGUUGAAAGUCAAAAGGCAAUGAGUUAGAAAAUUGAGUUAAGCCAAACUAUGCUCUAACAAGACCAAAUUGAAAACUACAGACCUAUUCUAAAUGCGUUCCUCAACGAUUUAUACCAUUUUGAUAAACUAGCACUGGAACUUAGGGUAAAUGAAUGACCUGAACUAACGGAAAAAUGUUGCUUGCUGGGAAUGAAAUGGGACAAAAAUUGACAUGGUGAUAUUAUUUAGCCUGAUUUUGCUGCAUAAUUUCAAUUGCAUACAAUUCAAUUUCAACAAGACUAACACAAAUUUAGAAAAGAAACCAAUUUAAAUGCAUCGAGUUUAACGAUACAAGGCACAUGAGAUGGAAUGCUAAAAGUAGUCACCUGUUGGGCAUGCUUUGCAGGUCCCAUCCAUUUAUAUCCGCGACUGUAGUGAGAGCAUCCUUCCACUCCGCAAUAGUCUUUUCGUCAUAUCGCCUCUUUCUUUUGUGUGAAACAAAAGCUUUUUUAAAACUCCCGGUUUGGCGUCGAACAUCCGAAGGUGUCACAUCAUAAAAUAUGGGCAUGAUCUUUUGUCCUUCAUUUUUCUGGCACUUGACCAUUUGAACUAGCUCUCUGAGACACCAUACGCUAGAGGCAUAACCUUUUGAAAAGAUAGGUAUUAAGAUCUUCGACUGAUUGAUUGCUUCAGGAAGUUCUGGGGCAAACUCUUCCCCGACACGGAGCGCGUCAUCGUCCCUAAAUGUGCGGAUUCCUGCAUCUAUAAGAUAAUUGUAAAGGAAGUCGGUAAAACCUGAUCGUGUGUCAGGCCCUCUGAAACUCAAGAAUACUUCAUAGUCAUGUCCGGAAGAUGUUGCCGUUUCCUCAACUUGUGGUGUAGUGCAAGUAUGAGCAGCCCUCUCUACGGUACCAUUCUGUGGAGCUGAAUCAUUAUCUGCACUGCCCUCCACAGCGGUCUGACCUGCUCUUUUCUUCAGGAAUCCUUUGAACAGGAUGGCAGAGAGAGAUAUGGCAGCAACUGUCACCAUACAGGGCAACCGCAAGUGCUCAAGCAUUUUGUGAGUUAGCAAAGAGAAGGUUUUUAGUUAGAAAUACAGGGGAAUGGUGGAACAGCAGAGAUGAGAGGCGGCACUUAAAGAUCAGGAUGGAGUAACGAGGAACGGCUAGAAAUCGCCAGAGAAAGAGUAGAGACUGAGGCGAGGGCGGCCACUGAUGCUGCGACGGAACAUCGACGAGGCAGACGAGGAGAAGGAUCGAGAGAANNNNNNNNNNNNNNNNNNNNNNNNNNNNNNNNNNNNNNNNNNNNNNNNNNNNNNNNNNNNNNNNNNNNNNNNNNNNNNNNNNNNNNNNNNNNNNNNNNNNAUCACCCAUUCUGUAUGCGGUAAUUCCGCUCGGGGUAUAACAUUCAACUGCAAUUUCAUAAAAGGUUCUGAAGGAUUAUUCUCUACACAUCAGAAAAGGUCACCAUCUUUCAUCUGGCAUUUCCUAAACAUUGUUCACACUGCGCUAGCUUUGAGGAAGAAAAAAAAAAUAGUAGCAACAACGUUUCACGUGCUAUGAUGCAUAACAAGUUGGUCUCCAAGACCAACCCAUCACAUCCGCUUUGAUGUAAGUUGUCUCUUCUCAUAUCUUAGGAACGAAAAUUGUCCCUUUCUAAGGUUGAUUCUAGAGAUUUGGCCCUCCACUUUCCUUUUUGAGUUCAUAUUUGAUCACAUCCUUUUAUUUGAUGAGCAAAACUAAAAUACGAAUCCUACACUUCGGUGACCGUUUGAAUUCUUGCCCAAGGCUUUCAUAUUACAAAAAAAAAUAAAAAAUCAAUGUAUUUAAAAAAUACUUCAGCUGUGCUUGCAAACAAGUGUAAGCUGAAGUAUUAAAGUGGUGGAAUGUCAUUGGAAGGUUAAACCAACGAACAGACCAUGGCUAGCAGAGUAUCCUUCCAAAUGUCACUUCUAGAAAUAUAGACAUAGCACAAUGUAGAGUUUUCUUCUUAAAAAAAUUUGGCUCGAAUCUCAUGAACUUAAAUAAUUCCCAAAGGGUCUUACAUCUCAACAAACAACAUGAUUGCAUUUACAUUGGACACAGCACAGUGCAAAGUUUCCGGCCGGCCACCCCGGAGGAGUUGCCCUCCUCCGGGACCUUUCAUUGGAGGUUUACCAACCUAGUAUGCUAGGAGAAGGCAGUGACCUCCCUCCAGGCGGGAUCCCAGCACUAGAAGUGCUAUGGCCGGAGAGCCCAAUGGGGACUCUAUCCUGUUUUCCUCCCCUCACUUCCCUGUAAAUGGGUUGUGGGAGGAAGCACCCUAGGAUGUCCUAUUAAGGGUGGAGCACUUUAAGGACCUGCUUAGGUCCUCACUUCUAGAAAUAUAGACAUAGCACAAUGCAUAGUUUUCUUGUAAAAAAAAUUUGGCUCGAAUCUCACGAACUUAAAUAAUUCCCAAAGGGUCUUACAUCUCAACAAACAACAUGAUUGCAUUUACAUUGGACACUGCACAGUGCAAAGUUUUUUUUUUUUUUUUGGUUAGUGCAAAGUUUUUAUUCCCCUUAAAAUAAAAUUAAGAAAAAAGACAAAAAGACAAAAGUUCGAAUCUUUUUGAAUCUCUAUAAUAUAAAUAAUUUCUUCCUAAUGUCACUUCCAGAAAUAUGGACAUCUAGUCUCUCUAGAUUAGAUCAAAACAUUAUCCAACGCAAUUCAUUUGAUGAAUGGUUGUAGUUUGAAAUCUUACAAAGUUCUAAAAUUCCGCUGGCCAAAAAGGAGUUUUGAUAUAUGCGUUGUAAGUUUGAAUAAUCAAAUAAUAAAUUUCAAAUAUAGCUGGUAAGUGAAAAUUACAUAUGACUUUAUAUAUAUAUAUAUAAUAGACCAAGUAACGAUUGCAGCCAUAAGGACGUACUUAAGCUGAACUUGCACCGAGAGCAACCAUGUCUACUGAAGAGAAAAUAGCCGACCCUGAGGCGGCGAAGCCGGCUGAAGCGCUGCCGCUGAAAGAGGAGGCCCUGCCUCCACCCACGAGGCCUCCCGACGAGGCGAGCUUGCUCACAGCGGACGUGGCUCUUCAAGGGUUGCUGUUUGCUUCGAUGCUAAUCGCGCUCUUGAGGACCAUUCUAAGUUUGGUUCUGGAGAUUUGGUCCUCUACUAUCCUUUUUGAGUUCAUAUUUAUAUUAUUGAUGCACACCAAUACACACGCUUUUACUUGAUGGGCAAAAUUUAAAAAAUCGAGCAAGUUAAUUGAGUCGAGCCCCGAUACCGCGGCCACAUGCAACCACGGCCGUGCGAGGCCAGCAACCUCCGUCUGUCGCGACUUCUAUUGGACAUAGGUUGUGAGUUCCGUGCGGAGAAAAAAAGAGACCAUAGGAUAGCAAACAAGUCAAAUCGGUGAGGAGUUAAUGUCGCCGGUGGAUUCACACAUGAAGGUGAGGGCUUGUGAUGGCAAUGGGUGGGCGACACGUAAAAAUCCUAAACUAUAUUAACUAUGACACUAAUUAUUCCAAAUUUUUUUUUUCAUCAUAAAAAAUCGAAACUCGUAUCAGAAAUCCAAAAGUACUCUCCAUCCAAGUUGGUCAUUAAAAAUUUAAUGUGCCUGUUUGCGUGGACAACAAUAGACAAAUGAAGCAGACAUGACUCGGGAGAAUUCCACCAAAAAGCCUAAACCUUGCCUGGUGUGACAACGAAACCCAAUUUUUUUACCUGUUACUAAUACUAUAUAUAAACUUGUACCAGUGACUUGCAAAUAUUAUGCAUCACAGUUCCAUUCAAGACGGCCGUUAAAAAUCCAAUGUGACCGCUUGCUUGGACAUCGAUAAGCAAAUGGAGCCAAUGUCGAUAUGAUGUGAUUUUAGUAUGGUCUAAAGUGACUUUAGACCACUUGCCAAAGUUAUAAGUUUUUAAAAAAUUAAAUCUCCGUGGUAACAAGUUGUCUCUCACAAUUUUUAGGGUCCAGGAAGUGGUAUAAUUUGGAGAUGCAGUUUUUUUUAAGGGCUAAUACCCUAAAAAACCCCAAACUGGUACACUCGUGAUAAAUUUACCCUAAACUAUUUUUUUGACCACAAAAAAUCCCAAAUUGGUAUUACUUUUGACAAAUUUACCCCAAACUGGUAUAAUUGUGAUAAAUUUACCCUCUGUUAGUUUUCGUUAAAUUUUAUUGUCAAAUUAUUAAGUUAAAUGACACGUGACAAUUAAUUAAUAUAUCAAUUUGAGAUUUUAUGAUCCAUUUGUCAUAGUUUACAAUUUUUGUGAUUUUUUUGUAGUAUUAAUCCAAUUUAGCGAAUAGUAUAUUUGUCACAAUUUAUCAGUUUGGGGCUUUUUGUGGUUGAAUAAAUUAGUUUGGGGUAAAUUUGUCAUAAAUGUACCACUUUAUGGUUUUUAAUGGUCAGUCGGGGUAAAUUUGUCACAAGUGUACCAAUUUUGGGUUUUUUAUGGUAAAAAAAAUAGUUUUGGGUAAAUUUGUCCUAGAUGUACCAGUUUGAGGUUUUUCAGGGUAUUAACCCUUUUUUUUUAAUAAUAAUUGGGACGAAUUCCUCUCUAUUUAACUUAAAGCGCUCCGAGCUUAAUUUGAAACUAAUAUGCAAAAUAAACGAGCUUCAACUUAUUCUCCAUUUAUUUCGUAAAAAAUGAAUGAUUUGGAAAACAUUUUAUAUCGUUCAUAAAAAUGAAUAAAUUAAAUAUAUUUUCAUUAUCUAUGAAAAUAUUUAGAUAUAAAUUAUUAUCGAUAGUAAAAAAAUUUCAUUAAUUAAUUAUUUCAAGAAAUAUAAACGAUGAUUAUCAUUCAUUUUUCACGAAAUAAACGGAGUGCUAACUUUAACAAAAGUGUAAUGAAAUAUAUUCUUGCUUUGCCUUUCUUUUCCUUUUUCUCUAUGCACUUGAGACCUUACAUUCGUCCACCUUCUUUUUAGCAUUUCACUUAUGUUCUUCUCCUUUUCGGGACAAGAAAGAAUAUGAAGGGAUAUGAUUGUUCACUUUGGAUCUCUUUAUUGGCAUCAAUUAUAUGGUCUAUCGUCAUACCAAUCUGAUAUCUAUCAACGUCUUUUUUUUGGAUAUGGAUUCAUCAACAAUGUUAGCGUGCAAACACUCAGUACAAUUUUGUGCCGAAGGGUAAUACUUUUCCCCAAAAAAAAAAAAAAAACUGGAAUCCCUCACGAUCUUCCUUCUUUGUUCGAUGAAAAAUCAUUUCUGGAAAAUUUCUUUCCUUACUUUCCAGUUUUUGAAUCACGUAAAGCUACUCGAUCCAUAAAAACGUUUACCAUGGGCUAAAAGUAAUAAAUAAGCUUAGAGAAAAAUGACUUGGCAAGAAGAAUUGUUUUCCCUGAUUUUUUUCCUAAUUUCUUUGUAAAUCGUUGUUAUUUUCAUGGAUUAUAGAAUAAACGGUGAUGAUAGUCAUCACAUGUUACUUUUAACUAUAUAAGCCACCCUUAAUGAAUUCACUUAUUACCAAUUAUGAUAAAAUCAAUUUCUUCAACUUGUUUUCAGCACGAUCAAAAUUUUGUGUUUACUUUUUCUGAGAUUGAAUUUCCUAAAACAUUUUCCCUCAAAAAAAAAAAUUCUUAGUGAGAUAAACACAACCUAAGAGUUUGUUUUCACAUGAUGUUAUUCGAUUGAAAGAAAUAGUAAGAUGGAAUUAUCAAUGGAUAUGAGAAUUGGACAUUGAUUUGUUGUCAUAUGAUUAUUGGGGGUUGAAUAAGAGAAUAAUGAAUCGGUGUAGCAUUUUAUAGAAUGAUCUUAGUGAAAUAAUUUUACGAUAAAAUCUCUACGUUUAUGGAAGUCUGAUUGGGAGGCACAGAGUGCCAAAUCAAUGGAUCAUUGAUGUGAUUCCUUCCUGAGCAAGCUGGUUCAUCAUGGACUCUUGGUAGUCAAAGUCUUCGUUGAUUUUGACUUUGCCAUUCUAAUCCUGUGACGUUUCCUUCUCGUUGCACCACUCCAUACGCUGUUCUAUCUUCUUUUUUUUCUCUCUUUCUGAGAGUGGUAGCUAAUGCGAUUUUAAAUCUAAUGAUAGUAUUUUGACGCAAGGCAAAAUUAUAUGUAUACUACAUUUUUAUUCUUUCCAUUCAAUUAAAUUAGAUUUUAUCAACUUUUCUAUUGAUUGAUGACACGAUUGGCUAGAUUAUUUAAAGAUAAAAUAUCUUCUGAACAUAUGGUAUUUGUUUUGCAAGUAUUUUUCAAAUUUCUAAAUCAAUUCCAUGGCUACUAAACAUUUUGUAUUUCACGAGAGAAAGUAGCCACUUCGCAACUAAAGUUUCAUGAUAUCGACUCGAUAGAAACCAAAAUAGCCAAAGUCAACUUCUUUCAACCAUUCUUUAGCCAACCAAAGUCACUCGUAAAGAGUUGGCCUUUAUAAUAUCAUAAGCUUUUCAAGAUCGGGAUAACGAUCAAUUCCAUGAUGAAUAAACAAAGCAUUACCUCCUCUUCAUUGAUCUCUCUUGAUCUUCUCUCCGAGAAAAAAAAGUCGAACUGUAUAACAGCAAAAUCAAUGCAGCACAUUGCGAAAUCUAAAUCACUUUUAGAAGCCAAAAUUACAAAUGGAGAUCUCCAUGGGUCAAUAAAAGUAGAACACAGGAUAUGUUGACUAAGCUAAGAGCCGGGGGCAGUUCGUAUUCUAAUGAUAUGUCUUUGUAGAGUUUGCUUUCACCCUGAAACAGAACCGCACGGUGUCCAAUGCGUCUUCCUUCUUCCAUUGAAUCAUAUCAUCCGAGAGCACCGUGUCGCCAUAAAUGCCCCCGCCCUUGCCCACAAAUUAACAAGAAUGACGGGGGCACGGGGACCCACUCGUGGCUUUGCUUGAACAUAAUUGUAGUGUCGCCUUCAGGACAGGGGUGUGUCCCAUUCGGGGAAAAAGUAUCAUGUCUAUUUUGAAGAAAACGCCCCGUCUGUUUUUCGUGCUCUCCAAACCUCAAAAAUACAAAGGAAGUUUGGGAAAAUAUGGCAAUUUCAAUGGGGACGCAUGGGCUAAAAAUCCAUGAUUUCGGGGUUGCCCUGCCAAAUGCGGCGUAUGGACUAGAUUACACCUCUCUUCACUUCCUCCCUAUUCUUCGAGCAGGUCUUGCCCGCUCGAGCCGCAGGGCAUGUGAACCUGACUCGUGCACAACUGGAUUAUGUGAAUUCUCUAUACGUUCCAUCUCAUCCAUUGGUACGCAUGACCCUAGAUUGAUUUAGCAUCUUCUUCCUAUUAAGUGGCUCCCGCUUCACCGCACCCGAUAUCAUCAAUCUCCUCAUGUGAGUCAUGUGACCACCGACAGUUGACAAGUUUAUGUUCCAUCCGCCAUGUGAGUUAUGUGAUCACCAACAGUUUAUAGGUCUAUGUUCCAUCCGCCAUAAUCAUGGCCCCUUGUCCUUUUCCCUCUGCUCCUCUCCUUUCUUCCCUAUCAAUUGUGUUUUGUCUUUUUUAUGCUGCCAAAAUACCCAAUGCCCUCUUGGCGAGGAAUUUAUUUAUCCUUUUCUUUAUGGUAUUGAUUUUAAUGAUAAACUGGGAUGAUGGCCUUUCUCUGUUCCUAAAAAAAUCUCUAGAUAUAAAUUUGGGAGUUUAAUAAAUAUACUUUAGGGGAUUCAAUGCUCUCAUGCUUUAUUCAUGUAUAGAUUCUCUGCCCCAGUCUUAAUGAUGAUCUUAGGAGUUUUAGCAUCUCGUUGAAUUACAAAGAUUUAUUCCUCCACACAUUAGAUCUGUGUUUAUCUAACAUAUUAUGGUUGUUUUCAUACAAUGAUGGUAUAGAGGAAGCUGAAUCUAGGCAUGCACCAUCAACUAACAACAUCAUAAUUAUUGAAGAAUGAAUUUUUUGGCGUGUACUCAUCACUGACAUAGACUCGAGAUAUGGUGAUUGGUUGCCACUUUUGUUUGACAUAUCUGUUCAUGUGGAACGAGUUUGUGUUUAACUUUGCAAUUGCUCCAUCAAUCCUCCUUAUGUUCUGGAUUUGGCUUUGUUUUUUAGUAUUCAUGCUCUGUUUUGAUUUGCUUUGUCAUGAAAAUUAUGUACUUCUGCAUCCUUUUGAGUAAUGAAUACAAUUUUCUUUCGAUCGAAAAAAAAAAAAAAACUAAGUCAAGCCCCGACACCACAGCCAUUCAACCAUAGAUUUGUGGCUCUGGCGACCUCUGCCAAUCGCGAGUUCCAUGUACAUAGGUUUAUGAGCUUUGUGCAAAAAGAAAAAUCCCAACGCUGAGUGCGCAAUUCCAUAAAAAACCUAACCUUUAUAUUUACCGUAAUACCAAUUAUCCAAGCUGUAUUUUUAUCAUCAAAAUCCCAAACUUAUAAGGUAACCAAAAAAUACGUUCCAUCAAAGUUUGGUCCAAGAUAAAUGUUGAAAAUCUAAUGUGGCGUCUUGGAUGGCGAUGAACUUAAAAAUCUGAAUAAAGCUUUUGAAAGAAAACUGGACUUAGCAACUUUUAGGGUCCAAGAAGGAAGAUAAUCCACUUGGCGGUCCUUUUUGUAAAAGAAAUGAGCUACAAUUUUAACUUCAAAGGAAAAGUGUGAUGGAAUACAAAUUCUUGCUUUGCUUUUACCCUUUUCCGCUAUGCGCUUGAGACUCACAUUCGUCCACCUUGAUUUUAGCAUUUCACUUUUGGUCUUACUCCUUCUCGGGAGAAGAAAGCAUAUGAUGGAUCUCUCUUUAUUUGGAUUUUUUUUUUACGACUCUCUUUAUUUGGAUGAAGAGACCAAAAUAUUCAACAUGCCCCGGUUUAGAAUUUUUUUAUCUUUCCUUUUAUUUAGUUUCUUUUCUAGGUGAACUUCGUUUAAACUCCACGACAACUCCUUCCACAUCAUUCCUUGACCUUUUCGCACGUUUCUUCCUUUGCUUCAAAUCCUUAAUCUUCCCCUCGUUGGCACUGCUCUCUGCUCACACGCCUCCAAAACCCUAACCCCAUGCCCAUGGCCAUGGUCAUUUCCGGUGAUUGACGAACUGACCUCCUCAAAGUUGCCGGGGAGUGCAUGAUCGAUGUGAACGCUCCAACACCAGCAAGACCUUCAGACUUCGAUGGGUACAGAUGUGGACUAAAUGAACCUAUUGGUAUUUGACAAGGAUGACAUGGAGGAAACACGAUGAGGCAGCCAAGGAGGAAAAAUAAAAUCCCGCAAGAUCCAAAGGUGUGAAACUGUUUGGUUCUAGAAUUCAUGGGCUCUUAAGAGUGCGUUUGGUAACGUUUCUGUUUAAAAAUUGUUUAUGGGAACAGAAAUUAAAAAAAAAAAGUGUUUAUGUUCCAGGGAACAAUUUUUGAACAAAAAAACGCGUUUGGUAAAUCUGUUCCAGAAAUACAAAAAUAAUAGAAACACGUUUGGUAAGUUUGUAUAAUUUUUUUAUUUCUUUUAAUUUUUUAAUAUUUUUAUUUUUAUUUUCUAUUUUCUUUCUUAUUUUUCUUAUUUAUUUUUCCUUUUUUCUUUUUUCUUUUUCCUUUUUCCUUUUUUCUUCUUUUGGCCGGCGGCCUCGCCUAGCCACAGCGAGGCUCGCUGGCCCCUGGCAAGGGGCGGCGUCGUUGGCCGCUGUGUGAGCUCGGCCUCGCCGGGUUUGGGCGAGAUCGAGCUCGCCCAGCCAAGCGUGAGGUCGGCCUCGCCGCGCCGGGCCGACGGUGACCCAGAGCCACACCGUCGUCUCCCUCCACCGCAUCGGCAACCGCGCUCGACGCCUCCUCACCGCCACCGCAUCGGCGACCACCCCUCCGCCUCACGCUCGAUCGACGCAUCUGCAGGUCUCGAGCCUCCGUUCGCCACCGCCGCAUUAGAUCUCACCGCGCCAUGACCCACGACUUUGAGAUCCGCUCGAUCGUCGACCCCGCGCCGGCCCACGACUCGACCGGCCGUCCUCGCCGCUCCGCUCCUAGACGUCCGCCGCUUGAGACCCCACAGCCGAGCCCCGCACCGCAGCCGCCGCCGCCGCCGCCUAGCGACCCGCGACCCAGCUCCGUCACCCGCUCGCAGGUGGAGACGCUUGCAGCGGCUGUCGGUGCCAGAGAGGACGACGGUGGAGAAGCCAGAUGGUCUCGAGACAGAGGCGGCUAUCGGCGCUGGAGAAGACGACGGUGGAGACGCUUGCAGGAGGAGAGGCUCGCAGGAGAACAUGAUUUUGUUUCUUUUUUGUUCUUCAAAUAUGUUUCAGAAAUAAGAAACAAGAAUUUCUCAUUUCUUAUUUCUGUUCCCUUUUUGUUUCUGGGAACAAAAAAACAAAAAAGGAACAGAAACGCACCAAAACGCGUUUCUGUUCCUUUUUUGUUUCCAGGAACAAAAAAACCAGAAAUUUUUGUUUCUGGGAACAGAAACACGGUGCAAACAAACGUGCCCUAAGUCUUUUCAUACGUACAUCCGAAUUUGACAAAAGCAAAAUUUAAAAUUGAAGCAAUUAAUCACGAUUGACUUGAUGAGUCAAAAAAGACUCUUGGGAAGUAUAAAAUUCAUCGAUUCGAGACCAACGGAAGAUCAAAUUUGUUUUCCGAUAGCUUUAGCUUUGAUUAAACUCCACUAAACUUUUGUUUUAGUAAAACAAAACUCCAAAGGUCUCAUUGCAAUUUUUUUUUUCAAAAUCGGACUCCUUCCAUUUAAAUUGAAAUUGAGUGUCCUCCAUUAUAGCUCAGAAGCUCCAGGAAGAAGAGAAAAUAGGUGGGAUCCCAUUGCCUUAACUCAUCUCUUUAUAAUAAAAAAAAGAGAGAGACUUUUCGUAUUAGAUGCAGGCCUUAACUAUCAAAGACCACUCCUUCACCAUAGAAAUAUCAAGGAAAUAAAAAGGAAAGAUCUUUUUCAAUGACUUUUGGGUAGGUCAUUGAACUUAGAAGCCAUAGGAUUGGCUGAACAUGCAGAGAGAGCCAGUUUGCUGCAAAAUUUGGUCAAUAACGAUGAUUCCUUGAAGCAUCGGUCAAGCUUGCCAAAGUUGACAAUUAUUUAUGUUUCUUAACACAAAAAAAAUCACUAGACCAUGUGAUGCAAAAAUUUUGGGAUUAGAAUCGACUUUUGCGCCCCCCCCCCCCCCCCCCCAAAUAAAUGGCAUAUUCAUUCAAAGUCAAGUCAACAAAAGCAUACACCAAAUUUUGGUAAUUGACGAGUGUAUUAAUUUGGAGUUUUAUCAUUUAUUUGUCACAUAUGAUUGGUUUGUGCUUUUUCCUAGUAUUAAUCCUAUUUAACGGAAACUAAUGGAGGGUAAAUUUGUUACAAUGUGCCGAUUUGAAGUUUUUGGUUAUCAAAAAAUUAAUUUGGGAUAAAUUUAUCACGGGUAUAUAAGUUUGGGAUUUUUCGUGGUAUUAACUCUAAAAACAAUAAGAUUUAGAGAAAAACAACUUGGCAAGAAGAAAUCAUUACCCUUAUUUUCUUGCUACGCUUUAAAGUGAGAAGAAUAUACUUUAUCAAUGCUCAAUUUUUCUACAUUCCCAAGCACGAUUAAUCUAAUAUUUUACAAAUAUGAUUUCAUAAUUUCUAUCUUGAUUUCUUUGUAAUCGUUUUAUUUCAAUGGAUUAUAGAAUUAAUGAAGAAGAUAUCAAUUCUAGUUUAUUAGUCAUUCCAUGUUACUUUUAACGAUACAAGCCACAUCUAGUGGAUUCACUUAUUACUAAUUACAAUAAAAUCAGUUUUUUUCAACUUGUUUUCACCAUAAUCAAAUUUUUCCGAUUCCCUUUCUCUGAAAUUGAAUUUCCUAAAAGCAUUUUCCCGCAGCAAAAAUUAGCGAGAUAAAGAAAUCUUCAGGGUUUUUAUUUUUAUUUUUAUUUGAUUUUCUAAUUUCAUAUGACAUUAUAUGAUGGGAGGGAAUUGUAUGAUGAAAUUAUCAACGAAUAUGAGAAUUGGAGAGCAAUUUGUUGCCAUGUAAAUUUUGUGGUUGAAUGGGAGAAAGAUCAGUAAGUGUUGGAUUUUACAGAGUGAUAUGGUGACCUUUUUUUUCUCUUCUUUUUGAUAAAAUCACUACAUUUAUGGAUGUCUGUCUGCAAGGGACAAAGUACCAAAUGAAUGAACCAUUGGUGUGAUUCCUUCUUGAGCAAAAGCUGGUUUAUCAUGGACUGUUGGUAGUCCAAGUCUUUGUGGACUUUGACUUUGCCCUUACUGGUAGACUAUUCUUUUAUUUAUCUAUUUUCUUUGGAGAGUGGUAGGUAAUGCAAUCUUUAAUUUAAUGAUUUUAUUUUGAUGCAAGAUAAAAUUGUAUAUAUACUGCACUUCACAUGAUAACUAAAAAUUCUAUGUUUCACGAUGGAAAAAUAGCCACUUCACAAUUGAAGUUUCACAAUGCUAACUCAACAAUAGCCAAGGUAAGUUGCAUAUACCAAAAUCAGCUUUUGUCGACCAUUUUUUAGUCAAUAAAAGUCACCCGUAAAGCGUUGAUAUGUACGAUAUCAUAAGCUUUUCACGGUCCAAAUUAUGAUCAAUCCAAUGAUGAAUAAACCAAGCAUUGCCUCAUUUCCGUUGAUCUCAUUUGAUGUUUUCUUUGAGAAAAGAUUCAGACAUGGAAAAAAGUUCAGGAGCCCUACUUAUCAAGUGCUGCUAGGCCGGAAAAAAUAAAAAUCCUUGAUCAAAUGGUGGCCGCCAAUCAAUCAACUAUCAAAGUAAUUAACUCAUUGGGGACCUCAACCAUCAUUCAUGGCGAAACUGGCCCGUGAGGAUCCAUGAAAAUCUUGUCAAAAAAGCAAAGUGAUAGUGAAAAGAAAUAAAGCAAUACGGAAAAGAAAAAAAAAUAUGGAUUCUAGUGUGGAAAAGAAGACCCGCCUUUGCUUUAGCAUGUGCAUUUGGUAGUCCAAGUCUUCGUAUGCUUGGGUCAAUCAUUGGUUUGAUUCCUUCUUGGAGUAAAGCUGGUUCAUCAUGGACUGUUGUUAGUCCAAGUCUUCGUAGACUGACUUUGCCCUUCUAAUGCUGUGAUGUUUCAAUCCAAUGAUGAAUAAACCAAGCAUUGCCUCCUCUCUGUUGAUCUCAUUUGAUCUUUCCUUCGAGAAAAGAUUCAGACAUGGAAAAAAGUUCAGGAGCUCUACUUAUCAAGUGCUGCUAGGCCCAAAAAAAUAAAAAUCCUUGAUCAAAUGGUGGCUGCCAAUCAAUCAACUAUCAAAGUAAUUAACUCAUUGGGGACCUCAACCGUCGUUCACGGCGAAACUGGCCCGUGAGGAUCCAUGAAAAUCUUGUCAAAAAAGCAAAGUGAUAGUGAAAAGAUAUAAAGCAAUACGGCAAAGAAAAAGAAUAUGGAUUCUAGUGUGGAAAAGAAGACCCACCAUUGCUUUAGCAUGUGCAUUUGGUAGUACAAGUCUUUGUAUGCUUGGGUCAAUCAUUGGUUUGAUUCCUUCUUGGAGCAAAGCUGGUUCAUCAUGGACUGUUGUUAGUCCAAGUCUUCGUAGAUUGACUUUGCCCUUCUAAUGCCGUGAUGUUUCAGUUCUCUCGCACCUCCCCUAUGCUGUUCCGCCUUAUUUUUUCUCUGUUUUAGAGUGGUAACUAAUGUUAAUGCCAUGGUAAAAUGAGGCACAGGGAGCUUAGAUUUUAGAUUGUUGGCAUCUAUAUCAAUAUCACAUCAAACAAUCUCAUGCAAUUCAUAAUCUAAUGAUUGUAUUUCAGUGCAACGCAAAAACCAAAUAUAUGCAGCACUUUCGUACUUUCCAUUAAGUUAAAUUAGAUGGUAUCAACUUUUUUUUAUCGAUUGAUGACAUAAUUGGCAAGACUAUUUAAAAAUCAAAGUAUUUCUAAAUAGAUAGUGUUUGUUUGCAAGUUUAUUUUAUUUUAUUUUAUUUUAUUUUUCUAAAUCAAUUUUGUGGUAAUUAACAUUCCAUGUUUCACAAUAGAAAACAAAAUCUCGCUAGAUCAGAGGUAUAAAGAUGUUCCAUUCUGAAAUUCAUAAGUUCUUAAAUCUUUUCAGGCAUAAAUCCAAGUGUGAAAAAAACCAACAUUUAAGAUUGAAGUUAUUAAUCGCGAUGACUUGAUGAGUCAAAAAACACUUUUGGAAAGUAUCGAAUUCCCAUUUGAGUAGCAUCUAUUUUCACAAAUCUAUUUAUUCACUUGCUAAAUAUUAAAUCAUGAUUUGAUCAUAUCACUUAAUGAAUCAAUUUUAGUAUACUUAUUUAAAUUACUUGUAAAUAACCUAGAUUUAUUUGUUAAACUUCAAAUGAUGAAGAGCUCAUGCUUAUUGAGCUUCCUCCUUUAGCUCAAAAGCUCAGGGAGAAGAGAAAAUAUGUGGGAUUCCAUUGCCUAAUUCUUACUCUUUUUAAAGGAAGAGAAAGACUUCUCAUACAAAUGUGGGCCAUAAUUAUUGAGACAUUUUUUCCUUUACCCUAGAAUACGUAGGGAGUCAUGGGCCAGUUUUGCUGCAAAAUUGGUUGGCAAGCAUGCUUCCUUGCAGCAUCAUUGCGGCCUGUCAACCGUGACAAAUAUUACGUUUCUGAACACGGAAAAUCACUCGACUAUGUGGUGCAGAAAUUUUGGGAUGAAAAUCUACUUUUGCCCCCAAAUAAUUCAUUCAAAGUCAAGUAAACAAAAGCAGACACGGAACUUCCAAAACAAGUUCGUUUCCCCCAUUCUAAUUAAGGUGAACUCCAGUCGGUCCAGUUUAAUGGGCUGAUCAGGCCCAGGCCCGGAAUAACUCUGAAGCAUAAAGCCUAGUGGAAUUAUCACGCUUGAUCUUCAUCAAAGCACUCCCUAGUGGUCAAUUGAAUUAAGAAAAUAUUACAUUUUAUUUCGGAGGUGAACCAUCCUUUGCAUUUAACCUGUCGUUAGUGUCAAAAAUUGCUUAUCACAAAACGUUUUAGUUGGACAUUAAAUCCAUGCAUUGUGCUGAUUAUUAUAUAAAACAUUACUAAAAUAGAGUACACAAAACCAAUGUGUAAGCACAGUCUUGUGGCGUAUUAAAACUUUGAGCCACCAACAAGCGUGGUAAAUAAGCUCAUGAACAUGAUGUGACCUAUUAGAUCUCAUUUGGAAUUUAACUCAAUUAGCAUUUCCACAUUCACAAUUGAACUCGAAAGCCUCUAUGAUGAUUGGGAAAAGUUUAGUGAAGCCUUUCUAAUGACUAUAAUGAUUAUAAAAAAAAAAAUAUUGACUCCCCCUGAAUUCAAGUAUGAAAGUUUUCUAUUUCAAAUAAUGUUUCGGAGGUGUGGCUCUUUGAUCUCUCAGUUAAUGCUUGUGGAUUAUCUAUUACAAAGGGGGAAAAAAGAGGCAAAAAUAAAAGAACUUAUGGACAACACGAGACUAUUCCAUGUUAAAAUUUGAGAAUUGGAAAAAAUUUGCCACGCUUCUAUUAAUUUGAAAUUAAAUGAUUUGGGUUGCUAUUUCAGAUUUACCUUGACAUUAGAUGAUGUCAAACCAAGUCCAUUUGCAGCUAGAAACAUUUUUUUAGUAUAAUUAAGAAUUGAAAUGGCUCCUCUUCAACUUCUGUGAAUCCAACUUAAGAGCCAUGCUUUACUGGAAAAACAAAUUGGACAUGCAUUUACCGAUGUAGAGUAUUAAUUUUCUUCACGCCACAAUUUUGUGUUGGUUAUUGUCAUAGAGGUGAUGCCAUAAGUGCUAAGAUACUUUCACACACAUUGUAACAGCUACUUUGAUGUAUAUAGUAUUAUGAAGUUAUCGUUCUCUUGCGUGAAGAAAGGAAAAAUGAUGCUUAGCUCUUUGUUGGUUGAUCUCCAACUUGAAAAGUUUGCUUUUUACAUGGAAAUGAACAAAUAUUGGACAGGGAAGAAAAAAGGGGAAAAACUCAAGUCUAAGUGCAUAUGGCACCAAAAGGAAAUCUGAUUUUGAUAAGACUAGAUAUGAAUCGUAGUUCAGAUUCAAGUUGAUUCAGUGAGGGCGACUGCAAAAGUCACCGAAUGGAUCAGUCUUUUCCUUUAGUUUUUGUCCUAUUUAAUAAAAUAAAAAAGUGUGGGAGGAUGUUGCAGAUGUCCAUGAUGGACACGACUUCUUGUAACACUAGAAAACCACUAGAAGACACUCAGGACCAAAGCAUGUUGUGAAAGAAGCACAUUGGGGCAUUGACCAAUUUCAAAUAUAGUAAGACAAAGCAAUAAAUUAUAAGAUAUCUAAAAAUCACCACAUAAUAUAUUGACAAAAUAAGGCACUUGGAAUUUAUAUAAUUUGACCCAACCUCACUAGGUAAGUUAAUUAGCAAAUCAAGCCAUUGAAACAUAUAAACCAAACCAAACCAAAACAAAGAAGAUCUGAACAAGGUUAUUUGCAGAAAUAUAUCACUAGUCAACAUGCAAAGUGCACAAAAAAGGAAGAUUUACAUAAACCUCUUUGUAAGUCAUAUGUUUAACAGGAUAAGAAGCACUUCUUAUCAGACAAAAAAAGUACUCAACAGGGCAGAUGUCCAUUUUUUUUUUCUUCCGCAGAAAUUUGCCAAGUUUGAUCAAGCAACUCCUUAAUGUGCUGAGUUUCCAAAUCUCCCGUGGUGAAGAAUGCCUAUUUGUUUCAAUUUCCUCCACAUUGAUACAUCAGAAACAUCAGGAUAGAGUUGCCAGAGAAGAUACGCAAAUUGUCUAGUGAUUCUGGUCAACCAGAUUACCACAAUGAUCUAAAUGAAAAUCCAUUAGUUUCUUCAAGCCACUCAGUCGGCCAAUCUGUCCAGUCGGUUGAGUUCGUUCAGCUCCAAAUUCCAGAUUUAGUCUGGUGGCAUCUUUAUCCACUUGUAGUUUCUCAAAGACUAGCGUUCAAGGCUUAUGAUGGUAACCAAUCGAGUGAGGAAGCUCCAAGAUCCCAGUUCCUUACAGAGAAAGCCUCAACAGGGAAGUCGGGUAACUGAUUGAAGGUUUUGUAGUCAGUGAGGAACGAUGGCAAGCACAGAGAAUUUCUAGACUCUUCAAUCCUUGACAUUCAAGCAUAUGAUUCAUUGAUGUCCCAUCAAUCAAGGGUUCUCUCAAACAUUCCAUUUUACUAGGCUCCUAGGGAGAUGGUGGAGAUCAAUCUUUCUAAAUUCACAUGUAUCUGAAAUCUAGCAUCUAACAUAACCAUUUUGACAUCGAAAGGUCCACCUGAUCUGACUGAAUUGAGGUCAUAUAGCAAUCUCUUCCAAGGCAGUAAGCCCAUGUCAGACUUUCCCCUUCCAUCUUGGUAGUUUGUAGAUGUACGUUCCCGAUAAGUUAGAGACUGUUGAUGUCUGUCCAUCUUGGUAGUUCUUACAAUAUUUUCUGUUCGUGUGAAGUCCUCCGAGAUGCACUAACCGAGACAUACUCCUUUGAUCAUUUUAUUCAAAUCAAUUCACUGUUCCCGCUGCUCCAUGGUUUAUAGCAGCAUCGUCAUAUGGACCACCCAUCUCCAGUGAUCUUACUUGUGCUUAGACUCCUCUGGAAGAAAUAUUUGAACAGAACAGCAGAAGCAACGAUGGUAGCAACUGUCACCACACACAGGACAACCUCAAGUGCAUCAAUCGUUUCACGCCAGCACAAGUGGUCCACCUUGGCAGAAACAACAAUUGUUGAGCUGCUGCCCCACGUGUCGGAUUCUGAAUGGUCUUUACCCUAAGCCUACGUGGAGGGUAAGACUCACCCAAUAUUUCCUCUGGAUCGGAAUCCGAAGUGACGAUCUGGAAUUAAAAUGGGAGGAGGAGAGUCGGAGAGGGAUGGUGGGAUAUUCGAAGUCGUAUCGGAGUCAGUGUCGGAAACUGGAGGAAGCAGAGGAGGGUUCUUUACGUCUUUUCGUAUUUUUGUUUUAAUUUCUUUUCACGCUUUUUCCUUUUUAUCUUUCGGAAUUUGGUUUUUUCCUUUCGGUUGCUCUUUUCCUUUUUCGCUACAUGCGAGUGGCCCGAACAUUUUCCGCCAGUAAGAGGGGAAAGGGGGAGGGGUCAAAAUUGUAUUUUCGUUUCCCCUGCUGCAGAGUUGAAGGCAACAGCGUCAGUUCCCGCGCGAGAUGGGACUUGCGGCUCGAGGAUUAGAGGCGGUCCGACCUGCCCUUGCUGCCUGACGCAACCAAUUCUUAACGUUGCAGUCUCAUGUACACUGUGGAAGAUUAAGUUCGAACCAAAACUAAGUUUACGUACGUAUACAGGCCUAUUAUUGCUGUCUUGCCAGCGUGCUAGAAGCCAGGAAAUAUCUCCAUAUGAGGUAGCGAUAUAUACAACCUCGGCCAGGAUUCGCUCACAAUGUGAUUCAAAUUAUUCAAUUCAUGGAAAAUAGUGUGACCUACCUAAUGUUAACGGUGCCAUGACAACAUUUAUGUUUCUUUAUUUCUUUUUUUUUGUUCCCCGGAACAUGUUUAGAACAGAAAUCUAUUUGGUAACGCAAUUUCAUUUUUCUAUUUCUAGAAUAUAUUUAUAUUUCAGAAAUAAAUUUGGAGCGGAAAUCAGAAGUUAAAAUUUUUAGCUUUUCUAUUUCUGAAACAUAAAUGAGAAAUCAAAAUUUUUCGGGAGAAUUACCAAAAAAGUCCUAAACCUAUUGCAAUUGUGUCAAUUCAGUCCUAAACCUUUUACUUUUGUUCCAGUUCAGUCCUUCCGGCCAAAAUUAGCCGGCCGGCGCUGACGUGGCAGCCGGCCGGUGCCGGCGAGCUUUUUUUAAUAAUUUUUUAUUUUGCAAAAACAAUAUUAAUUUUUUUCUUUUUUUCCCUUUUUUUUCCUCCUCCCGCCGGAUCGCCUCAGUCCGGCGACCGGCCAGGCUGGCCGGUCGUCGGAGCCCAAGGAAGGAGGAGGGAGGAGGAAAAAAAAAGGAAAAAAAGAAAAAAAUUAAUAAAAAAUUUUAAAAAAUCAAAUAUUAUUAAAAAAAACUCGCCGGCACCGGCCGGCUGCCACGUCAGCGCCGGCCAACUAAUUUUGGCCGGAAUGACUGAACUGGAACAAAAGUAAAAAGUUUAGAACUGAAUUGGCCAAAAAAAAAAGUUUAGGACUGAAUUGGCACAAUUGCAAUAGGUUUAGGACUUUUUUGGUAAUUCUCCCAAAUUUUUCUCAUCAUUCACUCUCAUCACCACCUGUCGCCCACUUGCCGCUCGUGGGAUGCUAGACGCCCACCGCCGGUUGCCGACCGCCCGCCAUCAGCCCUGACCACUAGCCACCGACCGCCAGCCACCAAACUCUAGCCACCUGUCGCCAACUGCCGGUCGCUGGAUGCCGAACGUCCACCGGUUGUUGGCUGCUCAUUGCCAAUCAUUGGAUGUUGGAGGCUCACCACCAACCACCGGAUGUCCGCUACCAACUGUCUGCCGCUCGACACCGGCCGUUGAAUGUUGGCCGCUUGCCACCCAUCGCCGACCUCUUGUCGUCGGACUCCGGACAUCGGACAUUGGAUGUCGAACUUUGGACGUUGGACGCUAGUUGCUGGUCGUCGGACUCUAGACUUCAGCCACUCGCCACCGAUCGUCGAACUCUAGCGCUGGACGCCGGACUCCAGACUCCGACUACCCACCGUCAGUCACCGGACGCCAAAUGCCGAUCGUUGGACGUCAGACUCCGACCACUGGAUGCCGAUCGUUAUUGCUUUGAGAAAUAAAAAUUUUAUUCUAUUAUCAAACGAAUUUUUAUUUCAGAAAUAGAAAUUUUAAAUUGUUAUCAGACGCGUUUUUUUGCUCAAAAACCCGUCCAUAGAAUAAAAAUUGAGAAAUCAAUUUAUGGCCAUAAAUUGAUUUCUAUUCCAGAAAUUUUGUUAUACGCACCCUAAGUCACCGCAUUUGGGGGUGGGCUACAAUUUUUUCACUUUCAUUGUUCUUUCUUUUUCAAAUUGUUUCACGUGAAUGAGUCGUGUAUGAAUUUGAUAAAAGCGCGAGAGGUGUAUAAAUUUAUUUCGUGCUUAUUAACACCUAAGUUUGACGAGUGACCGAUCUAUCAACACUGGCCAUAAAUGAAGAGAUUAGGGGAUUGUUCUCUGCAAAAAGUUAUUGUCACACCCUUCACGCUCUUGAAUCGCACCUUGUUCUUCACUUCCGUUGUUGUUUUGUGUACUAACUUCUCUGUAUUUUGGAAUAAGACGAAUUUUUAGAUUAAGCUUGAAUCUGAAAAUAUUUGACUAGAGAAGUUUGCCAUCAUAAUGAAGUAUUUGCAAUUUCAUAUACCUCCACUAAUAUAAAUAGACAAAUGAAUUAUAUCAAUUUUAAUUUGAGCGUAUAGUAACCAACUAAUUGAACUGUAGAGCACCCAUUUGCCCAACAGAAUGUCUCCUUCUCUUUGGCUAAAAUACAACAUAAGGCAUCCCCACGCAAUCUUUCUAAAUGUUCCGAUUUUAGCAAAACUUACUUCAGUGCUCUGAUGCACACGACGUAAAUCACCAAAUGUGACAUUGAAAAAGCCUGCCAACAAAAUAAGAUCUGAAGGGCAAAUCAGGAAAGAUCGUAAAGAAUCUAGAAUGGAACAUAUCGCAUUUGAGGGUGAUGGUUGUUCUGACAUGCUUGAUUGCUGUUUUGACAUGCUUCAUUGCUGCAAAGUGAGGCGAUACUCAAGCUUUUCAAGUUCAAGAGAUUGGAAAUGCUAUCAUCAGCUCGUCGCUCGGUAUGAAUAUGUAGACAGAGAAGAAUUUCUAGGAGUCUCGGCACUUGGUGUAUCUCAACACAUGUCGGUUUCAAAAUCUUCCAAGAUGAACAUCUCCAGAUAUCAUAGGAAUUUCUGAUUAGAAAAUUUUCACUAAGCUCUGCAUCUAUUCUUCUAGCUAUUCCUGCUUCCAUACUGCACUAGUUAUUGUUCUCAUGAUAGAGAACCUCAUCUUCAAUACUUUCAAAUACUUCAUGUUCCCGACCAACCAGGCAGCUUCUCUAUGUCCAUGUUCAAUUUAUCGAACUUAGCAAGUGAUUCCAAAUUCCAGAUUGAGUCUAGUAGUGUCUUUAUUGACUUGCAAUUCCUGGAAGACUAGUGUUCAAGGCUUACAAGGGAUCCACUUGAGUUGGGAAGCUCCACGAUCCCAGCUCCUCACAGAGAAAGCCUCGAUAGGGAAGUUAGGUGACAGAUUGAAAGUUUUAUAGUCAAUGAGGAACAAUGGGAAGCACAGAGGACCUGCAAGCUCUUCAAUUCUUGACAUUCAGGCAUAUGCUUUAUUGAUGUUAUACAGCAAUCCCUUUUUAAGGGAGUUAAUUCCAUGUCAGACUUUCCCCUUCCAUCUUGGUAAUUCGUAGAUGUAUAUUCCCUUUUAAGAUAGAGAUUAUCGAUGUUUGUCCAUUAAAACCAACAUGUGAAAUUGCGAAUCGAACAAAGUCAACGUCUAGCAAGCUAGUCGCAUAUCUUUCUCCCAAAUAUCAUGUACUUUUAUUCAUGUGAAGUCCACCAUCAGGUACUAACUGAGUUAUCCAAAGUUAGAUUCAUCUACUAGUAAGAAUACUUUGAGGGACCUUGUUUAGCUUUAUUAUACUUGUUUCAUCGUUUGAUUCCGUCAUUUCUCGGUUCACGCUGUUCCAUGGUUUAUAGCAGCAUCGUUAUUUGGUUUGCCCUCUCUAGUGAUCUUGCUGCUCUUAAUCUUCCCUGCUCCAUGGUCUAUAGUAGCAACUGUCGCCACACACAAUGCAACCACAAGUGGUGAAUCGUUUUGCACCAGUACAAGCGGUCCACCUCAGCAGAAACAACAAUUGUUGAGCUGCACGAGGAUUGGGGGUCGUCUGACUUGGCCUCCCCGCCCGAGUCGCAAUGGGUCAGGAUUUUUUCUUUUUUUUCCUUUGAUAAAUUAUAAAGUGUGGGAAGAGAGGACCAAUACAGUUAUCCAUUCUUGUUGUUACAUAAAGCGUUAUGUACAUUACAAAAUAUCUCCAUUAAGCCAUAACCACUCGAUUCAUCGACAAGUGUGCGAAUCUAUCACCAUAACUAAUAUGCCAAAAGCCUAAAAAUCUUUCUACAUAAUGUUGUGAAUAUCUAAAAUAUUGAGUGGUGAAAAGUCCACUCAUAACAUGAUUCGAACUCAUGAAUUAAUAGAAGAUGGCGUGAUCCCUUCAUCAUUGGGCUACUUUUUUUUUUUUCACUUUCAAAGUGAGCCUGAUCCAAAAAUGAGUGAUCUAUAAAUCUAUUUUGUGCUUAUAAAAUUUGAUUUAAGUCGAAUGAGGUGUUGAUGUGUUAAGGUUACCAAUAAAAGAAGAGGUUUGAUGACUGGUUUCUAUAAAAUUGAUUGAUUUAAUCUUCAUAGUUUUAUUGAGUUUCACUUAUUAUUUAGGGUUAAUACCUUGAAAAACCCCAAACUGGUACACUUGUGACAAAUUUAUCCCAAACUAUUUUUUUGACCGCAAAAAACUUCAAACUGGUAUAUCUUUGACAAAUUUACCCAAACUGGUACACUUGUGACAAAUUUACUCUCUGUUAGUUUUUGUUAAAUUUUAUUUUCAAAUUAUUAAGUUAAAUGAUACGUGACAAUUGACCGGUAUACUAAUUUAGGAUUUUACGCUCCGUUUGUUACCGUUUACAAUUUCUGUGAUUUUUUUUGUAGUAUUUAUCCAAUUUAGCAUAGGGUAUAUUUGUCACAAAUUUACCAUUUUGGGGGUUUUUUGCAGUCGAAUAAAUUAGUUUUGGGUAAAUUUAUCAUAAAUGUACCAGUUUAGGGUUUUUUAUAGUCAGUCGGGGUAAAUUUGUCACAAGUAUACUAGUUUGGGGUUUUUCAUGGUCAAAAAAAUAGUUUUGGGUAAAUUUGUUACAAGUGUAUCAGUUUGGGGUUUUUUAGGGUAUUAACCUUAUUAUUUAACUUCCAUCAUUUUGUUUUGUGCACUAACUUUUCUGUGCUUUUUAUAAACAUUUGACUGUGAAUAUAAAUCCGUGAGAGCCACCAAACAUCACGCAUGCCAUGCAUCAGGGUUCUUAUAUUAUUUUGUUUGCGUGAGCUAAUUGCGAUUUAAGGGGAAAAAAAAAUGUUCCACGCUCUUUGAUAAUUUGAAAAUGACAUUUUGUGACUUUUGUUGUAUAAGGUUAUAGACUAUUUUUACUUCGAACACAGGUGAUGAAAAAGUCCAAUGACUUUUGUUCUCAAAGAUUAUGGACCUUUUUACUUGUUUAAAUCUUUUACAUGUAAAGUAUCAACUCAUACAUCCAAUAAGCAAUUAUGAAAUGACGAUGGCAUCAUUCUAUAAGAUAGUGAUCAGUCUGAUCAUAUUCACACUAAAUAUUUUGUAAAUUCUAAAUAAAACAUAUACGUUCAUCUACAAAUAAAAACUAUCAAAUCCACUUCCAUAUAAAUUUUAAAGAAUAGAAUCGAUCUGUCAUGAUAAGUCACGUUCUGGAAUUCUCUCUCAACCCGAGAAAUAUGGGCUCCACAAAUAAGCAUAAUUCACUUGUCUCGCAUGUUGAAUAAUAUUCUUUUCAAGUUUGAAUAUUAUUGGCAAAGAAAAAGUUUGAAUAAUUCGAGUUAUUGGAUUGAUUCGAGCUUGGAAUCGGAAAAAUUUUACUCAAGCAGCUUGUGAUCAAAGGAAGCGCCAAAAGAGGAAGAGACAGAGAACGGAAAUUUGUCCAGGAGCACGCCUUAUUUUAGCCAAACUUCCUUCAUUGCCCUCACGGAAACGACGAAAUCACCGGACGUGACACCGAAAAUGCCCACCGACAGAGCAAGAGCCCGAGGUCGAAUCAGGAAAAUUCGCAAAUCCGUCGUCCUCUCCUUCCUUUCCCCCCCACCCAAAAACAAAAGCUCGCCGUAGCUUUCGAUCGCCAUCCGCCGCGAACAUCGGUACGGAGUCCACGAACGCUGCGACGACCAGGAUUCGAGGUUUGAAUUCGAGCAAUGCGCACGAAGAACGCAAUCGAUCUCUCCACCUCGCCGGGCGAUCGCGCCAUUUUGAUUGCCUGAGAUUGGAAUGAUGUUGUUGCGCGGAAGAAUGUGGAGUUGAGGGUGAUGGUUGUUCUGAAGUGCUUCAUUGCCGCGAGUGAAGGCGAGAGGUAAUUGCAAUUCGUGUUCAUGUAAUCAGUUACGGCUCUGAUCCUCCCACUUGAUUGGGAUUGGGAGUCUAGUAUCGAGCAUGUCGGUUUUGAGGUUGGACAGUGAGGUUUGUAGUGUGAAUUUGGCGGAUUAGGCACUUCAGGGUUGGGGGGGAUCGUCGACCGUGUUGUGGAGCUGUAGUGCCUGAUUUAAUGGGGCAUACUAUUACUGAAUUAUUUGGUUGGAUUAGCUAAGCUCUUGGAUUGCCGAGUUUGGAUCAAUACUACAACUGGAAUAUGGUCUGAUUGAAUUUCCAUAUAUUUGUUCGAUUCAAAUAUUUCAUCCCGCUGUUUCUACUUUGGGGAUAAAAUUUGUUGAGUGUCUCACAGUAGUGAUUGACUAUGGCUAUUCGGCCUUUCUCCAGUCGAGUAAUGGACUGUAGCUUGUAGGUUUUAGCAACUAGCUUUAUGGGAAAGAGGAGCCUUAUGCUUUUCACUUAUUCGCCUUUCGUUGCAUUUGAACAUAUAGUUCUUUAAGUUCACGAACAAGGAUGGCAGAAAUAUACUGAAAUAUUAUUUUGAGUUGAUGUUUCCUUGUGAAGUGUUCCUCUUACUUGAUUGUCGAAAUAGCUUGCUAGAGACAUAAGAAACUUGCUCCUUUGCUUGUCAUUAAAUGAGUUUUUGACCACAUUUUCAAUGUGAAAUUUUCUCAACUGGUAAAUGCAGAACUCAGAGUGAGGUCCAAGGCUUGUAAAGCUGUUUACAAUCGCACUCUUGCCAUGAUAUCGGCGGAGUAUGCAUCUGCUGUAAGUGUUCUUUAUAAGGAUUUUUACAUUUACCUAGAGCUUGUUGUUGUUAUUACUCUUCAGGUUUCACCAUUUAAAUACAAUAAUAUUGUAACUAGAUGCACAGCUUUUUAUUUUGCAUGUUUAAUGUCAGAUUUGACAGAACUUAGUAGUCGGACUUGUCCUAGAUGUGAUGGAAAGACCAAGGUAAUUUAAGAUGGUUUAAUAUGACAUUGUUGCUAAGAUUGCCUGAACAAUGGAUCCUCAGUACAGUAUUAAAUAGUCAAUUUUGUGGGCAUAUGCCGCCUCCUCUUAUUAGCUUCUAAACUGGUAGUUAAUGCCUUUUGAUAUGAAAGCUGGGGUUCAAAUUCAUUGGAUAUGAUAGUGGGCAUUCAGCACUGCUUACACGCAAAUCAUUUGGUUGCAGUGGCUUAAAAAUCUGCAAUGCUUGCGAUGCCUAUAUGUUUAAAUUGCAUCUAAUUGUUUAUAUCUAUUUCUAAACAUACAUAUAUGUUACCUGUAGGCAUACGUUGGGGUGGCCAAGGAUCUUAAUGCUGUGAUUAUAGCUUUUAGAGGUGCACAAGAACAUAGGUAUGCAUGUUAACUUUAGCAACUCUUCCCCUUACAAAUGACUUGCAAAGGUUUUGAUGAAAAUUUAGGCUAAGAAGAGCAGCCUCCUGUGAGUGCGUACACAAGACCCAUGGGUCGACUGUCCAUAAGAAGGGAAAAGGGUGAAUCAUUUCCACCAAGAUGCAAAAGUUACCUUCUUGUAAUUUUAGAUUGGUUCAUGAGAAGAUCACAUACUUCACUAAUUUUGUUCUGUGAAAAAUUCUAUCACCUUUCUUUGUCAUUUGAGCUUUUCAGGUAGUGAUUACUUCUAUUUAUGUCUACAGCAUACAGAAUUGGGUUGAAGAUCUCUACUGGAUAGUGGAAACAGCUUGACGUACUACCCUGGCAUGCAUGGUGCCCUGGAUAGCUCUAAAGAUGAUUAUGCCUCUUGCAAGCUGUGGAUUCUUCUCAUUUGGAUUGAGUUACAGUCUUACUCUAUUGAUUUCUGCUUGGGUUAAUCAUGGAUUUUACUAUUCUUAUCUUGAUAUGACAAUUCAACCUGGUAUUUUGGAUGCUGUUAUAAGAACCAAGGAUUUAUAAGAGGACAUCAAUGUCACGGUGACAGAGCAUUUUAUGGGAGGGGCUAUGGCAUCUUUUUGCGGAAUUGAUCUUGUGGUAAGAUAGUUAAAAACUGCUAUGGUCUGGAAUUGUGAAUUUUAUCGUUUUUUUCCUAUUGCGUUCUUCCAAUAUUCAGAUGAUAAUCUGUUAAGAGUCAUCUAGAAUUCUCUGUCAAAUCUGUGUUGAAGAGUCUAGACUCUUUAUGUGGAUCUUGAACUUUCUAUUGCUCUCAUAUUUAUAUUCACAAUUCAUCAUAGACAGCAUCUUGUUUUCUUUCAGUUUUGGUAAGUCAAACCAUAGACAAAACACAAGCAGAAUGGGGUGCAAAUAGCCAUUUACGCUAACCACCAAUUGUUUAAGUAUCUAGCAAUGUAAAUUAAGUCUUACCCAUAAAGCUAUGGAGCUUCAAGUUGGUUGAAUACCUAAAUAUAGUGGAUAAGGUUACUUCCAACUAAUCAUUACAAGGUUUACUUGCUGGAAAAUUUAUGGAGUUGUCGAUAUGUUUAUGGUCUGGACAUAUAACUUUUUAAAGCACUUGAAGCUCAAGUUUUAUGUCAUGUAAUCUUGAAGUGCUAAUGCAUUUUAAGAUAGAUUAUAUAUCAAUCCUAAAUGUGUGUUUGGUGUACUGUUUCUAUCUAAGUCUCUCUCUAAUCAAAAGAAGCAGCUCCUCUUUAGUAGGACUACAAGGCCAGAUAUGUUGUAGGCUGGAGCCAAUGUUAAGAUGUCUAAAUUAUGCCUUUUCCCUCAGCUUUAUUGGACGGAGUGUUCCAGGGUACAUUUGGAGGCACCUGUUGCUCAACUGGUACCAGAAAUGGUGCCCAAUCCAAAAUCAUGUCCCAUUGAUUCUCUUCUCCAUGACAAGUGGUGAUUUUUUAGAGUUAAACUUUAUCUUGAAGUCUGAUUACACUCAUGUUCACUUGGCCUAUGAUAGGAUCAUAGGUUGCAUGGACUUUAGACUAUACCCUUUCUCAAAAUAUUAGUAGCAAGUAUAACAUCUUGUCCUAAAACUUUUAAAUGAUUUAAAAUUUUAUUUUUGUUUACUGGUUUCUUGCUGAAAAUUUUGUCGAGCCAAUUGUGACGUCCUGCCCAUUCGUUGCGAUCCUUUUUAAGAUUGAGUUUCUCCUUCGCUACUUGUGACAGUAAGUUUUGUAGUUCAAGAGGCAUUUUCACCAUGAACCAGGAAUUUUUUGUUUAUGUUAUUAGCAGGAUGUGACUCACCCCACCAACAUUCAAGUGCUUCUUGUGGAAGCAAUUAAAUGCGCUUCUGUUGUAAAUUCAUGUCCAAUCCCACUAUUCCAUAUUAUUAAACACCUUUUUGUGGUGCUGAGGGUGGGUUUGGUUUUGUUGUGUGUGGGGUUUGGUGUUGGGAAACUUAUGGAUGGGAUCUUGAUGGAGUUAACACUAGACCUUCGACCCUUAUGGAGACAAAGGGCUGUCUAUUGUUCACCUUUGUAUAUGAAAUGCAAUUUAUGGUUAUUGAUGCAUAGUGCUUUUUUCCCAUCUUGGAAGGGCUAUUGAUGUAUUGACAUUCAAGUUAUUUGGCUGUCUAAUUAUGUGUGCUGAAACUGUCUUUUCCAGAUCAGCAUUCGCCUGAUUUACUUUACCGAAACACUUUAUUUCCUGGUUAAUCAUGAAGCACAGGAUAUUCAGGUUUUAACAUUUGGACAACUCUGUAUUGCCAAUGCAGUGUUUGCAUCUUACUACAGUGACUGCAUACCAAAAACAUUACGUACUCCUCCUGGACAAGAUUUUUUGUCUUAUUUGCCUCCGUACUAUUUUUGGUUCCCACAGAAGACGUACCAUCAAUUCCCUAGAGAGGUAUGGUGUUGAUCUUGACAGAAUAUCAAAUAAAUUAUGGGAAAUUGUUAGGCUGCGCAUGAUAAAAUUUUUGUUUCUUAAUUUCUCUAUUUCUCUGUUCCCGAAACAGGUUUAGAACAGAAAUCUGUUUGGUAACGCAAUUUGAUUUCUUUAUUUCUUAAACAGAUUUUUAUUCCAGAAAUAGAUUUGAAGAAGAAAUCAGAAACUAAAAUUUUAGCUUCUCAGUUUCUGAAAUAGAAAUUGAUAAAUUAGGGUGCGUUUGUUUGCGUUUCUGUUUAAAAAUUGUUCCAGGGAACAGAAAUAGAAAAAAAGUGUUUCUGUUCCGGGGAACAAUUUUUGAACAAAAAAACGCGUUUGGUAAAUUUGUUCCGGGAAUUAAAAAAUAAACAGAAACACGUUUGGUAAAUUUGUAUUAUUUGUAUUAUUUCUUUUAUUUUUUUAAUAUUUUUAAUAUUUUUAUUCUUUUUUUUUUCUUUUUUUCUUUUUUCUUCUUUUGGCCGGUCGCUGACCUCGGCCAUGGCCGGCGACUGGCCGACAAGGGCCGGCGGCCUCGCCGGAUCUGGGCGAGAUCGAGCUCGCCCAGCUCAGCGCGAGGUCGGCCUCGCCUUGGCUAGGCGAGCUCGAGCUCGCCCAGAUUCAGCGAGGUCGCCUGGCGGUGGCCCGGCGAGGCCGAGCCUCACCGGCCGCUGGGCGAGGUCGGCGCGAGGUCGGCCUCGCAGGGGGCCGGCGAGCCUCGACGUGGCUGGGCGAGGCCGACCCUCGCCAGGGGCCGGCGAGCCUCGCCGUGGCUGGGCGAGGCCGCCGUGCCCUCGUUGGCCGGUCGCCGGCCAUGGCCGAGGCCGGCGACCGGCGAAAGAAAAAAGAAAGAAAAUAAGAAGAAAAAGAAGAAGAAAUACAAAAGUGUUUCUAAGAUUUGUUUCAGAAAUAAGAAAUACAAAAUUUGUGUUUCUUAUUUAUGUUUCUUUUUUGUUCCUAGGAACAAAAGAACAAAAAAACAGAAAAAGUGUUUAAAAACAAAAAAAAGAAACAUAAACAAACAGACCUUAAUUUCUGGCCAGAAAUCAAUUUCUAUUUCAGAAAUUUUGUCAUGCGCACCCUUAAUGACUGAAUUUGAGGUUUGCUUCGCAUUUCUUUCAACUUGUCUAACAAGUGAAGUAUCAUAUAUUCCGGCAUUGUAUGUACUCUCUUUUUUCAGCUUAUAAAUUAUGACUGUCUUGUUUGUUUUUCUUCUUAACAAAGCAGGGUAGUUUGUAGGACUCAUUACGUUAUAAAUUUUUUUUUAGUAACUCUCGUUCUUGCAAAAGCCAUCAUGAGUUUUUCAUUUCGAUUCCAAAGUUUAAGACACAUAAUAAUGUUUAUUAUACUCUCUCUCUCUCUCUCUCUCUCUCUCUCUUACACACACACACACACACUAUGUAUGUCUACUAAUGCGUAUAAUUAUUAGUGACUAGCUCAAAGACAGCCACGGUUGAACAUAUUAAUGUGACAUGAAAAUGAUUUGAUUCCACCUGCUUCUCUAAUAACGAAUCAUACUCGUAACAGUUUUCAUGUAAUCGGAAUCUUCCCUUUAUUGUAGGUAUGGCUAUAUAACAUAGGAUUCGGUAGUUAUCAGGUUGAGAAAGUUUGUGAUACCUCAGGAGAAGAUGCAUCAUGCAGCAAGUGAUGAGCUAGUUUCAGUCGAAGCUACUUGUUCAAACAAUUAUUUUGUGGAUUUAUCAUGCAAGAUGCAAUAAGUCGUGAUGGACCAGCUUGUUCUAGAGAAUGUCUGUUCUUUGUUACUAGGAAUAUUUGUGGACAACUGAUCAGGGUAUUUUCCUGCAGAUUGGUAACCGGUAACAGCAUUGUGGACCAUUUAGUCUUUCUAUAGUGUGCAAUUAGUGGCUAAGACAUGAGAAUCGUGCAAAAUCGUCAUGGACACUAUUGACGGAAUGUGGAAGCGAAGAUGUCAAAGGUAGAUGUGUGAAUGUUGCAACUCUGACACUUGCAUGGUUAGGCAAUUAACCGGUUUUUAUAAGGUGAAACAAAGACUACGUUCACAGACCACUUCUCAAUCUAUGACACGUUACCUUCUCCUACAGGCACAUUGGCACAUAAGAUUUCUUGGCAGAACUAAGUACUUCAACUAUUUCCUCGUAGGGAAUUGUGCAGAUGAACUGUUAAAUCAAACCAUCUCGGAGACAGAUGAUGACUUUUGUCUUACAUCAUUUCCACUGGCAACCUUCGCAAAAUUUUUACUUUUAGGAGGUAAACAAUUUAUAUCAUCUUGGCUUUGAUAUGUAACAAUGAUCAUAUCAGCAUUUGGAACAAGAAUUGUAAGCUUUUACCUUCUUUUUCUAAUAUGCAGGAAUUAACAUUAGUGGAAACCUGAAAAGUAAAAAACUUGGGGGGAAACUUCUGCCACUGAUAAGAAGGGAAACAGAACUUUUGUCUUGCUGACAGGUACCUGUUCAAAACGUCAAAAGUGAGCAUUACCAAAGUGCUAAGUAAGCUCAUGGUGCUACACAAGUCAGGUCUAAAGUACAAUGCCAAAUGUUUACUAAUGUUUCAAAGAUCCAAUCUAGUUCAAAAGCAGAUACUCAACCAGGUCAGCCAAGCAACAUCUUCUUCAACAUGUACAAGCAAUUGUUCAAACUUUUCUUCACUAGAGUGCUUGAAGUUUUGCCCAUAAUACUGCGACAUCCUUCUCCUCAGUAACCUCUAUUAAGACCUCAUCCGUCAAAUUUAAUUCAUUUAAUAGAAUUAUGCUAUUUGCUUUUUUCAUUAGCUCUACCCUUUCAAAGGCUUUCAUGAUAAUAGGCAACUCAUCUUCGCCUUCCAGUACCUUGGCCAAAUCUUAUGUUAUCAAUAAAGCUCGCAUCUUGAUGCUUCAUAACACAAAAUUGUUACUCCCAUUAAAUUUCUCAAUUUCAGUUUUCUUCUCAUGAUUGCAAUAACAGAAUUUUCAGAUAAUAAUCAGACAAACAAAAUCUCCAAAUUAUAAUCAAGAAAUUCAACCCCAAGCUCUGAUACCAAUUGUUGGGAUAUAAUACGUGAAAACGACGGGAUCUUGCAAUUUAAGUCAAUGCGAAAUCGCCAGAGAAGUAAACAAGAAAUAAUAAGGAUACCAGAAAAUUUACGUGGUUCGAUUCAAGUAACGGUACCUACGUCCACGGGGAGAACUAGUAACAAAUAAUCCACUAUAAUCGGAGUAUCAGAGUUUACAAUCACUCAAUGAUUCAAGUGUUUUCCACAUUUAGAUUUAACCCCAAGUUCAAAGUGUUUAUAAAUAAAUAACUCACUUGGACAUAAACUCAUGGCAUAAAAUUACCACGUAACAAAACGCAGCUCUAUGUACGGCUUCGCGAGGCUGCAAAGACUUUGGCUUCAGAUAAACUCGCAGAUCGCGGCUUUCUUCUAAGCUUCGGAAGACGUACGUUCAGCGGCUCCUUCUUCUCGACUUGUACAUGCAGCAGCCAAGGAAAGAAAACCUCAUGUGAUGUCCGUUUAAAAUAUAUAUAUACGUGUGUGCCCAAGGUCAAAAGUUUGACCUUGGGCCCCACCACUUUAACUCCUUCACGUGCGGGGCUUCUUCCUUCGGCGGCAUCUUCCUUCUCUACGUGGGGGUGCAGCAGCUUACGAAAAAACGAAAGAAGACCCAAUUCUUUCUGCUUUUAUAUAUUUAUAUAUUUCCUCUUUUGUAGAUUUUGAAGAGUCCAGCGAAUUUCUUCUACUUGAAAAAUCUUUAUCAAUAAAAUUUGAUAUAAUAAAUCGUCAUCCGAAUUCAUACUCAAGACAUUGAUUUAACAGUAUCCGUGGUUGACAAAAGGAAGAUGUCUUUUUUUGCUGUGGGUUGAGGGUGGAGAGGAGACAGUUGCAGCUUAAGUUAAAAAGGGGAGUUUCUCCCUCGAAUCUAGAAAACGACAAUUCGUUUCUUAUUAUAGGUGGGGUUUUCCUUUCAUUUUUUCCAACCCAACCUUAGUUCAAUGAAAAAACAUACUUUAGAAUUAACAUAUGCAUACGUCCAAGCAAAAUUCAAUAUUGAAAAGACUGAAUUAUUCCUACUCAAAAACUUUAUUUAAGUCUCUCACUUCAUGUUUGAAUAAUAUAAUUUUCAGUUAGUUUUGAGUACUUUUGAUGGUGAGACUUUAGGAAUUGUGGAUGGACUUUUUUUUUUAGAGAAAAUGACAAUUCUUUUAUACAAAGGAACACAAGGUUAAUCGACCUCAUAAAUCAAGAUUCAUUUGGUCGUGAAACAUGAGAUUGUUUGUACUAAUCCGAUUGAAAAUUAAACUUACCUAAUUUUCCAAAUUCACAUAUAAAUCCUUUCAUGAACCAUUAAAUCAAAAUUAACCAAGAGUAGGUAUGUCAAAAAGCGAAAUAUCACCAAAAGAUGAAUUAUAAUAAUAUUAGCAAACAAAUAAUCAAAAUAUUACCAAAUAAUCCCACAAAUGCUUUACUUCCCAAAUGGAAUUUAAAAUUCUCUCAACUUGCCAUAAUUUUCUUUUCUUAGGCUAAAUAAUAAGCAUCUCCAAACAUAUAUCCUCUCCAUGGCUAAAUAAUAAGGAUCUCCGAACAUAUAUCCUCUCUAUAUAUAUUACCCUAUCUUUCUUUCAUCUCGAGAGUGUCGUUUGCAAAAGUUUUUAUGAUUGUUCCGCACCGUAAGUGAUGAUGGACGCCGCCACAGGGGAACAUGACCGUAUUCCCUUCUUCCUCCUCGUCGGAGCCCUGCACGCUGCCGCCGCUGCCGCGAGAGCUCGCAGGCUCCGCCGCAUUCCCAAGCCUCUGGUUCAUGUCAGCUCGGUUGGAUUCGUCCCUCUGAAUGACCACCGAGUCGCUGAAUGCGCUUGGAUUCGUGCGCAAGCAUGUCGAGAUCGCAGCUCCUCCUCCUCUUUUGCUGCUCAGUCCCUCGGUUUUCGCAGGUAGCGUGCUUGUUGUCGUCCGUUAGGCUUUUCUUUUUUCGGUGCUGAGGAAUCUCGGCGUGGAUUGUAUAUGCCAGACUGAUCGGUUCUUGGUCAGUAGGGGGCCUUCUUUAGGUUGAGUUUGAUGUCUAAAUAUGGGGCGGCAGGUGGAGAAUUUGAUGAUUGACGAGGAAGUCUGGAUAACUAAUUCGAGUGAUGUGUACCUGGUGGAGCAGUCGAGUUGAAGCAGAGGGAUGAUUAUGCUGUCAGGAUUGUGCUUGUUGAUUGAGACACCGUAUUUUUUUAAUCAUGUUCGUCGUGUUUGCUUUGUAUAUUUGAUAUUGGAGAUGAUUAUGUAAUAGAAUGAAUUGCGUCGUUGUUUCUUCUAGUCUAGCACUUCAUGUUCUUCAAUGUCGGUUCUGGGUUGAAUUAGUUUGUUGAUACAAAACGGAGCUGCAUUUCUCUUGGCGGUAUAAGGUUUUGAGGGAUAAGUACACUAAUAGUGUCAUAAGUUGUGUACGAUACUCACUUUGGUGCCAAAAGUUUCCGUCGGAUCACUUAAAUGCCAAAUUGAAGAAAAAACAAUCACUUUGGUGCCACCGGCGAGAAAUUCCGGCCAAAAUGAUUACGUGGCUUUUAUAUUUAAAAAAAAAAUCAACAUGGCUUAAGAUUGUCCACGAUGGAUAGCAUAAAACGACACCAUUUUCCUUUUUUCAUAAGAAACGACGUCGUUUCUUGUCAUCCACUGUGGAUUCACAUAAGAAACGACACCGCGUUGCUCCAUAACAAAAAACGAUGUUGCUGAAGAGGAAGUAAAAUAGGGUUCGUAUACAAUUCUCCUCGACGCCGGCCGUAGCUCGCUCACCCACCGUCGUUCACCCACCGUCGUUUGCUCGCCUGCCAUCGCUCGCUCGCCGUCGCUCAGCCACCGCUAUAGUUGCGCCGUUGUUCACGAUCAUUCAGGUUUGUCAUGUUCUCUACGUGGAUCAAUUUUGCGAAAAAUUUAAGGUUCCGAUGGGCAAGUUAGGGCACGGUAGGCAAACUGAGGGCUCGGCUUAGGAGGAAAGUAGUGGGGAAAGUGGUGGGGAUGUCACUUUUAUGGGGACGGAAUAGAAAAAUUAAUUCUUCCAUCGUUCGUUCGCUUUCUGUUGUGGGGACCGAAUAGAAAAAUAAGGUGCAGAGAAGCUUAACUCGGAGGAAAACAGUGGUGGGACCGAAUUUGUUUGUUUAAUUAAUUGGACUGCUUUUGUGGGGGACCGAAUGUGAAUGUGAUUGAAUUGAAAAAUGGGUGGUGGGGACCUCACUUUGUUUAUUUAAUUCAAUUUCUUUUGUUUCUAUAAAUGCACCGAAUUGGGAAGAUUUUAGUCGCAUUGUUCCUUGACAACAAAACGACAAGGACCUACAUGUGAAGUUAUCGAUUCUGUCAUGUGGUUCCAACAAAACGAUAAUGAUUAUUUUUUUUCAUUGGGUGUAGCAUUGACAUGGACGUGAAUCAGAUAGGCGUCAUUGUUUGCUAUGGUGGAGAGUUUGUUAUUGGCACUGAAGAUUGGGAAUAUAGUGGUAGAAAUGAUGGUACUAUUUAUGUCAAUGUUUAGAAGCCAUCAUAUAUUGAUUUUCUGAGGGAUUUUGUGUAUUUUUUACGAUGUAAAGUGCAAAAAUUACAUUACUGUGUUCCUAGAAAGGAAUUGAAGGAUGGGUAUUAAGGAUAUCAUUUACCAUUAUCUUCACAGUGAAGAAGUUAAGGUAUUUGUUGAGUAUUAUAGUGAGGAUGAGGAUAAGGAUGGGGAUGGGGAUGAGCAGACCACCACUGAAGGAGGAGAAGUGAGGGAUCAUGUUCAAGCGAGUAAUUAGGUCGGGGAUGAGUUUAGGUUAGAUGAAGCACAAAAUGAGAGGGAGAUAAGUCAUAUUGAUAGAGAUGAACAAAGAGGGAGAUGUCCUGAAAUCUUGGGUGAAGAUUUGAGUGAAGAUGUGGGCGAUGAAGACUUCAUUGGAUUAGAAUGAGAAAUUGUUUUAUCUAGUGAAUCGGAAGAUGAAUGUUUGGCUUUAGUAAAUUUCCCAAGUGACGAAGAUGAUGAUGAACUCCAUAGUCAAGACAAAAACAAAAGGAAUUUCUGAGAAAAAAACUUACAGCUUCAGCAAAAAGGCCCGAGCUAGUAAAUAGGGAUGGAGAUCCAGUUGAGGGUAAUAGAAGUGAAGAUGAAGAAAGCUGUGUCGAUGAAGUUGUUGGUUCGAAAAAUGAGCUUGACAAUAAUGAUGAAGAAUCUGCUCCUCGAAAAAAAAGUAAGUACCAUUGCUAUGAUCCGACUGCUAAUAAAUCUGUUUUGUUGGUGGGCAUGAGAUUUGACGAUGCCAAACAAUUCAAGGAAGCUAUUGUGAAGAACACAAUUGGUGAACAGAGGAGCGUUAAAUUUAUUAGAAACACGAAGGAAUUUGUGAGAGCUAAGUGCUCACAACCUAAUUGUUCGUGGAAGCUCUAUGCCGCACUUAGUAAGAAUAGGUCAUUCCAGAUUAGGUCCUUUUAGGAGGAGCAUACUUGUCCAAUUAUCUUUAACAAUAAAAGGGUAACAAGUGUGUGGUUAUCAAAGCAUUUUUUCAAUACUAUCAAAGCAAUGCCCGAGAUCAAGAGUCUUUAAUUUCAACAGUUAGUUAAGGAGCAAGUAGGGGUUAAUGUAUCGAGGAAUCAAUGUAAGAGAGCUAAGAUGAGAGUGAUGAAGAUAUUGAUGUGUGGGUAUAAGGAAGAAUAUGCGCAUGUAUGGGAUUAUGCUAGUGAAUGCAUAUUUCAAAACCCAUCUAGUAGAGUAUAUGUAGAGGUUGUGGAGAGGCCACUCCCUGAUCUUGGGCCUAGAUUUGAUAGAUUUUAUAUCUGUUUUGAUGCAUGCAAACGGAGCUUCUUGACUGGUUGUAGAAGAGAUAUAGGAUUGGAUGGAUACUUUCUAAAGGGUUUAUGCAAUGUAGAGUUAUUGGUUGCUGUGGGGAGAGAUGCCAAUAAUCAAAUGUUCCCGAUAGCUUGGGCGGUGGUAAAGAUAGAGAACAAGGAUAUUUGGUCCUAGUUCCCAAAAAAUUUAAUGGCUGACCUUGAGAUAACCGAUGGGGAAUGAUGGAUAUUCAUGAGUGACCAAUAGAAGGUAAUUUCAUUAUCAAUUAAUUCACUCCAUUUUAAUAUUAAUCACUUACAUAUUUUUCUUAACUUAUAUUUAUUGGUUUGAAUUUUUGUAGGGACUUAUUCCUGCAUUGGCUGAAUUGAUGCCAUAUGUUGAGCAUAGAAUGUGCGCGAUGCACAUAUAUGCAAACUGGUCAAUGAACUUCAAAAGAGAUAGGAUGCAGAAGCAGUUUUGACAGAUAGCAAAGAGUACGAAUAUGGCUGAUUUCAUAUUAGUCAAACAAGGAUUGUUGCAGCUGACAAAGAAAGGUUUUGAUGCACUCUUCCAAACAGAAGCUAAGCACUGGUGUCGAGCCUUCUUUAGCGAAGAGUUCAAAUGCGAUAUCAUUGAUAACAAGCUUUCAAUGGUAGAAUUUUAGAGGCCAAGUGCAAAUAAAUCAUCAGCAUGCUUGAUGAUAUUCGAGUUAUGAUUAUGACUAGAUAGCAUAAGUAACAAGAUGAGGCUACAAAAUGGAGUAGAGACUGUACCCCUAGGAUUGUGAAGAGAUUUGAUGCAAAUAUUGCUGCUAGUAGGUUCUACCAUUUAGUUUGGAAUGGAGAUAAUGGAUAUGAGAUUAUUCAAAAUCAGGAUAAGUAUGUUGUCAACCUAGAUAGAAGAAAGUGUUCAUGCCGAGCCUGGCAACUAAAUGGAAUUCCCUGUGCCCAUGCCAUUUGUGCUAUUCAGAUGAAGCAAAAAAAACCCAGAUGAUUACCUACAUGAUUGGUACAAAAAAAGUUCAUACCUUGCUUCAUACCAAUUCAUGAUGCAGCCUAUCAGAAGCAGCAAAUUUUGUGAGUCAACAAAUCAUGAAAGCCCUCUACCUUUAUCGCUAAAGAAGCAAAUAGGAAGACAAAAAAAGAGACGAAGAAUGCAGCAAGAAGAGACAUAAAGUCAAAGGAUGAGUAGGACUGGAUCAAAGAUGAAAUGCUCCUAUUGCCGCAAGGAAUGGCACAAUAAGAAAGGUUGUGAGCUGAAAAAGCAGCAUCAACAGCAAGAUGUAAUAGCUGAUUCAGUGCCAGGGACAGGACCUACUAAGAGUUUCUUGUUAGGCAUAUUGAAGGGAGGACAGAAGGCCCUGCUGUAAUGCCUACUGAAGGGAAAACAGAAAGCCAUGCUGUAAGGUAAGUAUCAUCUUUGUCUUAGUAACUUUACAGUUCUUAUUCGAUAGAGUUUGAUGAUUGACCAUGUGUACUGGCUUCUCUUGUGCUUUUCCUCUAUCAUGCACUUGUAAUUUGAGAAGUUUUCUCCAUUUGUUUCCACCGUGAAAAUGAGUAAAUGUCUAAUUAUUCGUUGUAGUUGGUCAUAAUCUUAAUACAGUACAUUGUUGUAAGGCCUACUAAAGGGCCAGAAAAAGGCCCUGUUGUAGGCUCAAGUGUAGGGACAAGGACUGGAAUAGGCAGGACAGCAACAACAACAACUGAGUCCACUGUUGAGCAAACAAGAAAAAAAUAUCUUGUAAGUUUUACAUCGUUGUGUUUGGUCUUUUAUGAGCUAAAAUUUACAUUUGUUAUGUGUUUCUCAGGUGAGAAGACGAGCAACUGCACAAGUUACAAAGAUUGCUACAAGGAUUGUUGUUGUUGAAAAUGAUGCACCACAGCGAACAAGAGGGGCUCUUGGAAAAAGAUUAAAGCAAUAUGGUUAUGGGAUUUACACAAAUGAACGUACUAGAAUGACUAUUUUGAAUGUAAGAUUUAUAAGUUUUAUGCAUUUAAUUUGUUGUACUUCAAUUCAUUUGGUUGACAAUAACAAUAUCACUAUGUUCUUAUAGCCUGGGAGAACUUCGGAGGUACUUCUCUCUCAAAGUGGGCCAACUCAAGAAUUAAGGGCGCAGCCAAAGAAGAGUGCUCCAAAGAAGAAGAUGACAGCGGAUAUAGCUGCGAAAUAGCCAUCCAAAAAGAACCCAACACCAGUUCCAUCUCAACCAACAAUUGGGAGCGGUAGUAAUGAUAUGGACCAACACAUGACACGUGCUAGAACAAAAAUAGCCGCCAUAAAAAACAAGGAAAAAGAAAAUGAGGUGACAGAAAGCCCAGUUAAAGAACCUGCACAUCCAGUUCGAAAGAGUGCUCGGAUUAUGAAUCAAUUCAAAGCUCCAAGAGGAAAAAGAGAUCAUGGUGUUGUCAAUAUUUACUAAUGGGAGGGUGCUGGACAUGGUCUCUUUUUAUGUGAUGCUGGACAUGGUAUCUUUUCAUGUUUUCUUUUUUUAGGAGUGUGCUGGAUAUUAUAUCAUUGAUGGUAGUUGCUGCAUGCAUAUUGCUAUUGUUUUUUUUUUUUUUUAAGAGAGUGCUGAACUUUCGAUGAUUGUGGAGUGAAGUUAGACAUGCUUUUCUUUUCUUUUGUAAACAAUAAAUUACUGUUAAUGGCAACUACAGGAAUGAUUAUUCAUUUUCUCUUGUGUUGGUUUCGGUUAGAAUGCUAGCAAGUCAGUUAUGCUGUAUAUUUUAUUUUUGAUGUUACUGUAAUGUUGUUGUUGCUGCAAUGUUACUGUUGUUGAUUGAAAUUGUGGAUUAUAAUGAAUUUGUGGGGUUCUGAGUAUAUGUGUUGCUACAAGAAUACUUUGGGUGCUGGUACAUCUUGUUACAUCAACACCUAUAUGGGCUGGUGCAAGAAGACCAAUAACUCAACUAGUGCAAGAACAAGGUGCAUUUGGAAUGUGACGUUUGGCACUAACAUGGUCUUUUUUAAAAAACUUGUACAACAUAAGUAAUCACUUUGUAAUCGUGAUUGGCACUUAAAUGAUCACUUUUAUAAAACUUGGCACUCAAGCGAUCACUAUUUACAACUUAUGGCACUGAAAUGGUCAAUCGUGAAUUUGCCACCAUCUUUUAAUUUCGGCUAGUUUGCAAUUGCAACAAACCAGCAAACUAGAAAACUAGCAAACCAGCAAACCAUUACCAAAUAAAAAAUGUAGCAAACCAUUACCAAAUAAAAAAUGCAGCAAAUCAUUACAAAAUAAAAAAUGGUUAAUAUCCUAAAAAACCCAAAACCAGUACACUUGUGAUAAAUUUACCCCAAACUAUUUUUUAAGUUAAAUUAAAUGUGACAGUUGACUAAUAUAUCGAUUUAGGAUUUUAGGCAUUGUUUGUCACAGUUUACAAUUUUUGUGAUUUUUUUAUAGUAUUAAUCUAAUUUAACGGAAUGUAUAUUUGUCACAAAUUUAUCAGUUUGAGGUUUUUUGUAGUCGAAUAAAUUAGUUUAGGAUAAAAUUAUCGUAAAUGUACCAGUUUAUGGUUUUUUAUAGUCAGUUAGGGUAAAUUUGUCACAAGUGUACCAGUUUUAGGGUUUUUUAUGGUAAAAAAAAUAGUUUUUGAUAAAUUUGUCAUAGGUAUACCAGUUUUGGGUUUUUUUUUAGGGUAUUAACCCAAUAAAUAAAUGCAGUAACCAUUACUAAAAGCUUUCAAUGCAGCAAACCAUUACCAAAUAAAAAAUGCAGCAAACCAUUACCAAAUAAAAAAAAUGCAGCAAACCAUUAUCAAAAUUUUUCAAUGCAGCAAACUAUAACCAAAUAAAAAAUGUAGCAAAUCAUUAUAUUUGAAGCAAAAAUUAAUCAAAACAAAUAUUGACAAUACACAACUAAACAAAAAAACUUUUAAGUGCUCACAACUAAUACAUUUCAAGUCCAAUCUUGCAUUUCUACCGAUAUAUUACAGCAACAAAAUAUUUUGCUCCAUACAAAAAUUGCAGCAAACCAAAAAACACAUUUUAUUUAUAAAUAAUUCAAUACAAGUGCAUAUUCCAUGUCUUCGACUAUGGUAGACAUACAAACUUCUUCUCAUUACUCACUUUACCUUUGAAUAAACUACCCAAGAGAAAAAGAACACAAUCAACGCUUGAUAAAAGUUUCUUCCAAUUUUUAGCCUUGAAAUCCCCCUCUUCAAAUGGUCCACCAAAUAUGUUAAACCCUUCAUUUGAGCUUGCAUUGAGUCGACAUCCUCCAACUCAUCCAUUAACAUAGGUGGAAGUUGAUUUUGGCUUUCAAGUAACUCCAAUAUCAUGUAUGUCGCUCGAUCAAAGAAUUUCCUAUCAACUCAUUUGAAGUAUUGGCACUUCGAGCCUUUUCUAUAUCUGCCGCACCCAUGGAAUCUUCUCCUGGGAUUCAAUCGAGUCCAAGAUGUUCUUCUCGAACUUGGUAACCCACAAUAACAGUAACACUCACCAUCUAAUUCGCCUUUUUUUAUAGGAAUGUGAGCCGCUGUUAAAGCUUUUGUCAUCCAUUUGCAAGAGCGAGUUGAUAACUUCAGGAGAAAAUUGAAGUAUGCACUCAAAAUGGUCAAAUUGGGGAUUUAGAGUUUUCAACUUCCGAUUCUAGUAGAAAUUGGGGAUUUAGGGUUUCUUAUGUGGGGGAAAAUGAUAAAAAGCAUCGUUUUGUUCUUUGUAUGCUGAUUGUAUUCUCUAGCGAUCCACGUCGGCAUCAAAAAUUAAUAAAAAACUGCCAUGUCAGAUUUCCGGUCAACCAAAUCGGCGAUGGCACCAAAGUGAUCGUUUUUCAAAAUUUUUGGCACUUAAGUGAUCCGACGGAAACUUUUGGCACCAAAGUAAGCGCCGUACACAACUUAUGGCACAAUUAGUGUACUUCUCCCAAGGUUUUGAUGUGAUUGUCGUUGGAAUUUACAGGGCCGUCUCGUGGCAAUAGAUUGCCUGCUUCCCCUUGUUUGAUAAUUUCUAGUUUACCGUAUUCUUCUGAAGCAAGUGCUGAAAUGGAGGAACCCAUAGGAUUUUUUGCUUUUUUCCAUCUAAUGUGUCUUGACACAUCGUGGAGUUCUUUUUCUGAUAUUUGGUUCUUGUAAUAUUAUGCAGAGACCGUGAAGGAGAUGUAUGAUAAAAUUCUUGAGUCCGCUAAUAUGAAAAGAACAAUGGCUCCAAACGCAUGGACGUGGUCGAUGAUUGAAAAUUGCAAGAACAGAGAGGAUAUCAGAGCUUCUCUUUGAUGUCUUGCAGAACCUACGUAGAUUUGUCUGUUGACUUCUUGCUCCAUUUGAGAAUUAAAGUUUUAGUUUGUGAGCAGUUGACAAACCAACUUGUUUUUUUCUUUCAUUGGGCAGAUUGUCAAAUCUUCAAAUUCAUGAGAAUUUUAACUGCAACCUUUGUCGGAUAGUCACAAAAGCAUGAGUGCAUGCAAGGGCUCUUGAUUUUGGGGAGCUUUAUCUACACAAGUUGUGUGCCAAGUUCAAAAAUUUUAUAUCUUGCUAAUAUAUUCACCCGAUUCUUCUUCUUCAUUCGAUUGUUGCUAUGUACCCUAUCAUUAGCACAAUCAUUUUGUUGUUAUGUUGUUUGCUCUCACAUGAUCUUUUUACCUAAAGUCUGUCAUGCUCGGAGAACAUAUUCAGUUGCUUAUGAAAACUUUUGACUAUCGCGCUGGUACCGGUAGCUAGUUAUGCUUUUUUGUUUUUUUUCCUUGAUGCAUCAAUUAUGUAAACCGGAAUUUUGUCCUACACGGUUGCUACACGUCUAUUAAGUGUGGGUAUUGAAAUAACAUGACACAUUCUUGCUAAUAGUUUUUCACGUUUGAAUGUGUAAAAGCACAUUCAAUUUAAAGUACAUAGGACAUUGUUAAAAAUGUAUUAACUUGUCUUGUGUGAGUAACAUGUUAACUUGCUCGACAUGCUUCAAUGUGUUUAAGUGGUAAAAAGGUCAAUUUAUUUUACAUGUACAAACUUGUUAACUCAUUGAUGACUCAGACAAUUUUAAGCUCAAUCCAACUUAGUAUGUGUCAAACACUUAUUCUGUAAACAGGUCUUUUCGCACAUUGCUGGCUCUGUAGGACUCUGAUUUAUUGAAUGACACCUCCACUUCAAGUUAUUGAAUUCAUUGUUGAAGCUUGGCAAAGAGCAUUCACUUUUUGCGGACUUGUUUUUAUGAACAUCAAGCUUCAGUAGUUGUCAGUUCAACCUGUUUCUAGUAAUUAAGCUCUUCAUAAUUUUCAAGCAAAAUAAAUCAAAUCAAUCUGCAGUUCCAAAGUGUAGUUCAUGUUAGGAGAUUGCAGCAAUUAAUUGUCACUGGGAGUACAUGAUUUAAUCAGAACCUAUAUCUGUAAAUCCUUAUUUAGGCUAAGAAAUUAAUUCGCAUGGUGCACUUAGUACUUGAUGAUAGAAACUAAGGGUUGACAAAAUUGUAGGUAAGAAGGCCUCGUGGGAGCAUAAUGUCUAUGGAUUGACCCCUACGAUUGGCUAUGCAAACCAUCUUUUGGUAAUGAUGAAGUGUAUCUAAAUCAAAAAAAUUCUUUUUUCCAUUUGUUUUAUUUACACAAUUCUUCCGCUAAGUUGGGGUAUUGCAAUGCAGCAAUAUGCUAAAGAGCACAAAGAUGCCACUCUCAGAAGAAGAAUAACUUGCCAUUGCAACCCAGCACAGCUGAUAGUGUUUUCAGGUUCACUUCCGUGCUGUUUUCCUGAGAAUGAUGUCAUUAUCAUGUAGGAAGCCAUUAUUGCACUUAAUUGUGUGAAAUGUACUACAUAGUUAUCAAGCAAUUUAUCCAAUUUAUAAGUGUCUUUUAUAUAUGAUUUAAUCAACUUGUUUUUAUUUUGAAUCAUUUUGUCUGCACUGCUACUCUCGAUCUAAUAGUUUGCUCAUGUUACUUGACAUCCUUUAUUUCCAUGGAAAAAUUUUGCAGCAUUUGUGAUGAUACAGACAAUUGGGGGUUGCUCACAAAGUAUUCAAAGAGAUUUGUCAAAAAGGGAGUGAAUCUGCAUAAAGCUGCAUUUGACAUCUGGAUGGAGUUUGCUGCAAAAGUAGGUGAGAAACACUCGCUCUGUCUCCCUUCACUGCUCUCAAGCCCUUGCCCCUCAACAAUCUUAUUUUCCAUUUCUCCCCACAAAUAGUUCUCUCAUCUAGGUCCCGCCACUUACUACAAAAGAUGGGAUGUGCUAGAAUAUUUUCUUACUGUACAAUGAUUUCUUUCUCUCCUUAAGCAAAAGGGUAGAAAUAAGAAUUGAAAAGAAUUUUCACUGCGCCAUGUCUUUCAAUGUCUUUGUUUCUUUAAUUGUUCUGAGAUUAUGCUUCUUUAUCCUAUUUAGUGGUUUGACGAAAAUUACCCUUUUCAGGAGACAUUGAAUCUCUAUGGAAAACUGAGAAGUUAAGAUGUGAGUCCAUGAAGCAGCAUACCAUGGGCAGUGGGUUCUCAUGUGCGAAGGUAGUUUACAAACACAAACUGUUGAAAUCACAAAUAUCAGACCCCGAAAGCACUAGGUCUUCUUGCAUUAGAAAAUCUGAUAAUGGGAAAAUAUUACUAUUGCGAUACAGAUCAGUACAAAGUUCUUGGUAAACCAGGUGAGAGGUCUAUGGCCAAAAAAAGCGGGAGUUAAUGCUUGAAUAAACCAAAUUUUGGCUCACAUCCUAGGACAUGAAGCACCUAUGGGCAUGAGAAUGCUCAUUGUCAUCACACGAAGGAGAUAUAACUACUUUUUUCGGUAUUUGGAAGCAUUUAUUGUGGCUUUUAGCACUCUGGUUUAAGAUUAAAAUUUAACCGACUGUCAUUUACUUGUUUUGUGGCAAACUAAAUGGUUUUAUAUUCAAUUUUUUGUGCAGGGAUAUUUACUUGAAGGCAAACCUGAGGAGGCUGCUACAGUCAUUCGCGUCUUGAAUCAGGUGCUCCUCACUUCUCAGAGCAUCUAUAGCUAUUAUUAAUAUGCUCAUCAUCACCAUCUGGCAUGAUUGCAAUCCUAAAUUACCUCAGCCUCUGAACUAGUCAUUCAAUUUUCCAUAUACUGUCAAGGAAUGAAGCAAUUAGUGGAAGAUAUACGGAAUUGUCCCCCGAAAUGUGCUCAGAAAAAUUACCAUGACAUAUCCUCUCUCGAGGGGGACUGGGUGAUUUGGGUUUCGUAUUUGGUGCCUACUAUACUAUUGAAAUAACACGAGUUAGUUCCAUGGAUCCUAAUAGAGUUUGAAAGAUCAUCUCAGACUCCUCCUGAAUUGAAUAAAGUUGGAAAGACACCAAUGUAGGCUCUGUUUGUUCAGAUGUCGCUUCUUAGGUGUCGCAAUGUGAAUGCCUUGGAUUGAUGCCAGAGUAAACCUGAUGCUAAGAGGUCCAGCAUCAUGGUUGAACUUCAAAAGCUUGUCAGUGAGUGGCUUUUCGAGGUCAUCAAAAGGAAGAAAGAAGAUGACCGCAAGGUACUUCCUUUGACUAAAUAUCCAUCACUUUGGGUAGAAGUAGAAAUAUUGCCUGUUUGGAGUUAUAUAUUGCUCUGGUAAUGUUUGAAGAUGACCCGUUGCUGGAUGUAUAUAUGCUGCUUUGAACUAUCUCAAAAUUUUUAAAACCUCUCAUUCUUUUCGCUCAUGUAGGCAUUGGCUGCUUCUCUCAAAUCCGAUAUCCCAGCCAUGGUUAGUUCCUUAUUAAACACGGGCUUGCAGGUGAAAGCGAAUAACCACCGAAGGCACCCUUUGUUAAAGUAUGACAGAAUUGGAGAUUGAAUGCACUAGCUGCAGAUCUGUCUCCUAUGUGGACCGCUAAGGUUGCCAUGUAAGUUUAAACCGAUUCCGCUGAGAAGCAAGACAAGCGCGGUACUCACGUCUCGAGCAACAAGCAUCUGAAGUUCUCUUGUAAAGGUCCCUGAACCAUGAAAAGAUCUGCUCCUUCUUGAUUUGAAUGCUGUCACUUCUGUACUUUCGGAUAAUGAUUUUUUUCUUUCCCAAAAAUAUCUGAAUGUAUUAGAGACGAUAGGUGCAUCAUCAGCAAUUGAAUUCUGAGAACAACCUCGGAUGACUAGUUUUUGCUGAGAGGACUCUUCUGGCUCACAAAUUUUAGAUUGGACCAAAUGGGCAGUUAAGAGAGACAAUUGAUAAGGUGGUCCUUUCAAUUUCAAUCUGAUUUGGCAGCGUUUUGUUAUAUUUCUGACAGAAUUUCGCUGUCCAAAAUUAAGAGAGUGAAUUUUAUGCCGACUCAUUCGAUCUUGGCAUACAGCGACCACCAUUGUUUCCUGAUUUAAUCGGAUUGAACUGUCCAAUCGUGGUGCCAGAGUGCAUAACAUAAAUUACAUGCCUUUUUACAUCAUGAAAGAUAACGAAGAACCUGAAUUACCAGAUUUGGCUUUGGUACCCACAUGCGUAGGUGCGUGCGUGCGUGCGUGCAUUUUGUGCAUAUAAGGUGUAAAAGAGGUGACAAACGCAAUCCUCUAGAAUUAAAACAUGUGCAUUAAUCGUGCGCAAGUUUUAGCAAUGAAUUGACAUAAUUGUAAUAGGUGUGACUUUUUUGAUAAUUUUUCCGUAUUCACACUAAAAAAUUUAGGAUUAUAAUCAGAUUGUAUAGGAUUGAAUUUGAAUUUAUACAAUAAGCUUAUGACUGAAUUUACGAUUCUCCCAACUCAAAUAAUUCUCCCCCUCUUCUAUCUCCUCUCCUCAUUUGUAUAAAAUGGGCAAUGAGGGUUGGCUUAGGUAGUGGAAGGGAAACCAUCCUCCCAAUGACCAUCCUGGAGAAAGUCCACCCAAAUUCAAAUCGCAGGGGAAGAAAACAAACCUCUUCUCACUUUGAAUCACCACACUGAGUGUUGAUUUUAGCUCCUUAAAAUCUUCCUACACAUCCAACCCCUCGGGAUCCUAGCAUCAAGAGACAAUCCUUCCGGAUUAUAAGAGUGAGAGUAGAAGUCACAUCCUAUGAUUUCCAAUCUUUCGCAAGACAUGCAAAUAGAUUUGCGUAUGGUUAAUAUGAGAAAAGAGCUAUCCUAUACACUCGCAUUUAGUUGAUAAAAAGGUUGAUCAAUUUGUAGAUGACAUGCAGCGACUUAAUUUCCAUUCACAUAUAAAUAACAUGUAGCCCAUCCUAGGUUGUGUCAAAGCCCCAAUACAUGUAUUAGAUACUAUGCCAUCUCAAUCCGAAAAAGCAAAAGGGACAUAUUGAUGUUUUCCAAUCAUCACACCUUGAGAAAAGACGACACAUUUUUUACUCUAGCAGGUGAGACAUCCUUCCGACGGUAGUCUCGGAAGAUGAAUCUUGCUUCCGAUCUCCAUAAUCUAGCAACAAUGAUGGUGAUUCCACUGGACUAGUGAGGACUACUUUUAUCUUCCUCUCCUUUAUGUACUUAUCACUUCCUUUAUCAAACAAAAAAUCUAAAAGAAAUUUCUCGAGUUACUUAACCCGAAACAUUAUGGAACAUAUAUUAGUAAAACUUGUCAUGUCAACAGUGAUGUCCUCUUCAUCUGUAUCAGGAACUUGUCUCUGCACCGCAGGACAGGUGGAGCUACUUGUGGUGCUUAACAUGGUAACUGCAUCAAAUAGAAGAUAGGAUGAAAAGCUACUCCAAUUUUUUUGAAAUAUCAGGACAUAGCUUCUGAGGCCUAUCACAGUUUCCCUUUAUCUAAGGUAUAUUAGACUACUAUGGCGGGCAUUCAGAAUCUUAUUCAAAGAUGAUCCUUGCUGUAAUGCGACUGACUCCACCUUAAGCAGUUCGUACCCCAGCAACAAUAUAGUCCAAUUGACAUGUCAUGGCAAAGAAAUUGCAGAAGAAUCUUUUAGCCGAUUCAAGUACCGUGGGCAUGUCCCUCCUCACAAGUAUGUUAGGGGCUCUAAUAAGUAUGUGACAUGAUAUUCCAUGGACUUGAGCUACACGAUUUCGAAUCAGAUGCUCCAUUGGGCUUGAUGAUGCCUACAUUCGGCCACACACAGUAUUUCUUCAAAGACGUAGACUUAACCCAGAAUGCUUUGGAUCUCUAGUAUAGAGUUCAUAUUGUCUCUCCCCAAUAGAGAGCUUUAAAUGCACUGGUGUCCUACUCUGAAAAUUAAAUUACAUCCACAAAUACAAGAUUGAAAGGAAAUUGUUCACCCGCCAUAACCUGAAAAGAGUAAAGCAUGAUCAUGGUGAAAGAAAAGGUCCAAAAAAUCUUCCCCUUGAAAGCAACAUAUCGAUCAGUCUUGUUGCCUAACAGAAUCGAGCAUGAGCUUUGUUUACCCAACUCAACUACAUAGACACGAAGAAGAGGCUUCAGAUAUAAGAACUUAACAGGGUACGUCACGAUAGCAGGAUGUGAUGAAAUGUAACAUUGUACAUUUUCUUUGAAGAUAUAAUGUAGUAAUGCAAUCUCGAUGGAUAUUCCAAAGAACUUACAAGAGAAGACAACUCCUAGUAACUACGGGGUACAAUGGAAAUGAACAUUCAAAGCCUGAGAUUAAUCCUGGGAAAAAUGGAAAAGUAUGGAACAACAAACUUUGAUUUACAUCACAUGAAGCAAGGACAACGUGAUAAGUGAAUUCAAGCAUCCCAUGGAAUUCUAUUGGCACCGGCAGCUUCUACUGAUUCCAGUUCUGCCACAACUAUAGUCCUGGAAGGCCACUCGUUAGGAGUCAUUUGGAGGCAUUGUAAAGCAAGCUGUGCUAUUUGGAAUGCAGAAUCUAUAUAUGUAAGGUAUAGGGAUGGUAUAAAUUUGGUUCCCAUUUCCUGCAGGCUGCAAACAUCGUGAGCCACCGGCUUCUUCCAAGAUAUCCAGUGUUUCUUUUUUGGGUAAUUGGAGCAUCUGCAGAAAUGAAAAGUUAUGUAGGCAAUACAACUGUAGAUUCCAUGCCAAAGGAUUUAAGUAGCUAAAAGGAAAACACACCUCGUAUUUCAUAGAGGGGAUUAUAGUGAACCUCACACCAGAAACUCAACCAAAACUCUGCAUCAAUUGAAAGUAAGGUUAACAAAAGGAAAAACUCAAAAAAUAUGGAGUUUCAAAAGACCAGUUGCACAUUGAACAAAAGCAACAGUAGAUCAAUUGCAAAUGUUUACACCUAGGUUUAAAAUCAAUCAAAUAUAUAUUGAGCUGUACCCAAGCAGCUGUCCUAAGCAAGCAAAAGAACAGAUAUUUAAUUUCCCAGAUGAACAACAAGCAAAGCAUCACAAAGGAGGGUCUAUGCGUAUAUGUAUGCAAGAAACACUCUUUUUUCCAAGACAAAUGAGAAGUAAAAUAUCAACUUCACAUUCAUCACAUUGCACUGACUGAUCAUUUGACCCAACAAAACAACUAUGAAGAAGACUAGCAAGCAAUACCCAAGACAGAGGGAACUUAUAAAUCCGAUGGCCCAACAAUAAUCAAGCUAUCAGUAUCAAGAGGUUUUAGACCUCCUUCAGGCUCUCCAACAUCAACCAAAUAAGCAUUGAACAUCAAUGACUCACCGGAACAAUUAACUUCAUCAUUCUUCAAAAUUAUGCAUUUUGACAGCUGCUCGCUGCCAUCAUAGGGCAUUACCUAUCAUAUAUCCGACCAUCAAUCACAGCAUGGACUAAUCUACUCCAAACAAGCUCAAUCACGGAGAGUAUUACAACCAAAAGCACAGAACAUAACAAUCCAUGAUGAUAGAAAAAAUGAAACCCUAGGCAGCAUCGAGCUGCUGCCAUUAAGUUUGAUCAAGCAAGCCAAAUAUGGGGGAAAACGGUAAUAAAUCAAUAGCCACUGCAAUUUUGACACAGAUUAGCCAAUCAAACCAAAUCAUGUCCAAGCCCAAUCAAAGGCAACUAAAUUGCCCACCAGGUUGAGCUGGACAUCACUAGAAGAGAUUAGUAGUGAAAGCAAAGGUACCUUGCUGGUGGAGGUGCAGAGUGAGAGGAAGCCGUCGCAAUAGACCUUGCGCUUCAGCUUCUGCUUCAGGUGCUUCUUGAAGGUGACAUUCCAGCACACACAGACUCAAGCACAUAACUCAUUUCAUCAAACACCAAAAUUGCACAUGAUCACCAAACACUGGACAGGCAAAACUUAGAUGGUUCACACUUACACGAAGCAUAAUUCGCACACUAAUUACAAACACAAUCCAAAAGCAGUUCAGGAUUGAAAAAGAAAACAAGAGCACAACACCGAUCCGCUCCUAGAACCUGUAUUGCCGGCUCAAAAUGCAGGCGUUGAGUCCAUCACAGAGCUGAAAGCUCUGAUGUAUUCAUCCGUGGGAUUCUGCUGAGUCCGGAUGUUCUGUAUAAGGGCAACAAGGAUGGUGAUGCCAGAUUUCUGUCCCUCAAGAUUCCGUUUGAUGCGAUGUUCAUUUUCCUAAUCAAAACUCCAGAGUUAGAGCUUAAGCUGGCAGACUUGAAAUCCAUAUCCUAGGUGCAAUUUCUCCCUCUUAACCCAACCUUGAUUGAGGAUGAGGACCACAAUACCAAUGUGUGCGCAGAAGCUCUCCCUGAUGCUCAUAGAGUUCAACUUGACUAAAAUUUCUGAGAUUCUACACCCAAAGACAGUCAGCCAUUGCUUCAGAUUUUCACUUGGUGAUCUGUCCUGUGCAAAUGUGAAUGAUGUUGAGCUACGGGUGGCUCUGGCAUCGACUCCAGAUAUGGAUCCCAAGUUGCUUUCUCAGCUGAAAGUAGCACAGCGGAUUGGAAAUCUUUUGGAGUUUGUACAUGGGAAGAAUUUGGAAGAUUUUCUCAAAUUGAUGCUUGGCUUGUGCAAAGCUCUUCUUUUAUGAUCACCAGGUUCCACGAAAGUUUUCACGUACAUGGAAGAGCCAACACUACCUGAUGAAAGUUCUUCUGAGGCAGCAAGUAGCAUAUGACACAUAGCUGACUCUGGUGGCAGUGCCAGUGUUUUCCUGGAAUUGAGUGGGUCUCAUGACAGAAACAAUGCUGAUAAUGCUUAUGAAUGCACAGUUCUAGUACUGAAGGCGGCCCCAAGGGAAGGUGCUCUCUUUUCCUUACCAAUCUUUUGUAAGUGAGUGCAAUUCUCAAGUCUCGGCAAGACAGCCUCCUUCUCUACUGGUACAGCAAAUGCUGCAUUCUAUCAGUUACAACUGUAGGCGAUGUUUGCUGCAUAGAAUGAUCUUUGUCAGUGUGCCCGUCAAAGAUUGCUAUGAUUGAAGGCAUCAUUGCUGAGAUAAAAUAUUCUGGUGCUGCUGUUCAGCCAGUGCUGCCACACUGGUAAUCUCCGAAUUCCAGUGGCUCCCUCAUUUAUGACUUCUCCAUAACAUUUGCAAAUCCCACUAAGAAGCACACCUUUCCUGAAAAAUAAACUGAACUUAAGCAUGGCAAUACAGAGUGUCUAUCUACUUCAAAGUCACAACAAUGAGUUGAUUGUGCUGUAAAGUCCUAGAAUGAGAACCAUAGUUGUAUGACCUUCCAACACACAUUCCAUCUAUUUGUUUACAGCAUAGCAAAUUUAUCUCCCAUGCAAAGUGAGGUUAUCAAUUUCAAAAUAUGUGUGAAGCAGCAAAUCAACGACGAUCUCUAAUAAGUUGUUACAUAUCAAAUAAAAAUGAUGCAAUCGACAUGCAUAUGUCACGGACCGAGAGAAGGCCGAUCCGUGAGGUUCCCCGAGGACGACCCCGACUCGUCCAUGGAAGACCUCCUACUCCAACUCGGGUUCCCAUCAAAGCUUCUCCCUGAAGCUUCCAAGGGAGGACGACACCGUCAUUUUGCCUGACUCUAGAAGCUUCCGUUAUUUAUGUCGGUAGACGGUAGUUAAAUAUUUAUGUCAGUAGUUGAGGCGGUGCGAUCUCGCCCGUCAGAUAAAAAGUAGAUCAACGGAUGUAAACCGAGGCCCUCAACUAUAAAAAGGGGUGCCCUCCUUCAUUUGUAAUCACCCAACAUUUCAGCAAUACAAAGUUCAUUUCCUUCCAGAGCUCCUCUCUCUUACUUUCUCUCUCAACGAUUCGGGUAAGCGAGCGGGUUAGCGUUCGAUCGAGCAACGCUUGGCCCGGGUAGUCCAAAAUCGCCCGAGUCGCCGCGCGGUCAUGAUCCCAAUUGAUCGGCCCGUGACAAGUGGUAUCAGAGAAAAAUAGAGAUUCGUUUGAGAGACCAAGGAGCGCCAACUGUUCGAAGGAAUGUCGAGCCAAGAAGCUGUCAUGGUUGGAGAGACCGUGCAAGUCCAAGAGGACCGCGGUCGUGGAAAGAAAAGAGACGCCUCGAGGGACGUCAUAGCUGUGUUCGAUGAGAAGAUCGCGAAUGUCCGGAGCGCUGUGCACGAACUCAUGGAAGGUCUUGACGACGUGCGAGACCGGAUCAUGGAGGUUGACAGUUCACUCUGUGAAGACUUCACUUCAUGCAUCAAUGAAGCUACCGCGCCAUUACACGACAAGGACGAAACCCUUGAAGCAUCGAUCGAUGUGUUGAAGGAGCGUGUCCAAGUGGUCGAGGAAGAAGCUCCGCGUAGGGACGAGGUCGAAGCCAUGAAGGCCGAGAUCCAAGAGCUCAAGACCGAGCUUGCCCUGUGCAAACUAAGCAUCACCAAUGGUGCUGUGCCGAACCAAGCGGUGCCCAAAAUUGAGGCGCCAAAGCCGAAAGAAUUCAAAGGCGAACGAUCCGCCAAGGAGGUGGACAACUUUGUUUGGAGCAUGGAACAAUACUUCGGUGCCGUCAACAUGAACGACGAGAUGACCAAGGUACGAACCGCGUCAAUGUUCCUGUCUGAUACGGCAAUGCUUUGGUGGCGCAAUAGGUGUGACGAGGUUAGACGAGGCGCUGAUCCCGUGUGCACAUGGGACGACUUCGUACGAGAGUUCCGGGACUACUUUUUCCCCCAGUUCGCUCAACAAGAGGCCCGUAGCAAGCUCCAUCCCUCGAGCAAAGAGGCACGAUCCGAGAGUACGUGAAGGAGUUCACCAAGCUCAAACUCUAGAUUCGCAACCUGAGCGAAGAGGAGGCUCUCGGAGCGUUCAUGGAUGGAUUAAAGCCAUGGACACUUCUCGAGCUCAAGAGACGGGACGUGAGUAGCCUGGCGCGUGCGCUGAGCGUGGCCGAGUCGCUCGUCGACCUCACCAAGACCGAACCAAGGAGUCGACAAAGAGAUUGGAGGACUGAUCGACCUUGCGAGGAUGAAGCUGGAAGAAACACUCCCCGGGCUGCGCAUGAUCAAGGCGGUCGAGCCAAAGCAUGGGGAGAAGGGUCUUCAAAGCCAGCCUUCCAAAAGGGUAGACCACCGACAGACUACGCGAGCAGGUUUGAUCAACCCCCGCCUUCUCCUUGUUUCAUUUGCCAAGGUCCGCACUGGACCCAAAAGUGCCCAAAGAAGGGUCGAAUCAACGCCCUCCUUGCCAUCGAGGAAGAAAAGGAGGAGUCCAAAGAAGACCGACGACAAAUCCGACUUGGAGCCGUGAAGAUGAUCAACUCCGUCCAAGCUCGGUCCCCAACCAAAGGAAAAGAAGCUGCGUCGGACAUAGAAAUGUUCUUCGUGCAAGUCAACGUGUGCGGCCGAACGCUACACGCCUUGGUCGACACGGGUGCGUCGAACAUGUUCAUGUCAAAGGAAGUGGCAAAGGCCUUGAACCUUCGCGUGGAGCCGACCGAGAACACCUUCAAGCCAAUCAAUUCGGAAGGCGUCCAUGGCGUAGGAUCGACUUCGAAUGUGGACGUCAAAAUUGGCGAUUGGAGGGGCAAAAUGGAUUUCGAGGUAAUCCCGCUUGACGAUUACGAUCUCAUUCUUGGUAUGCAAUUUUUCAAUAGUGUGAGAUCCAUGAUCGACAUGAGGACCAAAUGCCUCGUGAUUCUCGAUCCGGAUUACCCGACGACGGUCCCAAUGAUCAAAGGGAUGGUCGACACCAAGACCAUCGCGUCGAUCCAACACCUCAACAAGAGCUUGAAGGCCGUCAUGCGCAUCAACAAGUUUCCAAGGUGAAGCCGAAGGUCAAGUUGGAUCCUACUCCAACAAAUGCCAUGCCAAUCCAAGCGCUCUUCCCCGAGGUUGAGUACGCACCGCAUGCUCCGUCCAAGCCAAAGGCCGAGUCACGUGCCAAAUCCGACUUCAUCAAUGAAGGUUGCGGUCCGUCAUAUGAGAGCGUCCGCACCAAAUGAAACAAGAACAAGAGAGCCCGUGCCAAAGCCCGUGCUCGUGCCAAGAAGGCCAACCUCCGAGCUGUGAGCGACGAGGGCGUCGCUCGAAUGAGUGGGGGAGAAUGUCACGGACCGAGAGAAGGCCGAUCCGUGAGGUUCCCCGAGGACGACCCCGACUCGUCCAUGGAAGACCUCCUACUCCAACUCGGGUUCCCAUCAAAGCUUCUCCCUGAAGUUUCCAAGGGAGGACGACAUCGUCAUUUUGCCUGACUCUAGAAGUUUCUGUUAUUUAUGUCGGUAGACGGUAGUUAAAUAUUUAUGUUGGUAGUUGAGGUGGUGCGAUCUCGCCCCUCAGAUAAAAAGUAGAUCAACGGAUGUAAACCGAGGCCCUCAACUAUAAAAAGGGGUGCCCUCCUUCAUUUGUAAUCACCCAACAUUUCAGCAAUACAAAGUUCAUUUCCUUACAGAGCUCCUCUCUCUUACUUUCUCUCUCAACGAUCCGGGUAAGCGAGCGGGUUAGCGUUCGAUCGAGCAAGGCUUGGCCCGGGUAGUCCAAAAUCGCCCGAGUCGCCGCGCGGUCACGAUCACAAUCCCAAUCGAUCGGCCCGUGACACAUACCUCUAGGAGAAACCAUCCUAAGAAAAUGUAGCAAAAAAAGGCAAACGAAACUUGGAAAAGAACACAAAUACUUGUACAUAAUUAAGAGCCCUCUGGCUGUUCGGAGGCAUCAUAAUUUAAAUACCUUCAUUAGAUUUUCAGGCAAGAAUCCGCUAAAAGGUCAUUAAAAAGUGCAUGCAAAACUUCUCUGUUCAUAUCUAUGAAAGAAUUUGAUUGCCAAAAAAGGAAAACAUUGGUACUUACCUCAAUUUGUUUAAGGUUUGAACACAAGGGAACAAUUUGUGGUCGUGCAUCAAAAAGCUUCCAAGUGCAACGUGCACUUAUUCAUCUUCUUGCCCAUUAUCCUCUUACAUAUCUUAGUAUUCUUGUUACAUAUCUCAGUAUUCUUGCCCAUCGUCCUCUUACAUAUCUUUGUAUUCUUGCCCAAACCAGUAAUUUGUCUUCUUCAUCAUCUUAUCCCACAAAUUUGAUUGACUUCUCCGAGCAAAGCCGAGAAAUUUCCUCCGCUGCUAAUUUCCCACAACGUCUUAUUGUAACCUCUUGCAGUCCCUUCAAGCUUGAUAGAUCAGACAACUUCUGUAAAGAUCCACACCAUUGAAUCCACAAUGUUUUCAAAGAUUGAGGUAGUUCGCCUUGAAUCUCAACCAGAUUACCGCAGGAUUCAAUGUUCAAGUAUUCCAAAGAUUGGGGUAGUUCAAUCUCAACCAGAUUACGACAAUAUUCUACUGAAAGAUAUCUUAUUCCAUCCAUAUUGCUUAGAUCAGGGAUCUGUAUAUUCAAACCUUUGAUUGUGACCCAUCGCAGUCUCUUCAAGCUUGACAGCUCAGGCAACUUCUGUAAAGAUCCACACCAUUUAAUCCGCAAUGUUUCCAAAGAUUGGGGUAGUUCGUUUUGAAUCUCAACCAAAGAUCCACAGCUGUCAAUAUCCAAUGUUUCCAAAGAUUGGGGUAGUUCGCCUUGAAUCUCAACUAGAUUACCGCAUGAUUCAAUAUACAAUGUUUUCAAAGAUUGGGGUAGUUUGCCUUGAAUCUCAACCAGAUUAUGACAAGAUUCUACUCUAAGAAGUGUUAUUCCAUCCAUAUUGCUUAGAUUAGGGAUCUGCAUCUGUUUAAUGCCAGAAAGCUGCAACCGAUUUCCACUUAAAUAUUCAAAAACCUGAUUGCCACUAUGCACAUACACAUAAACAUGUGUCUUACCCAUUAUGCUGAACGGAUCGGGGAACUUUUGUAACGAAUCACGGGAACCAAUUUUAAGUUCAUCCAAAAAUCGUGGUAGUUCGCCUUGAAUCUCAACCAGAUUACAACACCCCGAUACUGUAAUACGCCUUAGCUUGUUUAACUUGCUUAGAUCAGGUAGCAUCGCCAGCUGUACGACGUCCCGAAGGCGGAAAUCUCGUAGGUUCUCCAAACAACCAAGGCCUUCAAUCUUUGCAACUGCAGAGCAGCAAAUGUCGAGAUCCGAUAGUUUCCUCAAAUUCGAUAGAUCCAUCGAGCCAAGUGAGUCGCAACCAGAGAGACGUAAGACGGAUAAACUUGAGGGAAGCCUCAGGAGGAGAGGCGGAUGAGGAGGGAGGCUGAGGUCUAUCGAUGAGGCGGUCCCCCCGAAAAAGCACAGUAGCAGAGAUUCCAAUUUGCUUAAGUUCCCAAUCCACCAUGGUAUCCGUUUUUCCAGGAGCCCAUAAGAUUUCCCAUCACAGUUAGGUGGGCCAAAGCCCAGAUGCAAUACCUUUAAGUUAGCGAGAUUUGAGAGAUCUGGAAACGUGUCCACCCUCAACUCCUCCACUACUAAUUCGAUGAGACUUUCAGGAAACCUUGGUAGGGCGUGUACUCCCGGCCAUCCCAAUAUCUUUUCCCAUGAACGCCCGUAUAAGCAAUAGCCACUUAUUGCGUGGGCAUGCGUGACAUGAUUAUAACGGUCGGCGAUUUCCAUUCCCUUGACCUUCCCCAUCUUCUUACAAGCAUCAUUGUUCGUUCUGUUUUCGAAACCAUUCUGCAUCUUCAUUACUUUCAAAUUCUUCGACAUUCCAAUGGAAUCGGGUACUUCUUCGAUGCUCGUAUGACUUAUGUCCAAAGUUAGCAAAUCCAAAUUUCUAACCAUCUUUGGAAGCCUCUGAAGAUUCCAACAAUUGCUUACAUCUAAGAAAAUUAAGCGUUUCAACUGACAAAUUGAUUCAUCAAUUUCGAUUAAUGAUUCACAGCCUGAUAAGAUCAAAUGUUCUAAAUUUAAAUGAGCAAAGAAGUUGGGGGUUCUCUCCAAGCAUUGGCAAUGGGCCAGAUUCAGAACUUUCAAAUUCUUAAUCCCCUGUGAAAGAAAAAUCAUGCACAGAUUACUUUCAAAUUUAAUGAGAUAGAAGAACAAGUAUCGUCUAGCAUAUGACAUACCUUCAUGUGGCUCCACCCUUUCCAAUCAUGAGUAAUUUCACUCCGAGAUAGAUCAAGGAUAGUCAAAUUCUCUACGGAGAAAUUUGCAAUCUCAAAUGUUGGGUGAAUAUUAUGCCAAGAAAGCCAGCGUACUUCUGGAAGGAGAUUUGAAUCCAAAACAUCAGUUGGAAGAACACUUGAUGGCCCUUUGUGCUGAAGAAGCAUCUUUUCUACACAAAAAGUUUGCUCCGAGUCAUCAACUUCAAGGAACCUUAGCCUUGAUAGGCUCUUAAAGUCAUUGUAGGUAAAACCAUGCUGAUGGUCCAAGCGGAGGCGAAGAGCUUCAACUUUUUUCUUCGUCUGCCCAAAGGAAAUUUUUUAAAAACAAGAGAGUUGAAGGGAAACACAUUUAGCCAAAUUCACUAUUUUAAGGGACUGAGUUGAGUACUACCGUUCCAUUAAUCUUAAAAAAGCAAAAAUGUCCAUAAGUAACUUGGAAAUUAAUGCACAGGGGAUUUUACCUUAGGGCUCUUCAACAAAUCCAACGCUUUCUCACGAUCCCACACCCUACUUUGUUUAUUUAUAUUGGUUUCUUGACAAACUAUUUGUCUUCCAAGGUCUCUAAGUUGGUCGUGCAUCCACACCUUAUUAUCCUCUUUAAUCUUUACCAAAGACAUGUUCUCCAAAACAUCCAUGGCAUAUUCCGGAUGGAAUUCAAAUUCCCAAAAAUGAACUACAAUGUCUUUAUCAUAUCCAAUUAAAAGACAAGCUAUAUCAAGGAACUUUUGCUUUUCCUUUUCUUCUAAUUCAUCAUAACUUAUUUUCAAUCUACUCUGGACAUCCUUAUGAGGAUCACUUUCCCACUUACGUAAUUCGAAAUCCCACUUUUUCUUUUCAGUAGUGCAAGAUAAAAGUGAACCCAUGAGCUCAAGAGCUAGUGGAAGACCUCCAGCAAUUUUUAUCGCCCUCUCGGAUUGGUCGAUAUACUCGUCCAAAGGAUGAUCUCUUCUAAAGGCAUGUUUGCUAAAGAGUUGAAGAGAUUGAUCGUGAUCCAUGCCCGAAAGCUCAUAACAACUGUCCACUUUAAGAACAUCAAGAACUUCUUUGUUUCUAGUAGUAAUAAUAAUUAUGCUCCCUUUACCAAACCAAUCACGCUCACCAACAAGUGCAUCGCUAUGAUUCUUUUCAUGUACAUCAUCGAGAAGGAGGAGGACUCUUUUGUUAGACAACCUGGCUUUGAUGGUAUUAAUCCCAUCAUCAAUGUUUCUUAUAUCGGUGCAUUUGUCUUUGAGGAUGUCGGAGAUGAGCUGAUUCUGCAAAGAUUCAAUGCCCUUGCGUUCUGACAUUUCACGAAUGCUGGACAGAAAGCAACAACCCUCAAAUUUUUCUAAAAGCUGAUUGUAGAUGAUUUUGGCAAUUGUCGUCUUUCCGAUGCCACCCAUCCCAUGAAUUCCUAUAAUCCGUGUUUCACUUGUCUGAGCACCUAUUUGUUCCAUGAUUUUACCCACAUGGUCGUCCAUAUUGACCAAGUUGUUUGAUACCACCAAAUAAGCCUUUUUCAACUCAUUGAAAACCUUCUGCGUGAUUGUUUUUGCAAGUUGACCUUCUUGCCUAUUGUUUGUUGAAAGUCAAAAGGCAAUGAGUUAGAAAAUUGAGUUAAGCCAAACUAUGCUCUGACAAGACCAAAUUCAAAACUACAGACCUAUUCUAAAUGCGUUCCUCAACGAUUUAUACCGUUUUGAUAAACUAGCACUAGAACUUAGGGUAAAUGAAUGACCUGAACUAACGAAAAAUGUUUCUUGUUGGGAAUGAAAUGGGACAAAAAUUGGCAUUGUGAUAUUAUUUAGCGUGAUUUUGCUGCAUAAUUUCAAUUGCAUACAAUUCAAUUUCAACAAGACUAACACAAAUCUAGAAAAGAAACCAAUUAAAAUGCAUCGAGUUUAAAGAUAUAAGGCACAUGAGAUGGAAUCCUAAAAGCAGUCACCUGUUGGGCAUGCUUUGCAGGUCCCAUCCAUUUACAUCCGCGACUGUAGUGAGAGCAUUCUUCCACUCUGCUAUAGUCUUUUCAUCAUAUCGCCCCUUUGUUUUGUGUGAAACAAGAGCUUUUUUAAAACUCCCGAUUUGGUGUCGAACCUCCGAAGGUGUCACAUCAUAAAAAAUGGGCAUGAUCUUUUGUCCUUCAUUUGUCUGGUGCUUGACCAUCUGAACUAGCUCCUUGAGACACCAUAUGCUAGAGGCAUAAUCUUUUGAAAAAAUAGGUAUUGAGAUCCUUGAGUGAUUGAUUGCUUCAAGAAGUUCUGGGGCAAACUCUUCUCCAAUGUGGAGGUCUUUGUCGUCCUUAAAUGUGCGGAUUCCCACAUUUGUAAGGCUAGUGUAGAGGUAGUCGGUAAAACCUGAUCGUGUAUCUAGCCCUCUGAAACUCAAGAAUACCUCAUAGUCAUGUCCGGAUGAUGUUGCAGUUUCCUCAACUUGUGGUGUAGUGCAAGUACGAGCAGCCCUCUCUACGAUACCAUUCUCUGUAGCUGAAUCAUUAUCUGUACUGCCCUCCACAGCGGUCUAACCUGCUCUUUUCUUCAGGAAUCCUUUGAACAGGAUGGCAGAGAGAGAUAUGGCAGCAAUUGUCACCAUACAGGGCAACCGCAAGUGCUCAAGCAUUUUGUGAGUUAGCAAAGAGAAUGUUUUUAGUUAGAAAUACAGGGGAUGGUGGAACAACAGAGAUGAGAGGCAGCACUUAAAGGUCAGGAUGGAGUAACGAGCAACGGCGAGCCCGCGAUGGCGAGAGACCGCCAGAGAAAGAGUAGAGAGUGAGGCGAGGGCGGCCACUGAUGCUGCGACGGAUCGGCAACGAGGCUGCAACUGCAAGUGAGGAAGGGCCGAAGGCGAGGCGGAGGAGGAGGAGAAGGAUCGAGAGGAAGAGGAGAGGAAGGGGGUCGUGUGGCGAGGAGGAGGAGAAGUAUCGAGAGGAAAAGGAGAGGAAGGGGGUUGUGCGGGUGCGGCGAGCGGCGAGAGGAGGAGGAGAAGGGGGCGCUAGCUAGGGUUUUGGAAACUCAAAAAGAAUAAAAUAAAGAGGCUGAUGGGGGUGAAGUGACAGCCUGUCACGUGGGUGGGGGAGGGGAAAGGCAAGCUGGUUCAUGAUGGACCAUUGGUAGUCCAAGUCUUCGUAGACUUUGACUUGGGUCAAUCAUUUGUUUCAGUCUUCUUGCACCACCCACAAGCUGUUUUGUCUGAUUUUUUUUCUCUUUCUAAGAGUGGUAGCUCAUGCUAAUACCACGUUAAGACGAGGCACAUGGAGCUUAGGUUUUGGAUUGUUGGCGUCCUUAUCAAAAUCACAUCAACCCAUCUCACGCAAUUCUUAAUCUAGUGAAUGUAUUUUGAUGCAAAAUUAUAUGUAUGCAACACAUUCCAUUUCUAUUUAGUUAAAUUAGAUGAUUCCAACUUUUUCAUUGAUUGAUGACAUGAUUGACUAAAUUUUUAAGAAAAAAGUUUUUUUUGGACAUAUAGUGUUUCAUUGCAAGUAUUUUUCUAUUUUUUGAAUUGAUUUUGUGAUAACUAAACAUUCCAUGUUUCAUAAUAGAAAACAAAAUCUCUCUAGAACUGGAGGUGUAAAAUUGUUCCAUUUUGUAAUUCAAUGUUCAUAAGUCUUUUCAAGCAUAAAUCCGAGUUAAAUCCGAGUGUGACAAAAAAAAAUUAAGAUUGAAGUUAUUAAAUCACAUGACUCAAUGAGUUAAAAGGAAGAAUCUUGGGAAGAAUCAAAUUUCUUGAAUUGAGAUUGAUGGAAGAUCGAAUAUGUUCUCUGAUAGCUUUAGCUUUCAUUAUCACUCCACUGAAAUUUUGUUUUAGUAAAACCAAAAUCUCGUCCCAAUUUUUUUUUUUUUUUUGAAAUUAGACACCAUCCAUUUGAAUCAAAAUUGAGCUUCCUCCAUUAGCUCAAAAGCUCGGGAAGAAGAGAAAAUAUGUGGGAUCCCAUUGCCUAAUUCUUAGUCUUUUUGAAGGAAAAAAAAGACUUCUCAUACAAAUGUGGGCCUUAAUUAUUGAGACAUUUUUUCCUUUACCCUAGAAUAUGCAGAGAGUCAUGGGCCAGUUUUGCUGCAGAAUUGAUCGACAAGGAUGCUUCCUUGCAGCAUCAUUGUGGCCUGUCAACCGUGACAAAUAUUACGUUUCUUAACGCGGAAAAUCACUAAACUAUGUGGUGCAGAAAUUUUGGGAUGAGAAUCUACUUUUACCCCAAAAUAAUUCAUUUGAAGUCAAGUCAACAAAAGCAGACACGGAACUUCCAAAACAAGUUCGUUUCCCCCAUCCUAAAUAAGGUGAACUCCGAUCGGUCUAGUUUAAUGGGUUGAUUAGGCCCAGGCCCGGAAUAGCUUUGAAGCAUAAAGCCUAGUGGAAUUAUUGGGCUUGAUCUUCGUCAAAGCACUCCCUAGUGAUCAAUUGAAUUAAGAAAAGAUCACAUUUUAUUUCGGAGGUGAACCAUCCUUCGCAUUUAACCUGUCGUUAGUGUCAAAAAUUGCUUGUCACAAAACGUUGUAGUUGGACAUUAAAUCCAUGCAUUGUGCUGAUUAUUAUACAAAACAUUACUAAAAUAGAGUACACAAAACCAAUGUGUAAGCACAGUCUUGUGUCGUAUUAAAACUUUGAGCCACCAACAAGUGUGAUAAAUAAGCUCACGAACAUGAUGUGACCUAUUAGCUCUCAUUUGGAAUUUAACUCAUUUAGCAUUUCCACAUUCACGAUUGAACUUGAAAGCCUCUAUGAGGAUUGGGAAAAGUUUAGUGAAGCCUCUUGACUAUAAUGAUUAAAAAAAAAAUAUUGACUCCCCCUGAAUUCAAGUAUGAAAAUUUUCUAUUUUAGAUAAUGUUUUCGGAGGUAUGACUCUUCGCUCUCUCAGUUAAUGCAUGUGGAUUAUCUAGCGGAAAAAAGAGGCAAAAAUGAAAGAACUUAUGGACAACGUGAGACUAUUCCAUGUUAAAAUUUGAAAAUCAGAAAAAAAAAAUAGCCACACUUCUAUUAAUUUGAAAUUAAAUGAUUUGGGUUGCUAUUUCAGAUUUACCUCGACAUUAGAUGAUGUCAAACCAAGUCCAUUUGCAGCUAGAAACAUUUUUUUAGUAUAAUUAAGAAUCGGAAUGCCUCCUCUUCAACUUCUAUGAAUCCAACUUAAGAGCCAUGCUUUACUUGAAAAACAAAUUGGAGAUGCGUUUACGUUGUAGAGUAUUCAUUUUCUUCACGUCGCAAUUUUGUGUUGGUUAUUGUCAUAAAGGUGAUGCUAUAAGUGCUAAUAUACUUUCACACACAUUGUAAUAGCUACUUUGACGUAUACGGUAUGAUGAAAUUAUCGUUCUCUUGCAUGAAUAAAGCAAAAAUGAUGCUUAGCUCUUCGUUGGUUGAUCUCCAACUUGAAGAGUUUGCUUUUACAUGGAAAUGAACAAAUAUUGGACAGGGAAGAAAAAAGGGGAAAAACUCAGGUCUAAGCGCAUAUGGCACCAAAAGGAAAUCCGAUUUCGAUAAGACUGGAUAUGAAUUGUAGUUCAGAUUCAAGUUGAUUCAGGGAGGGCGACCGCAAAAGUCACCGAAUGGGUCAAUCUUUUCCUUCAGUUUGUCCUAUUUAAUAAAAUAAAAAAGCGUGGGAAGAUGUUGCAGAUGUCUAGGACGGACACGACUUCUUGUAACACUAGAAAACCACUAGAAGAUACCCGGGACCAAAGCAUGUCGUGAAAGAAGCACAUUGGGGCAUUGACCAAUUUCAUAUAGUAAGACAAAGCAACAAAUUAUAAGGUAUCUAAAAAUCACCACAUAAUAUAUCGACAAAAUAUGGCAUUUGGAAUUUAUAUAAUUUGACCCGACCUCACUAGGUAAGUUAAUUAGCAAAUCAAGCCAUUGAAACAUAUAAACCAAACCAAAACAAAGAAGAUCUGAACAAGGUUAUUUGCAGAAAUAUAUCACUAGUCAACAUGCAAAAGUGCACAAAAAAAGAAGAUUUACAUAAACCUCUUUGUAAGUCAUAUGUUUAACAGGAUAGGAAGCACUUCUUAUCAGAUAAAAAAAGUACUCAACAGGGCAGCUGUCCAUUUUUUUUUUCUUUCGCAGAAAUUUGCCAAGUUUGAUCAAGCAACUCCAUAAUGUGCUGAGUUUCCAAAUCUCCCGUGGUGAAGAAUGCCUAUUUGUUUCAAUUUCCUCCACAUUGAUACAUCAGAAACAUCAGGAUAGAGUUGCCAGAGAAGAUACGCAAAUUGUCCAGUGAUUCUGGUCAACCAGAUUACCACAAUGAUCUAAAUGAAAAUCCAUUAGUUUCUUCAAGCCACUCAGUCGGCCAAUUUGUCCAGUCGGUUGAGUUUGUUCAGCUCCAAAUUCCAGAUUUAGUCAGGUGGCAUCUUUAUCCACUUGCAGUUUCUCAAAGACUAGCGUUCAAGGCUUAUGAUGGUAACCAAUCGACUCGGGAAGCUCCAAGAUCCCAGCUCCUUACAGAGAAAGCCUCAACAGGGAAGUCGGGUAACUGAUCGAAGGUUUUGUAGUCGGUGAGGAACGAUGGCAAGCACAGAGAAUUUCUAGACUCUUCAAUCCUUGACAUUCAAGCAUAUGUUUCAUUGAUGUCCCAUCAAUCAAGGGUUCUCUCAAACAUUCCAUUUUACUAGGCUCCUAGGGAGAUGGUGGAGAUCAAUCUUUCCAAAUUCACAUGUACCUGAGGUCUAGCAUCUAACAGAACCAUUUUGACAUCGAAAGGUCCACCUGAUCUGACUGAAUUGAGGUCAUAAAGCAAUCCCUUUUAAGGCAAGUCCAUGUCAGACUUUCCCCUUCCAUCUUGGUAGUUUGUAGAUGUACAUUUCCGAUAAGUUAGGGACUUGUUUGUCCAUCUUGGUAGUUCUUACAAUACUCUGUUCGUGUGAAGUCCUCUGAGAUGCACUAAUCGAGAUAUACUCCUUUCAUCAUUUUAUUCAAAUCAUUUCACUGUUCCCGCUGCUCCAUGGUUUAUAGCAGCAUCGUCAUAUGGACUACCCAUCUCCACUGAUCUUACUUGUGCUUAGACUCCUCUGGAAGAAAUAUUUGAACAGAACAGCAGAAACAACGAUGGUAGCAACUGUCACCACACACAGGACAACCUCAAGUGCGUCAAUCGUUUUGCGCCAGCACAAGUGGUCCACCUUGGCAGAAACAACAAUUGUUGUGCUGCUGCUAUUGCUCCUCCUCCUCGGAGGCAUGGGACGACGCCUGCUGGUUCCAGCUUGGUCGUCACUGCUCGUUCGAAAGAGAGGCCGAAUCGGAAUCCGAAGUGACGAUCCGAAAUAAAAAUGGGAGGAGGAGAGAGUUGGAGGGGGAUGGUGGGAUAUUCGACCUGGCCUUGCUGCCUGACGCAACCAAUUCUUAACGUUGCAGUCUCACGUACACUGGAAGAUUAAGUUUGAACCAAAACUACUCAGUUCACGUACGUAUACAGGCCUGUCAUUGCUGUCUUACCAGCGUGCUAGAAGCCUGGAAAUACCUUCAUAUGAGGUAGCAAUAUAUGCAGGAUACAACCUCGCCAAGGAUUCGCUCACAAUGUGAUUCAAAUUAUUCAAUUCAUGGAAAAUAGUGUGACCCACCUAUUGUUAAGUCACCGCAUUUGGGGGUGGCCUACAAUUUUUUCACGUUCAUUGUUCUUUCUUUUUCAAAUUGUUUCACAUGAAUGAGUCGUGUAUGAAUUUGAUAAAAGCACGAGACGUGUAUAAAUCUAUUUUGUGCUUAUUAGCACCUAAGUUUGACGAGUGACUGAUUUAUUAACACUGGCCAUAAAUGAAGAGAUUUAGGGAUUUUUCUUUGCAAAAAAGUUAUUGUUACACCAUUUACGCUCUUGAAUCACACCUUGUUCUUCACUUUCUGUUGUUGUUUUGUGUUCUAACUUCUCUGUAUUUUGGAAUAACAUGAAUUUUCAGAUUAAGCUUGAAUCUGAAAAUAUUUGACUGGAGAAGUUUGCCAUCAUAAUGAAGUAAUUGCAAUUUCAUAUACCUCCACUAAUAUAAAUAAACAUUAUACCAACUAAUUGAACUGUAGAGCACCCAUUUGUCCAACAAAAUGUCUCAUUCUCUUUGGCUAAAAUACAACAGAAGGCAUCCCCACGAAAUCUUUCUAAAUGUUCCGAUUAUAGCAAAACUUACUUCAAUGCUCUAAUGCACACAACGUAAAUCACCGAAUGUGACAUUGAAAAUGCCCAUUGACAAAAUAAGAUCCCAAGGGCAAAUCGGAAAGAUCGUAAAGAAUCUGGAAUGGAACAGAUCGCGUUUGAGGGUGAUGGUUGUUCUGACAUGCUUGAUUGCUGCAAAGUGAGGCGAUACUCAAGCUUUUCAAGUUCAAGAGAUUGGAAAUGCUAUCAUCAGCUCGUCGCUCGGUAUGAAUAUGUAGACAGAGAAGAAUUUCUAGGAGUCUUGGCACUUGGGGGUAUCUCAACACAUGUCGGUUUCAAAAUCUUCCAAGAUGAACAUCUCCAGAUAUCAUAGGAAUUUUUUAUUAGCAAAUUUUCACUAAGCUUUGCAUCUAUUUUUCUCGCCUUUUAUGCUUCCAUUUUGCACUAGUUAUCAUUCUGAUGACAGAGAACCUCAUCUUCAAUACUUUCAAAUACUUCAUGUUCUCGAUUUCAAAAAAAAAAAAAAAAAAUACUUCAUGUUCUCGACCAAACCAGGCAGCUUCUCUAUGUCCAUGUUCAAUUUAUCGAACUCAACAAAUGAUUCCAAAUUCCAGAUUGAGUCCAGUAGUGUCUUUAUUGACUUGCAGUUCUUGAAAGACUAGUGUUCGAGGCUUACGAUGGAUCCACUUGAGUUGGGAAGCUCCACGAUCCCAGCUCCUCACAGAGAAAGCCUCGAUAGGGAAGUUAGGUGACAGAUUGAAGGUUUUAUAGUCAAUGAGGAACGAUGGGAAGCACAGAGGACCUGCAAGCUCUUCAAUUCUUGACAUUCAGGCAUAUGCUUUAUUGAAGUUAUACAACAAUCCCUUUUUAAGGCAGUUAAGUCCAUGUCAAACUUUACCCUUCCAUCUUGGUAAUUCGUAGAUGUAUAUUCCCUUUUAAGAUAGAGAUUAUCGAUGUUUGUCCAUAAAAACCAGCAUGCAAAAUUGCAAAUCGAUCAAAGUCAACGUGGCUAGCAAGCUAGUCACCAUAUCUUUCUCCCAAAAAUCAUGUACUUUUAUUCGUGUGAAGUCCUCCAUCAGGUACUAACCGAGUUAUCCAGAGUUAGAUUCAUCUACUAGUAAGAAUACUUUGAGGGACCUUGUUUAGAUUUCUUAUACUUGUUUCAUUGUUUGAUUCCAUCAUUUCUCCGUUCACGCUGCUCCAUGUUUUAUAGCAGCAUUGUUAUUUGGUUUGCCCUCUCCAGUGAUCUUACUUGUUGCUCUCAGUCUUCUCUGCUCCAUGGUCUAUAUUAGCAACUGUCGCCACACACAGUGCAACCUCAAGUGGUGAAUCAUUUCGCACCAGUACAAGUGGUCCACCUCAGUAGAAACAACUGUUGAGGUGCACGAGGAUUGGGGGUGGUCUGACUUGGCCUCCCCGCCCGAGUUGCAAUGGGUUAGGAUUUUUAUUUUAUUUUAAUAAAUUAAAAAGUGUGGGAAGAGAUGACCUACGGUUUUCCAUUCUUGUUGUUACAUAAAGUGUUAUGUACGUUACAAAAUAUCUCCAUUGAGCCAUAACCACUCGAUCUAUCGACAAGUGUGCGAGACUAUCACCAUAACUAAUAUGCCAAAAGCCUGAAAAUCAUUCCACGUAACGUGGUGAAUACCUAAAAUAUUGACAAGUGAAAAGUUUACUCAUGACAUGAUUCGAACUCAUGAAUUAAUAAAAGAUGGCAUGAUCCCUUCAUCAUUGGGUUAUCGUGCUUGGGGUUGGAUUGCGAUUGCGACUUUUUCAUGUUCAAAUAUAUAUAUUUUUUGUGCUUAUAAAAUUUGACUUAAGUCAAAUGAGGAGUUAAUGUGUUUAUGUUACCAAUAAAAGAAGAGGUUUGAUGACUGGUUUCUAUAAAAUUGAUUAAUUUACUCUUCAUAAUUUUCUCUUGAGGUUCACUUAUUAUUUAACUUCGACCUUUUUGUUCUGUGUACUAACUUUUAUGUGCUUUUAUAAACAUUUGACUGUGAAUAUAAAUAUGUGAGAGCCACCAAACAUCGAGCAUGCCACGCAUCGGGGUUCGUAUAUUAUUUUGUUUGUGUGAGUUAAUUGCGAUUUAAGGAAAACAAAUCUUCCACAUUAUUUGAUAAUUUGAAAAUGACAUUUUGUGACUUUUGUUGCGUGAGGUUACAAACUCUUUUUACUUUGAACACAGCCGAUGAAAAAGUCUAAUGACUUUUGUUCUCAAAGAUUAUGGACCUUUUUACUUGUUUAAAUCUUUUACAUGUAAAGUAUUCAAUCCCAAUGAUUGUAUAACUCAUAUAUUAAAUAAGCAAUUAUGAGAUGACGAUGGCAUCAUUUUAUAAGAUAGUGAUUGGUAUGAUCGUAUUCGCACUAAAUAUUUUGUAAAUUCUAAAUAAAACAACCCAGCUCAAACUAUUGCAUAUACGUUCAUCUAAAAAUAAAAUUAAAAACUAUCGAAUCCACUUCCAUAUAAAUUUUAAAGAAAAGAAUUCAUCCGUCCUAAUAAGUCACAUACUCAAACUCUUUUUCAACUUGAGAGAAGUGGGCUCCACAAUCCACAAUUAAGCUCAACUCACUUGUCUUGGAUGUUGAAUAAUAUUCUUUUCAAGUUCGAAUAUUAUUGGCAAAGAAAAAGUUUGAAUAAUUCGAGUUAUUGGAUUGAUUCGAGCGGAAAAAUUUUACUCAAGAAGCUUGUGAUCAGAGGAAGCGCCAAAAGAGGAAGAGACAGGGAGAACGGAAAUUUGUCCAGGAGGACGCCUCAUUUUAGCCAAAAUUCCUUUAUUGCCCUCACGGAAACGACGAAAUCACCGGACGUGACACCGAAUUUGCCCGUCGACAGAGCGAGAGCCCGAGGUCAAAUCAGGAAAAUUCGCAAAUCCGUCGUCCUCUCCUUCUCUUCCCCCCACCCAAAAAUAAAAGCUCGCCGUAGCUUUCGAUCGCCAUCCGCCGCGAAAAUCGCUACGGAGUCCACGAACGCUGCGAAGACCACGAUUCGAAGGUUGAAUUCGAGCAAUGCGGACGAAGACCGCAAUCGAUCUCUCCACCUCGCCGGGCGAUCGCGCCAUUUUGAUUGCGUGAGAUUGGAAUGAUGUUGUUGCUCGGCAGAAUGUGGAGUUGAGGGUGAUGGUUGUUCUGAAGUGCUUCAUUGCCGCGGGUGGAGGCCAGAGGUAAUUGCAAUUCAUGUUCAUGUAAUCAGUUACUGCUCUGAUCCUCCCACUUGAUUGGGAUUGAGAGUCUAGUAUCGACCAUGUCGGUUUUGAGGUUGGACAGUGAGGUUUGUAGCGUGAAUUUGGCGGAUUAGGCAUUUCAGGGUUGGGGGGAAUCGCUGACCGUGUUGUGGAGCUGUAGUGCCUGAUUUAAUGGGGCAUACUAUGGCUGAAUUAUUUGGUUGGAUUAGCUAAGCUCUUGGAUUACUGAGUUUGGAUCAAUACUACAACUGGAAUAUGGUCAUAUUGAUACAAAUAUUUCAUCCUGCUGUUUCUAUUUUGGGGGUAAAAAUUUGUUGAGUGUCUCACAGUGAUUGACUAUCGGCUAUUUGGCUUUUCUCCAGUCAAGUAAUGGACUGUAGCUUGUAGGUUUCAGCGGACAAGCUUUAUGGGAAAGAGGAGCCUUAUGUUGUUUACUCAUUCGCCUUUUGUUGCAUUUGAACAUAUAGUUCUUUAAGUUCACGAACAUGGAUGGCAAAAAUAUACUGAAAUAUUAUUUUGAGUUGAUGUUUCCUUGAAGUGUUCCUCUUACUUGAUUGUCGAAAUAGCUUGCUAGAGACAUAAGAAACUUGCUCUAUUGCUUGUCAUUAAAUGAGUUUUUGACCACAUUUUCAAUGUGAAAUUUUCUCAACUGGUAAAUGCAGAACUCAGAGUGAGGUCCAAGGCUUGUAAAGCUGUUUACAAUCACAUUCUUGCCAUGACAUCGGCGGAGUAUGCAUCUGCUGUAAGUGUUCUUUAUAAGGAUUUUCAUAUUUACCUAGAGCUUGUUGUUGUUAUUACUCUUCAGGUUUCACCAUUUAAAUACAAUAACAUUGUAACUAGAUGCGCAGCUUUUUAUUUUGCAGGUUUAAUGUCAUAUUUGACAGAGCUUGGUAGUUGGACUUGUCCUAGAUGUGAUGGAAAGACCAAGGUAAUUUAAUAUGGUUUGAUAUGACAUUGUUGCUAAGGUUGCCUGAAGAAUGGAUCCUCAGUACAGUAUUAAAUGCCAAUUCUUCUGAUGAGAUUUUGUGGGCAUAUGCUGCCUCCUCUUAUUAGAUUCUGAACUGGUAAUUAAUGCCUUUUGAUAUGAAAGCAGGGGUUUGAAUUCAUUGAAUUGAUAGUGGGCAUUCACCACUGCUUACACGCAGAUUAUUUGGUUGCAGUGGCUUACCAAUCUGCAAUGCUUGCGAUGCCUAUAUGUUUAAAUUGCAUCUAAUAGUUUAUAUCUAUUUCUAAACGUACAUAUAUGUUUCCUGUAGGCAUACGUUGGGGUGGCCAAGGAUCUUAAUGCCGUGAUUAUAGCUUUUAGAGGUGCACAAGAACAUAGGUAUGCAUCUUAACUUUAGCAACUCUUCUCCUUACAAAUGACUUGCAAAGGUUUUGAUGAAAAUUUAAGCUAAGAAGAGCAGCCUCCUGUGAGUGUGUACACGAGACCCAUGGGUCGACUGUCCAUAAGAAGGGAAAAGGGUGAAUCAUUUCCACCAAGAUGCGAAAGUUACCUUUUUGUAAUUUGAGAUUGGUUCAUGAGAAGAUCACAUACUUCACUAAUUUUGUUCUGUGAAAAAUUCUAUCACCUCUCUGUGUCAUUUGAGCUUUUCAGUUAGUGAUUACUUCUUUUUAUGUCUACAGCAUACAGAAUUGGGUUGAAGAUCUCUAUUGGAUAGUGGAAACAGCUUGAUGUACUACCCUGGCAUGCAUGGUGCCCUGGAUAGCUCUAAAGAUGAUUAUGCCUCUUGCAAGCUGUGGAUUUUUCUCGUUUGGAUUGAGUUACAGUCUUACUCUAUUGAUUUCUGCUUGGGUUAAUCAUGGAUUUUACUAUUCUUAUCUUGAUAUGACAAUUCAACCUGGUUUUUUGGAUGCUGUUAUAAGAACCAAGGAUUUAUAAGGGGACAUCAAUUUCAUGGUGACAGAGCAUUCUAUGGGAGGGGCUAUGGCAUCCUUUUGCGGAAUUGAUCUUGUGGUAAGAUAGUUAAAAACUGCUAUGGUCUGGAAUUGUGAAUUUUAUCGUUUUUUUUUCCUAUUGUGUUCUUCCAAUAUUCAGAUGAUAAUCUGUUAAGAGUCAUCUAGAAUUCUCUGCCAAAUCUUUGUUGAAGAGUCUAGGCUCUUUAUGUCGAUCUUGAACUUUCUAUUGCUCUCAUAUUUAUAUUCACAAUUCAUCAUAGACAGCAUCUUGUUUUCUUUCAGUUUUGGUAAGUCAAACCAUAGACAAAACACAAGCAGAAUGGGGUGCAAAUAGCCAUUUAUGCUAACCACCAAUUGUUUAAGUAUCUAGCAAUGUAAAUUGAGUCUUACCCAUAAAGCUAUGGAGCUUCAAGUUGGUCAAAUACCUAAAUAUAGUGGAUAAGGUCACUUCCAACUAAUCAUUACAAGGUUUACUUACUUGCUGGAAAAUUUAUGGAAUUGUCGAUAUGUUUAUGGUCUGGACAUAUAACUUUUUAAAGGACUUGAAGCUCAAGUUAUAUGUCAUGUAAUCUUGAAGUGCUAAUGCAUUUUAAGAUAGAUUAUAUAUCAAUCCUAAAUUUGUGUUUGGUGUACUGUUUCUAUCUAAGUCUCUCUCUAAUCAAAAGAAGCAGCUCCUCUUCAGUAGGACUACAAGGCCAGAUAUGUUGUAGGCUGGAGCCAAUGCUAAGAUGUCUAAAAUAUGCCUUUUUUCUCAGCUUUAUUGGACAGAGUGUUCCAGGGUACAUUUGGAGGCACCUGUUGCUCAACUGGUACCAGAAAUGGUGCCCAAUCCAAAAUCAUGUCCCAUUGAUUCUCUUCUCCAUGAAAAGUGGUGAUUUUUUAGAGUUAAACUUUAUCUUGAAGUCUGAUUACACUCAUGUUCAUGUGGCCUAUGAUAGGAUCAUAGGUUGCAUGGACUUUAGACUAUACCCUUUCUCAAAAUAUUAGUAGCAAGUAUAACAUCUUGUCAUAAAACUUUUAAACGAUUUAAAAUUUUAUUUUUGUUUACUGGUUUCUUGCUGAAAAUUUUGUCGAGCCAAUUGUGACGUCAUGCCCAUUCAUUGCGAUCCUUUUUAAGAUUGACUUUGUCCUUCGCUACUUUUGACAGUAAGUUUUGUAGUUCAAGGGGCAUUUUCACCAUGAACCAAGAAUUUUUUGUUUAUGUUAUUAGCAGGAUGUGACUCACCCCACCAACAUUCAAGUGCUUCUUGUGGAAGCAAUUAAAUGCGCUUCUGUUGUAAAUUCAUGUCCAAUCCCACUAUUCCAUAUUAUUAACACCUUUUUGUGGUGCUGAGGGUGGGUUUGGUUUUGUUGUGUGUGGGGUUUGGUGUUGGGAAACUUAUGGAUGGGAUCUUGACGGAGUUAACGCUAGACCUUCAAUUCUUAUGGAGACAAAGGGCUGUUCUAUUGUUCACCUUUGUAUAUGAAAUGCAAUAUAUGGUUAUUGAUGCAUAGUGUUUUUUUCCCAUCUUGGAAGGGCUAUUGAUGUAUUGACAUUCAAGUUAUUUGGCUGUCUAAUUAUGUGUGCUGAAACUGUCUUUUCCAGACCAGCAUUCGCCUGAUUUACUUAACCGAAACACUUUAUUUCCUGGUUAAUCAUGAAGCACAGAAUAUUCAGGUUUAAACAUUUGGACAACUCUGUAUUGGCAAUGCAGUGUUUGCAUCUUACUACAGUGACUGCAUACCAAAAACAUUACGUAUUCCUCCUGGACAAGAUUUUUUGUCUUAUUUGCCUCCGUACUAUUUUUGGUUCCCACAGAAGACAUACCAUCAAUUCCCUAGAGAGUUUUGGUGUUGAUCUUGACAGAAUAUCAAAUAAAUUAUGGGGAAUUGUUGAUGACUGAAUUUGAGGUUUGCUUUGCAUUUCUUUCAACCUGUCUAACAAGUGAAGUAUCAUAUAUUCCGGCAUUGUAUGUGUCACAAAACUGAUUAGAGAACCCGCAGCAAGUAGAAAGAGAGAAAGAAGGAAGAGAGAAGGAGGAGAAAGAGAACGUAAAAGAAAGAAAGAGAGGGCUGUAGUUUUUCUGUAAUCAGAAACCCUACACCCAUUGUAUUUAUAUUGAAUAUAAAUUGUAUAUAACAAUAAUAUCCUUAUGUAAGUAAAAAAGGAAAUAAAACUCUGAUAAUAAAGGAAACUCAAUUAAAGUAACUUAACACUCCCCCUCAAGCUAGAGCAUAUAGGUCACCCAUGCCUAGCUUGGAACAACCAACAACAAAAGCAGGAUGAAAUAAUGCUUUGGUAAACAUAUCAACAAAUUGAUCUCUAGAGGCAACGUAAGGAGUAGCAACCAUAUUCUGCUUCACAGCAUCACGAACAAAGUGACAGUCAACUUCUAUAUGUUUAGUUCGCUCUUGAAAAACAGGAUUCCCAACAAUAUAAAUGGCUGCUUGAUUAUCACACAUCAUGUCAAUAGGUUGAUUAAUAGAAAAUCCAAGCUGCUGGAGAAGAGAUUUUAACCACAACAAUUCAGCCACAGUAUGUGCCAUAGCACGAUAUUCAACCUCUGCACUAGACUUGGCAAUGGUAGUUUGUUUCUUACUUCUCCAAGUAACCAAAUUACCACCAAUAAAAGUGCAAUACCCAGUUGUAGACCGUCGAUCAUAUGUUGACCCAGCCCAAUCAGCAUCAGAAUAGCCAACCAAAGUGGAAGAACCAUUAGAUUUAUAAAUGAGUCCCUUACCAGGAGAGCUUUUAAGAUAUCGAAGAAUGCGACAUACAACAUCCCAAUGAGCUUUCUUAGGUGACUCCAUAAACCGACUCACCACGCCAACAGCAAAAGAAAUAUCGAGACGUGUAACAGUAAGAUAAAUUAGUUUCCCAACUAGACGCCGAUAUUGAUGCUUGUCUUCAAUUUCUUUUCCAUCAUCAACUCCAAACUUUUGAUUUUGAUCCAUAGGAGUAUCAACUGGCUUGGAAGCUAGUGUACCUGUCUCAGACAAAAGAUCAAGAACAUACUUUCGCUGAGACAAAUUAAUACCUUUUUUACUUCGUAAAACUUCAAUUCCCAGAAAAUAUCUAAGAGUUCCCAAGUCCUUAAUCUGAAAUUGCUGCUGAAGAAAUGAGUUAAUCUCAAAAAUGCCAGUCACAUCACUACCAGAGACAAUUAUAUCAUCCACAUAUAUCACAAGAAUGACUACCCCCGAUUCCUUCUUGCGAACAAAAAUAGAAUGAUCAGAAUAAGAUUGGUGGAAUCCACAUCUGGAAAUCACCGAACUGAAUUUUUCAAACCAUGCUCUUGGAGACUGUUUCAACCCAUAAAUUGCCUUAUGUAGCCGACAUACUUUACUACGAUUCUCCCCCUGAGCAACAUACCCAGGAGGUUGCUCCAUAUAUACUUCUUCAGACAAAUCACCAUAAAGAAAAGCAUUUUUGAUAUCUAAUUGAUAUAAUGGCCAAUCGAAAUUCACAGCAAGAGAAAUAACAACACGAACAGAGUUGAGACGUGCCACAGGGGAAAAAGUCUCAAAAUAAUCCACUCCAUAAGUUUGAGUAAAACCUUUAGCAACGAGUCGAGCUUUAAGACGCUCGAUUGAGCCAUCCGGAUUGUACUUGAUAGUGUACACCCAACGACACUUCACCACAUCUUUCCCAAGGGGAAGAUCAACUAAUGACCACGUUUGGCGAGAGACUAGAGCUUCCAUUUCCACAUCCAUAGCUUUCUUCCAUUCAAGGCGAGACAAAGCCUCAGUGGUAGAAGUAGGGAUUGUGUGAGUUUGUAAUGAUAGAGCAAAGUCAUGUAAUGGAGAAGGAAUAUGUGAGAGAGACACAUAACGCUCAAUAGGGUAAGCCAAAGAGGAUUUUUGUGUGCAAGACCGAGUACCUUUGUGAAGGGCAAUAGGAAGAUCGUCUGGACUAGGAGACAAGGAGGAAGAUUGAUUGGAGGGCAUUGAAGAGCUUGAGACUAGUGGUGCCGUAGACUGCUUUCGCUGCUGAUACACCUACAAUGGAGGAAAUACUAGAGACGGACUAACAGAAUCUAAGGAGAUUUGUUGUGGGAUAGGAGGAUCAGCUACAAUGUCAGUUGAAAACUCUUUACCCUCAGUAGAAUAGUAUGGUGUGCCCUCGAAAAAAGUAACAUCAGCACUAACAUAUUGAGUAUAAGUUGUAGGAUCAUAACACCGAUAUCCCUUCUGUGUAUGUGAAUACCCGAGAAAAAUACAUUUAGUAGCACGAGGAGAUAGUUUAUCAAAACCGGAACGUAGGUUAUGAACAAAACAGACACACCCAAAGACACGCGGGGUAAGAGAGAAUAACGGCUUGUCAGGAAAUGCAACACUGAUUGGUGACUGAUGAUUGAGGACAAUGGAAGGCAUACGAUUUAUGAGGUAACAUGCGGUAAGGACAGCAUCACUCCAAAAUGAUUUUGGCACAUUCAUAUGAAAUAAGAGUGAACGAGCAACUUCUAGAAGGUGACGGUAUUUUCUCUCGGCCACACCAUUCUGCUGAGGGGUAUAAGUACAACUUAUUUGAUGUAUAAUGCCAAGAUUAGAACAAAACAAAGAAAUUGAUUUCUGUGUAUAUUCUAGAGCAUUAUCUGUUCGCAAAAUUUUCAGGGAUGUAUUAAACUGAUUAGUAACCUCACGAUGAAAUAAUUGAAAAACAUGUAAAAAUUCAGAGUGGUCAUGAAGCAUAUAGAGCCAUGUUAAACGAGAAUAAUCAUCCACAAAAAUAACAAAGUACUUAAAACCAUUUCUACUAGCAAUACGGGAAGGUCCCCAGAUGUCCGAAUGAACAAGUUCAAGUAAAGUAGAUGCACGAGAAUCACUACGACUAGGAAAUGAACUACGAUGAUGUUUCCCAAGUUCACAAGCCUCACACUCAAGAGUAGAAAUUGAUUUACACUCGGGAAUUAUUUGUUGUAACUUAAAUAAAGAUAAAUGCCCUAAACGAGAAUGCCAUAAUAGGGGGGUAAUAGAACUAGCAGCUAGACCAUUGGCGUCAGCAGUGGAGAGACCAUUGAGAUAGUAGAGUCCAUCACAUUCAUGUCCUCCACCAAUCAUCUUCUUUGUCUGAAGGUCCUGAAAAAUGCAAUGAGAUGGAUAAAAUGUAACUGAACAACUAAAAGCUUUAGUUAACUGACUAACAGAUAACAAAUUUAAAGGAAGUUGGGGGACAUGUAAAACAGAGGACAAAGAUAAGGAAGAUGUAAGUGAAACAGUCCCUGAUCCAACCACUUGAGUCGAUGAACCAUUAGCUAAAAUAACUUCGGAUGAAGGACUAGAAUUAGUGUGGGAAGAAAAUAGUUCUUGCUUACCCGUCAUAUGACUAGAAGCCCCCGAGUCAAUGACCCAAGAGGCGUUAGGAGACAAAGUAGAGAAAGAGGCCAUGUUACCUGUACGUGCAAGAGUAGCAGUGGAUGAGAAAUUGGAAGCCUCUAGUUGUUUGACACGUUUGAUGAGUUGUGCAACCAUAUCAUCUCGAGUCGUAGACUCAGAAGAACUACCCCCAAGUGGAAGAGAUGGGUUCAUGUCGUUGUAAGACACAUUUCGAGCACUCUCUUCAGACAUAGCAGCAUUUGCAAUAACCUUGGCCCAACAAGUGUCAACAAUAUGACCGAAUUUGCCACAGUGUAUACACUGACGGCUAUCUCGAUCAGAACUUUGUCCACUACGUCCACCACCGCGACUACGAUUUCCCCCGAAACCACGACCUCUAUUGGAAAAUCCACCACGACCACGACCACCACUACUAGCCACAAAUGCUGAAUUGUCUUUAGAUGAAGUAGAAGACGGAGGGAUAAUGCGCUGAAUUCGACAAAAUGCUUCAUUCAUAGAAGGAACUCUCUCUCCAGCAAGAAGCUGACUCUUCACAGGCUGUAAGUCAACAUUCAAGCCAGAUAGAAAUUUGGCCACUUGAAAUUCAGCUCGUUGUGUCUUUAGUCUCUCAAGAUUAGUAGUGAUGGGCUGAUAAAGAUUGAGUUCUUCCCACAUACCUUUCAAAGCACUAUAAUAUUCUCCAAGAGAUUUGUUUCCCUGUUUAAAAUUAAAAAUCUUCUCAUAUAGUUCAUAAACUCUAGACAUAUUUUUGUCUUGUGAGUAACUCUCCAUAAGAUCAUCCCACACUCCUUUAGCAGUUGUGUGGAACAUGACAUUAGCAGCGAUGGAUGGUUCCAUGCUAUUCCAUAACCACACCAGAAGUGUAUCAUUCUCUCUCAUCCAACCAUUAUAGUCUCUAGAAUUUUCAUCAGGAGGGUCUCUGGUAAGAUAAUGAAGUUUCCCUUUGGCAUUAAUAUAGACCUUCACAGCUUGGGCCCAUAACAAGUAAUUGGAGGAUCCAUUUAAUUUAAUAGUGGUAAUUUGAACGUUGACACUAUUUGUAGAAGCCUUAGUAUCACUCAUGAUGAUAAUCUCAAUAUAAGUAUAUCUACCACUAAUCAAGGAGGCUGAAACUUUAGUGCAAGUAACAAAGCAGCAACGCUAAUGUAUAAUCAGAUGUAAUUGGCUUCAUCAAUUAACCAAAGGGAUGCUGAAAACUCAUAAAUAGAGACUGCUGUAUAGAAGAAAAUAUCUGACUAGAAAUCUCGAUUCAAAUAAUUAUAUGUUUGACGGAAAACCAGCAAGACUAGUCAACCAUAAUCAAUAGAAUAUUCUGAUUCUUGAAUCCGCUGAUCAGCAAGUGUUGUAAUCCAUGUUCAUAAACCGAACCUGAUGAAUCCGAUAUCUUCUGAUCUCAUAUGUAUCGAGACUUGAAGAGAAAACAGAUAAAAAUUGCAGCUUUAGGUGGCUACGCACCAGAGAAGAAGUAGAGUUACUAGGGGACUCUCAAACCAGCAAUAUGAUUAAGUAAUCAGAUAGUUAGACCUACUCUGAUACCAUGUCACAAAACUGAUUAGAGAACCCGCAGCAAGUAGAAAGAGAGAAAGAAGGAAGAGAGAAGGAGGAGAAAGAGAACGUAAAAGAAAGAAAGAGAGGGCUGUAGUUUUUCUGUAAUCAGAAACCCUACACCCAUUGUAUUUAUAUUGAAUAUAAAUUGUAUAUAACAAUAAUAUCCUUAUGUAAGUAAAAAAGGAAAUAAAACUCUGAUAAUAAAGGAAACUCAAUUAAAGUAACUUAACAGUAUGUACUCUCUUUUUUCAGCUUAUAAAUUAUGACUGUCUUGUUUGUUUUUCUUCUUAACAAAGCAGGGUAGUAUGUAGGACUCAUCACGUUAUAAUUUACUUCAUGAUGAGUUUUUCAUAUCAAUUCCAAAGUUUAAGGCACAUAAUGAUGUUUAUUAUACUCUCUCUCUCUCUCUCUCUCUCUCUCUCUCACACACACACACACACACACACACACACACACACACACACACACACACACACACACACACACACUAUGUAUGUCUACUAAUGCGUAUAAUUAUUAGUGACUAGCUCAAGGACAGCCACGGUUGAACAUAUUAAUGUGAGAUGAAAAUGAUUUGAUUCCACCUGCUUCUCUAAUGACUAAUCAUACUAUGUAUGUCUACUAAUGCGUAUAAUUAUUAGUGACUAGCUCAAGGACAGCCACGGUUGAACAUAUUAAUGUGAGAUGAAAAUGAUUUGAUUCCACCUGCUUCUCUAAUGACUAAUCAUACUCGUAACAGUUUUCAUGUAAUCGGAAUCUUCCCUUUAUUGUAGGUAUGGCUAUAUAACAUAGGCUUUGGUAGUUAUCAGGUUGAGAAAGUUUGUGAUACCUCAGGAGAAGAUGCAUCAUGCAGCAAGUGAUGAGCUAGUUUCAGUCGAAGCUACUUGUUCAAACAAUUAUUUUGUGGAUUUAUCAUGCAAAAUGCAAUAAGCCGUGAUGGACCAGCUUGUCCUAGAGAAUGUCCUUUGUUACUAGGAAUAUUUGUGGACAACUGAUCAGGGUAUUUUCCUGCAGAUUGGUAACCGGUAACAGCAUUGUGGACCAUUUAGUCUCUCUAUAGUGUGCAAUUAAUGGCUAAAACAUGAGAAUCAUGCAAAAUCGUCACGGACACUAUUGACGAAAUGUGGAGGCGAAGAUGUCAAAGGAAAUCUUAUGCUUUCCAGGAAUCCUUUUGUUUCUGCAUUGAGGCCGCAUUCAGACUCUGAUGCCAAGAGGAAAUUCAGUUGAAAUGCUCCUGGGUCAGUACCUGGAUUCUCAAAGAUCAUCAGGGACCUUUGUGAUGAAGUUUGGUCACAAAAUGCAUUCCAUCGAUCUGUUGUCCAUAUCCAUCACAAGAUACAGAGGAGCUCUACUCUAAUUUACUCUGAAUGUAAAUAGCACAAAGUUGAAGGUAUCAUCCUUGUAAAUACAACUCCAUGGUUUCAAUUGAAUAAAUAUGUUCGCAAGUUUGCCUGUCAAUCUGUUAUUGGGCUUGGGGCUUUGUUACCUGACUUGAUGUGUGGAUGCUGAGCUGAGCUACAUUCAUAGUUGAAUGACGCAGCUAUUUUCCCUUGGUUUAAUGUGUUGAAGAAAUCCUUGAAACUGUAAACAGAAAAGACAAUCGCCAGAGAUGACCAAAAGCUAGUUUGCUAGACAUGGUUAUACUGUUUCGAUAGGAUAUUGCAGCGUAAUUUCACUGUGACAAAGUCAACGAUGCCUGGUGUACACCGUCCAUUCGUUUCCAAUGUACAGCCAAACAGCAGUGUGGUUUUGUGCUCUUCAGUAUCUAAUGCAUAAUGUAAGGUUCAUCAGUGAUUUCGUGGAUGAUUCCGACAAUUUGUUUUCAAUAAUCUAACCGCAGCGAUUGAGAGUCCACUGGGGAAGAAUGGACACAAAACAUCAGAUCCCUAUCCGAAAUUAGGACGGGCACAUGCCCACAUUGUCAGGCAUAUCGGAGAUAAAGAUGUCCACUGUUAAUGAUUGUUCAAAUAAGUUUUAGCACUAGGCUCCAAACUCAUCAUAGAGUACAAUUUAGGAAAAAAAAAGAAUGGCUCCUCAUAUCUAAGCACGAAAAUUGGUUCUUUAUGUGCUGCGACGCUCUCAAAAUUUUCUCUGUCAAGGACUUGCGGACAUCGUGAGACCAUUAGUCUAUAGGAAUUUCAAGCUCAGAAUAAAAUACUGAUACACUGCUAUACAUUUGAUAUGUCAAAACAAAAAAUAAAGCGCCAAUAUUGUGGUCAUUAUUUCAAGUUUAGCUCAACCGCAUUUGAACAAGUAUAUUUGUUCUAAGUCCUUUAAAAUCUAACUCUGCGACUCUAUCAUUAUGAUUUGACAUGUGAUUCAAGGUCCUCUUGUUUUCAACUUCUACUUCUGAUGAGUGUAAAACCACAAGGCGAUAGCAACAAGGGGAGUGAUAUGUAGGAACAACGAUCAUCUCUCCAACCCCAAUGCGCACAUAAAAAAUCCCAUAAAUCACAUCCAGUAGCUCCAACCCUUGAGUCUGUUCUCUGUUUGACAAUUUUUGGUGUCAAGAACCGAACUACAUCACUGUAAUUUUACGUAACUAAGGUAUAAAAGCUGCUUAAGAUUAGUUAUGGGAUUCUCGCGAUGCUGCUUCUUCGAUUCAGUUGCUCUUUGCUACUUCUCCGGUUGCUAAAUGAGCCACAAUUUCCUGCAAAGAAACAUAGUUCCAUUAACUUUGUUAAGAGUUAACCAUCUCAAUCAGAAAACCAGCUCAAAAAGUCCGUCUGAGAUGUUUGUACCUCUUGGUCUCAACGUCAAUGUUUAAUGCGUAGUAAAUGUAUCAAAAUCAAUGGAAAAGAAUGGGUUGUGUAGAUUAGCGUGAAUAUAAUCCACGUCAAGACAUAUGUCUGCGAACCUGUACAUGUGAUCUUAUGAUCCCGAAUACAUGUAUCUAUUAUUCUAACUCAGCAGUUAAAUUCUCGGAAGAGUCAUUCAAGUACAUCAUCAGGAGCAGAGUCAUUUUCCUUCUUCCCCAAUUCCUCUUCCUUUUCCAGUCCAGUUGGAUUCUUCUCUUCCACCACCACUUUAUCUUACUCGCCCUCCUUCACACGUUCAUGCCGAGGCAAGUUGUACUCGGAGGAGAGGCCCUCAGACACGAUCCCUUCCGGCACUUCCUCGUCUCUUCUGGGAGAGAAGUAAUGAUCCGGCGAGUCGUGGGAUGUGAACCUCCCUGGCUCUGCCUCUUCCUCUUCUACUAGCGGUUCUGUCUCCGGCUCUAGCUCCUGCUCCAGCUCAAUCUCCUUUUCUUCCUCUACACGCUUCUCUUCCUCUCUGUCUUCAUCCUCGGCCUUUGUUUCUUCUUCUUCUUCGUUCUCUUCUUCUUGUUCAGACUCGGGAUGUUCAGUUAUGUCCUUAACAUCAGCCGCAUUUUCUGUAUCCUGGCUCACCGCAUUAUUGAUUUCUUGUUGCACGAGUAAUGCCGCACCUCUCCCAAUUGCUUCCAUCUAAAUAACGUUCUGUUCCACUUGUUUGUUCUUCUCGGGAUUGGCGCUCGAAACUCCUACUUUUGACUCCCCGCAACCCAUUGUCAUAAAAAGGAACGUCAAUCGAGAGGAAUUUGAUUGGGGUAUUGAUUCUCUCUGCCUUUGUGCAUCAGAUUGAAAUGAAGUUUCGGCUUUUGUCUUCUUUGCCCGUUGCAGUUUUGAUUUGCUGAAGCGGGUUGUAUCCGUGGUUGACAAAACGACAGAUCGUUUCUUGUUAUCGGUGGGGUUUUCCUUUCUUUGUCUUUUUUUUUUUUUUCAACCCAACCUUAGUUCAAUGAAAAACAUACUUUACAAUUAACAUAUGAUGCAUCCAAGCAAAAUUCAAUAUUGAAAAGACCGAAUUAUUCCCACUCAAAAACUUGUUUAAAUCUCUUGCUCCAUGUUUGAGUGAUUUAAUUUUCAGUUGGUUUUAAGUGCUUUUGAUAGGUAAGAAUUUAGGAUUUGUGAAUUGACAUUUUUCGAGAGAUAAUGACAUUCUUUUAUAAAAAGAAACACAAGGCUAAUAGAUGUAAAAAUGUAGAAAAUGAUAUAUAUAUAUAUAUUUAUAUUUUUUAACAUCAAUCGGCCUCAUGAACCAAAAUUCAUAUGGUCGUCAAACAUGGAAUUGCUUACACUUAAUCACGUUGAAAAUUGAACUUAGCCAAUUUUUCAAAUUCACAUAUAAAUUAUUUUCUGAACCACUAAAUCAAAAUAGACAAAGAGUAAAUAUGUUAGAAAGUGAAAUAUCAUAAAAAGAUGAAUUAUAAUAAUGUUAACAAAUUAACAAUCCAAAUAUUACUAAUUAAUCCCACAAAUGGUUUACUUCACCAAAUGGAAUUUAAAUUUCUCUCGAGUUGCCAUAAUUUAUUUUUUCCUUAGGCUAAAUAAUAAGCAUCUCCAAACAUAUAUCCUCUCUACAUAUAUUACGCCAUCUUCUUCCAUCUUGAGAGUGUCGUUUGCAAAAGUUCUUUUAAUUGUUCCACACCGUAAGUGGCCAUGGACGCCGCCACAGGAGAACAUCAAACUUCAGUAGUUAUCAGUUCGAGCUGUUUCUAGUAAUUACGCUCUUCAUAAUUUUCAAGAAAAAUAAAUCUAAUCAAACUGCAGUUCCAUGGUGUAACUCAUUUUAGGAGAUUGCAGCAAUUAAUUGUCACUGGGAGUACAUGAUUUAAUCAGAACCUAUGUCUGUAAAUCCUUACUUAGGCUAAGAAAUUGAAUUGCAUGGUUCACUUAAUCCGUGAUGAUAGAGACUAAGGGUUGACAAAAUUGUAGGUAAGAAGGCCUUGUGGGAGCAUAAUGUCUAUUGAUUGACCCCUACAAUUGGCUCUGCAAACCAUCUUUUGGUAAUGAUGAAGUGUAUCUAUAUCAGGCAAUUCUUUUUUCCAUUUGUUUUAUUUACACUAUUCUUCUGCUAACUUGGGGUAUUGCAAUGCAGCAAUAUGCUAAAGAGCACAAAGAUGCUAACCUCAUGCAGGAAGUUAUGAAGCUUUUGAAGAAGAAUAACUUGCCAUUGCAACCCACCACGGCCGAUAUUGUUUUCAGGUUCACUUCGGUGCUGUUUCUCCUGAGAAGGAUGUUAUUAUCAUGUAGUAAGCCAUUAUUGCACUUAAUUGUGUGUUAUGUACUGCAUAGUUAUCAAGCAAUUUAUCCAAUUUAUAAGUGUCAUUUAUAUACGAUUUAAUCAACUUGUUUUUAUUUUGAAUUAUUUUGUCUGCACUGCUACUCUCGAUCUAAUAGUUUGCUCAUGUUAUUUGACAUCCUUUCUUUCCAUGGAAAAAUUUUGCAGCAUUUGUGAUGAUACAGACAAUUGGGUGUUGCUCACAAAGUAUUCAAAGAGAUUUGUCAAAAUUGGAGUGAAUUUGCAUAAAGCUGCAUUUGACAUCUGGAUGGAGUUUGCUGCAAAAGUAGGUGAGAAACACUAGCUCUGUCUCCCUUCGCUGCUCUCAAGCCCUUGUCCCUCAACAAUCUUAUUUUCCAUUUCUUCCCACAAAUAGUUUUCUCAUCCACGUCCCGCCACUUACUACAAAAGAUGGGAUGUGCUAGAAUAUUUUCUUCUGUACGGUGAUUUCUUUCUCUCCUUAAACAAAAGGGUAGAAAUAAGAAAUAAAAAGAAUUUUCGCUGCGCCAUGUCUUUCAAUGUCUUUGUUUCUUUAAUUGUUCUGAGAUUAUGCUUCUUUAUCCUAUUUAGUGGUUUGACGAAAAUUACCCUUUUCAGGAGAUUUGAAUCUCUAUGGAAAACUGAGAAGUUAAGAUGUGAGUCCAUGAAGCAGCACACCCUGGGCAGUGGAUUCUCAUGUGCGAAGGUAGUUUACAAAGGCAGACUGUUGAAAUCACAAAUAUCAGACCCUGAAAGCACUAAGUCUUCUUGCAUUAGAAAAUCUGAUAAUGGGAAAAUAUUAAUAUUGCAAUACAGAUCAGUACAAAGUUCUUGGUAAACCAGGUGAGAGGUCUAUGGCCGAAAAAAGCGAGAGUUAAUGAUUGAAUAAACCAAAUUUUGGCUCACAUCCUAGGACAUGAAACACCUAUGGGCAUGAGAAUGCUUAUUGUCACAACACAAAGGAGAUAAUAACUACUUUUUCGGUAUUUGGAAGCAUUUAUUGUGGCUUUUAGCACUCUGGUUUAAUAUUAAAAUUUAACCGACUGUCAUUUGCUUGUUUUGUGGCAAGCUAAAUGGUUUUAUAACCAAUUUUUUGUGCAGGGAUCUUUACUUGAAGGCAAACCUGAGGAGGCUGCGACAGUCAUUCAUGUCUUGAAUCAGGUCCUCCUUGCUUCUCCGAGCAUCUAUAGCUAUUAUUAAUAUGCUCAUCAUCACCAUCUGGCAUGAUUGCAAUCCUAAAUUACCUCAGCCUCUGAAUUAGUCUUCAAUUUUCCAUAUACUGUCAAGGAAUAAAGCAAUUAGUGGAAAAUAUACAGAAUUGUCCCCCAAAAUGUGCUCAGAUAAAAUUACCAUGACAUAUCCUCUCUCGAGGGGGACUGAGUGAUUUGGGUUUCAUAUUUGGUGCAUGCUAUACUAUUAAAAUAACACGGCUUAGUUCCAUGGAUCCUAAUAGAGUUCGAAAGAUCAUCUCAGACUCCUCCUGAAUUGAAUAAAGUUGGAAAUUCACCUAUGUAGGCUCUGUUUGUUCAGAUGUUGCUUCUUAGGUCUCACAAUGUGAAUGCCUUGGAUUGAUGCGAGAGUUUACCUGAUGCUAAGAGGUCCAGCAUUGUGGUUGAACUUCAAAAGCUUGUCAGUGAGUGGGUUUUCGAGGUCAUCAAAUGGAAGAAAGAAGAUGACCGCAAGGUACUUCCUUUGACUAAAUAUCCAUCACUUUGGGUAGAAGUAGAAACGUUGCUUGUUUGCAGUUAUAUAUUGCUCUGGUAAUGUUUUCUCAAUCGUUCCCUUUGCUGGAUGUAUAUAUGCUGCAUUGAACUAUCUCAAAAUUUUUAAAACCUCUCAUUCUUUUCGCUCAUGUAGGCAUUGGCUGCUUCUUUCAAAUCCAAUAUCCCGGCCAUGGUUAGUUUCCCUAUCAAACACGGGCUUGGAGGUGAAAGUGAAUAUGGAACAACUAACCACCAAAGGCGCCCUUUGUUAAAGUAUGACAGAAUUGGAGAUUAAAUGCACUAGCUGCAGAUCUGUCUCCUAUGUGGACCGCUAAGGUUGCCAUUUUAAUUUAAACCGAUUCCGCUGAGAAGCAAGACAAGCGUGGUACUCACGUCUCGAGCAACAAGCAUCUGAAGUUCUCUUGUGAAGGUCCCUGAACCAUGAAAAGAUCUGCUCCUUCUUGAUUUGAAUGUUGUCACUUCUGUACUCUGGAAUAAUGAUUCUUUUCUUUCCCCAAAAAAUCUGAGUGUAUUAGAUACGAUAGGUGCAUCGUCAGCAAUUGAAUUCUGAGAACAACCUCGGAUGACUAGUUUUUGCAGAGAGGAUUCUUUUGGCUCACGCAUUUUAGAUUGGACCAAAUGGGCAGUUAAGAGAGACAAUUGAUAAGGUGGUCCUUUCAAUUUCAAUCUGAUUUGGCAGCCUAUUUUGUUAUAUUUCUGACACAAUUUCGCUGUCCAAAAUUAAGAGUGAAUUUAAUGCCGACUCAUUUGAUGUUGGCAUACAGCGACCGCCAUGGCUUCCUGAUUUAAUCGGAUCGAACCGUCCAAUCGUGGUGCCAAAGUGCAUAACAUAAAUUACAUCCCCUUUUACGUCAUGAAAGAAAACGAAAACCUGAAUUACCAGAAAUGGCUUCGGUACCCACAUGCGUGGGUGGGUGGGUGGGUGGGUGCGUGCAUUUUGUGCAUUUUGUGCAUUUAAGGCGUAAAAGAGGCGACAAAUGCAAUCCUCUAGAAUGAAAACAUGCGCAAAUUUUAACAAUGAAUUGACAUAAUUGUAAUAGAUAUGAGACUUUUUUGGUAAUAUAGGACCAAAUUUGAAUUCAUACAAUAAGCUUACGACUGAAUUUGCGAUUCUCCUAGCUCAACACCUUAAGCAGUAAUUAAGCUCUUCAUAUGUUCACCUGCCAUAACCUAAAAAAAGUCAAGCAUGAUCAUGGUGAAAGAAAAGGUCCAAAGAAUCCUUCCCUUGGAAGCAAACAAUCGAAUCAUUCUUGUUGCCUAAAAGAAUCGAGCAUGAGCUUUGUUUACCCAACUCAACUGCAUAGACACGGAGAAGAGGCUUCAGAUAUAAGAACUUAACAGGGUACAUCACAAGAGCAGGAUCUGAUGAAAUGUAACAUCGUACAUUUUCUUUGAAGAUAUGGAAAUGAAUAUUCAAAGCCCAAGAUUAAUCCUGGGAAAAAUGGAAAAGUAUGGAACAACAAACUUUGAUUUGCAUCACAUGAAGCAAAGAACCACGUGAUAAGUGAAUUCAAGCAUCCUGUGGAAUUCUAUUGACACUGGCAGCUUCUACUGAUUCCUGUUCUGCCACAACUAUAGUCCUGGAAGGCCGCUUGUUAGGAGUCAUUUGGAGGCAUUGUAAAGCAAGCUGUGCUAUUUGGAAUGCAGAAUCUGUAUAUGUAAGGUAUAGGGAUGGUAUAAAUUUGGUUCCCAUUUCCUGCAGGUCGCAACAUUGUGAGCGACCAGCUUCUUCUAAAAUAUCCAGUGUUUCUUUUUCAGUAAUUGGAGCAUCUGCAGAAAAUGAAAA
rnacentral:lncRNA from 1 species